UGUCCAUGUGUGUUUCACGCACACGCUCAAAGUUUUCCGUUGCUUUUCUUACCAAACGAACGCGUAAAGCGGACUCGAAAAAAAUUACUGAAUGUCGUCGGUCGGUGAUUGCGCAUUCUCUCUGUGUGUGUUUUUCCCCCCCAUCCAACGAGUGUAAAGAAAUUUUUGGAACAAUUUAUAGCCGACACGCGUUGUAAGUGUAAUUGGAGAAUCCGUGGAAAUACGCUCGGCGUAUUCUGUGCAAUAUAUUUAAUUAAAAGAAGGUCUGGCAGAAUAUACCAAUAAAAUAAAUAAAAUGUAACCAAGCCAAAGCCAAACAACGCGAUGAAGAGAAGAGGAAGAGCCACAUAAAGAAGCCGCCGUGCCCGCAGUUAGCGUGUGCCAGAGCGAGAGGAGCGACAUAGAGAGGAGAGCGAGCUCGUGUGUGCCUGUGUGUUUGUGGAUGGUGUAGUGUGGCUGUAGUGGUGGGCGGUUAGCCGCCGCCAUGAAAAAUCAAGUUAGGAGCGCCUCUCAAUAAAAAAAGUGUUCUAUGCUAAUGAAUGGUUAGCUCGAUUUACAGAGCUAUAGUAAAAAUGUCUACUGUGACAUAUCAAUCGAUUUAAUUUAAUUUGAUCCUUGGGCCAAAUCCACCCUACAACCACCUUCGCACAGACGGCAACAUACACAUAUAGAGAGACACAGACGGAAACCGUUUUUGCCUCUCUUGGCUUUGUUUACCACCCUUCCCUGUUCCUCCCACAACUAGUGCUUUGAUUUUAGCCGCUCGCGCACUCUUUCCAUCUCUCUCUCACUCUCUCUCUGGCUCUCUCGCGGAAUUUAAUUGAUAGCGUAAUCGAUCCUCAAGUGUUGCUCUUCUAAUCAAGUGUUCUCCGUAUAAAUUGUGUGUAUUUUGCAGUUUAAAACCAGUUUAUCAAAGAUCGUAACAAGAUCGUGAAUCGGAGAAAUAUUCAUAGUGAGUGUAGUGCUACCCGCCGCCCCGCUACAAAUCAAUAAACAGAAACUGGAAGAUCUUUCCAGCCGCUGCUCCCAUCAUCAAAAGACAGCGACGUCGACGUUGACGCCGACGCCCACAACACCACUGAGAGAAGAAUGAUGCCAAAGCAGAGGACCAGCACGCUGGUGACGACAGUGUCGCUGCAUUGCAACGGUAAAUGUCUGAUGCUCUCUGCACUGCUGAUGGGCCUCCUGGUGGCCGCCACCCAAGCCGUAGAUCAGGUAAGUGUCGCUGUCGCCCCCUUGUGGUGAAUCAAUUUCGGAUAUGCACGCACUUCUUCUCUAUCGAAUUCUCUGUGUUUCUUCACCCACAUUUCCCACCUUGAGUGUCUGCCCGCCCCCAUAUCAGCCUCUGCUUUCAUUUCCUUUUCACUUAUGUUGUUUUUGCGGUUUGGGGUUAUGUUAUCCCUUCGUUACCCGCCUCCCUCUCUCCUUGUGCUACUCUCUGGAAGCUUAUGCAAAAUUGGUCAACAGAGUGAGACGGGUUACUGAGGGGAGUGCGGGGAGAACAUAAUCAAUAGAUGCAACAAUGAAGUCACCCCAGGCAUUGCACUCGAUGCAAUUUGAGGCUGCCACACAAUGACGCAGAUAAUGAAGUGAAGCUCUGCUCUGGUUCUACUCUGUUGUAUGAAAUAGUACCAUGAUUUUGACUAAACGUUUGGCCAAUCUCUGAACAUAGCUAGAACCAAGAUAACCAUGCAUGAUGGAUUGGAAAGAGCAACUACAAGUUCAUUCCCACUCUUUUUUUUUGUUUUUGUUUCGAAAGAGAAGACAUUAAAAACGUCUGCAUUGCGAACGCAUAAAUAUGGCAACAAAAUGCAUGGACACAUAGACGUACAAACGUACGUUUGUAUUGGAGUCAUAGACAAGGCUGCCUGCCGCUCUUCUCUACGCCUGGUGAUGGUGGAUGGGGGUCUUGUCUUUUCAAAUAAGGCUGCAAAUCUGCAAUUGGUCAUCGAGUCCAACUAAUUUUGACGUUCGUUUCAGUCCAGUCCCGCUCUCCCAUUUAGUGAUGACAGAUUCGUUCUGUGCAUCGCGACGGGUAAGGUUAAAUAAAUCACAAUUUUUAAUUGCCAACAUCUGUUCUCUGUUCUAUUGUGCUAUGAUAUUUUAUUUUAUAAUGUGAGAGAUGAAUAAGUCGUACAGCUUUCAAUGGAUUGGGUUCUUCUAACGAUUGAUUUCCGAUUGUUUUAUGAGUACUUUCUUGUGAUUUAAUCAACUGUGGUCGUGAAUUCUUCAAUCUGCUACCAUCUCUAGCUUUUUCCUGUAGUUUGGGUCUGGUUCUGGUCACGAUGAUGAUGAUCUCCAAUAUCGUUGGCUGGCGGUGCCAACGUCAACCAGUCAAGUAGUUGGCCAACAAAAGCAUCCGGCUGUUGCCAAUUUCGAUUGCUGUUUCUCUCUCUCUACCUCUCUGUUUGUUUGUUUGUUUGUUUGUUUGCUGGCUGCCUUUUCAUUUUGUUGUUGGUGUGUGACUUAUUGGACCGAACAAUUUCUACACACACACAUGGUCGUCCUCUUACUACAACACUCCCCAGCAUGAAUAUUGCGAUGGCCUUUACCCUCCCCCUUUUUGGGUGGUGGUCGGAAUCGGGGGGCGACUCGAAGUAAUCUUGUUUUUGCCAUUCCGUCCAUCUUUUGUCCUGUUUGUCACUUGUUUUUGCCAAAAUUGGCAUUUGCUCUCUCCGUCUCUGCUGGUCUGCGGUUAUGGCUAUUCUGCUUCUCCAUCUACAUGUGCUCGUUCUCCUACUCCGACUCCUUCUCUUGCUAUUCUUCUUCAUCCUCAACGUGUACAUACUUCUCCUCCUGUUUGCCUGCGUCGCCAAAAACAUUCAGAGAACGUGCUCGGAACAUUGAUGAGUGGCCCAGGAGAUGGAGUAACAGUAUGUGUGUGUAUUUGCGAUAUAGAGUUCGAGAGGGGAAAGAGAGAGAGAGAGCAGUUUAAUGUCUGUGAUUGCUCCCCCGCUCUUCCUCUAUCUCAUUUACGCAUUUUACGUUCAUUAGCAUUAUUGGCAUGUCCAUCAGCUAAGAGAGAGGGAGAUGAGGAACAUUACUAGUAGGACAGCACUGCGUCUCAUUCACACCUGAAAAGGUGUCAAACCCUAUAUGCUCUCUCUCCUUUGGCUUUGCUUCACUCACUCCUCCUUCGACUCUUCUUCUGACCUGUCUAUGCAUGCUAUCUGUACCGCUCCCGCAUUCUCCCUCUGUCUUUAAUAUUUUUCUGCCACAGCCGCAUACUGUUUCUGUUUAUUUUCUUACAUUUCUUGGAAUAUCAUUCCAUUGGCGGCAGACAGCGAUAAGGUUAUUGAUAUAGGAUUUUCCUGUCGGAUCAGCAAGUCGCCGCUACCUAAACACGCUUGUGGUGGAAGAAGAGAGCAUAAAUAGAUUUUUAAUGUUAUCCCAUUUGCUGCGAUCUUUAGUAUGUUUGUGCAUAUUUUGGAUUGUUCUAUUGGUCUUUCUAGUAUUACUUAUGGACAAUUUUUCUUAUUUCAUUACGCUGUUUUCCAGUUUCUCAUUCCCUCGCCCCUUGGCAGGUAUCUCAUCUCAGACAUGUGUUCUGGCAAGGGGAUAUUAGUUCAGGGGUUCGCUGCUGUCUAUCUCUCGUUUGGCUGCCCACACAGUCGCCAUUCUUUCACACUGCCUCACCUUCUCAUUAAUUUACAUUGUGUACAGCACAUAAUUACCAUCUAUCUUAUUCACUUGCACUCGCUUCUUUUUCAAUUAUUAUUCACGUGUGGCGUCGGCGGUGCCUCGUCACUGUCCCUCUCCCAUUUGCUUGUCUCUCUUUUCAUUUACUUUGCACUUUGCUUUACAACAGUUGUUGCUGUUUCUGUCGCUGUUGCAGUGUCGUGUGCAUGCACUUUGCCAUUGCUUACGCUCUUCCGCACAACCCCCCAUAUUGUUUGUACCUUUUUCUUUAGACUAAGUCGUUGUUAGGGGAAGCAGGAGAGUAACUUGUCGACAGAGCCGAGCUGAUGUCAAAAAGUUAUCAGUGAUGUCGUUUCGCUUACAAAGACGUACGAACAAACACACACAGUUGCAGUACGGAUAAUGACAGAUAAUUUGCCAUUUCGAUGCGCUCUCUCUUUCUCGCUGUAAUCAAAGUUCAAUGGAAAAGAUCGCGUCCCGCCACAAAAGUAAUCUGCGUCAUUUGUCAAUUACACUAGACAACGAUCGUGAAAGAGAGAGUGUAAGAUAGAGAACAUGAACUGUGCAGCGAGAGAGCUUUGUCUAUUACACGUGUAAUUUCAAUAGAACAGUAAAAAUAAUUGCAAUUGGUCAAUAAAAAGUAAAAAAAACAAAGCAAAUGCAACAAUAAUUAAAGGGUUACCACAAAUGAAUCAAAAGCAAAAACAUUUUGCGGUGAUAGAGAGUAGUAGAAGAGAGCGAGCAAAUGGUAGAGCGAAAGAGCGCGUUGUAAAUUGUAAAUGAACGAAACGUAACGAAGGAACAUGCAAGCCCAAGCAUAAAAAUGGGAGAGCCGCUGUGUUUGUGUGGGUUAGCAGCAGCAACUUCGAAGAAGAAGUAGAGGCAGAAAACGGAGAAACAACAAACUUCGAACUUUUACACUGUGCAGCAAAAUAAAUUAAGCGAGGGUCAUCUUAUCGGGUAUUAUGGGGAAUUAAGUGGUAAUUGAUGGCUGAAAAACUAGACCACCAUAACUUCUGGUUGGAAUGCUUAGCUCCAAAGUAAGACUCCACCUAAAACUAUCAACAUUCUGUUCAGUGUUAACACUGUUCGGCGACCUCGUCUUGAGCCACCCGUAUGACUCUGUAUCUGUUCUGCUGCUGCUUUGAAAUUUCAGUUUCUGCUGAGGCGGCUGUUGUGUUUGUGUGUGUGUGUGUGUUCUGCUGUUGCUGCACACACCAAAGCGCUGUCCUCAUGUAUACAUAGGCCGGCUGCGUCGUCGCGAGGGCGCGACGGAAGACAGACAAACAACAACAGCAAGCAGAUUGAACCGCCUGCGUCCGCCCCCGUUGUAUGCUGCCGCUGCCUCUGCUCUGCUUCUGCUGUUGGAGAGAAGGGUAACGCAAUGUCAAUAUUCAUGCGCUGUUGCCGCAUUUCAUUGUCGCUGCUGUUGCUCCUCUGUUGCUUCUGUUUCGUAUGUUUGUUUCGAAUGUCUCGUGCAAGGUGUAUUUAUAAAAGGUUAGGCUAAAAUCGCUCAGCCAAGUUGGGUGUUGUUAUUGGCUACCAUCUGUUUUUGAAAAAUACAUGGCAAUCGUCGUUAGACGAUUAGACCACUCUCUUGUAAUGCCUCACCCUUAUAUUAUUGCACGUUUGUCUCUUGUUUCAUAUUUUGUGGUUUGCUGACAGACAAGUUGUGUGCGCUCAUCCCCCGUCCCGCACCCUCUCUGCCUUCUUCCGUUGUAAUGUGCGUGUGUGUAUUUUUGUUGUUGGUGUUUUACAAUUUUGUUUUCAUUUUCUGUGUUGUUCUCUUUCGGGCCCCUCUCCCCUUUUUUGGGCCAUUCUGAUGCUGAUUUAGUUGCCGAUUCCUCAUGUUCUUGUUGCUGUCUCUCUUUGUCAUGUGUGUGAGGGGUCAUGUGGCGUGCUCUCUUAUUCUUGGCGAAUUUACAGUUGAUUUGUUUACCUUGUGCUGUGUUUAUUAUAUUUCUCCCCUGACUGCACGGCUUUUCCUUUUUUAAUUGCAAAAAAUGUACUGUGUAGGAGCUGCUAUCCACUUGCCUCUGCCUUUUCCAGUUCCUGUCUCCCUUUCUUUUUUUUUUCAUUGACGCAAAUCGCGCGAAAAAUAUUCUCUUGAUUUCUGUUCCUUCCUUCGUCUGACUGUCGGUUUUCUCUCCUUGCAUCUCUCUCUAACUCUUUGGUUUUUGUAUAUUGCGCGUAUUUCCUGUCCUUAUUUUGUUGUUUUUGCUGUAGCUUCUGUUUUUUCUCCGUUUUGACUUUUCGCUUUGCUUUUGCCGUCAUCUUUUUUGCUUUAUGAUUUUGUGUUUGCAUACUAUUAACAUGGAAAAUGUAAGCCCGGGCGGAAAAAUUGUUUGAAAAAGAGUUAAUGGCUAUCACCCACGCAAUGCCGUUCCCUAGCUCUCUCUCUCUCACUCACUGUCCCUCUUUGUUAACCCACGCUCUUUGCAUACUUUCAUAAUUAUGCGUUUUUUCGUUUUUGAUUCUCUGGUUUUUGCUCUUCUUCUUUCCCUCUCCUCUUCCGCUUCCACUGCUUGUGAUUUCUGUUGCUUUGUUUGAAGUCGAUGGCUUUUCAAUAAACUUUUACACAUUCCAACUGUCUGCAGCUCAUUUCCAGUUGCCUUUUUACCCUUUUACCCCCCUUCUGCGUUGAGUCUCUUCUUCUUCUUCUUCAUACAUUGGAAUUGGAAUCGUUGCGUUUUGGUUUUAUACCCUACAGAAAUGCACCGCACAUAACAGUCGUUUUAUUUUGUCAGAAAGUUGCUCAAUAUUAUGAUAUCUUGAGAACAAGAAACUGAUUAAUAGCAUUAGAACUCGCAAUUUCAGCAAAACAGCUGAAUUCGUAUCGUUUAUUGAACAAUGUAGAAAUGUACGUACAUUUGGAUGCACAUUACAUCCAAUGUCCAUGUCUGAUGUGUAUCAAAAAGUUUCGCUACUGUUUAAACAGGAUAUAAAGCAAGAGUAUAGGCUAUUCGUGAGUUUUCGUGCGAUGGAUGAAUGCUGAUUGUGUUGUUUGGUUUGGUUUUUGGUUUGCACGAAUUGUUUGUGGAAUAAUUUUUACAGCCUUGUUGUGUGUUUUGGAACGCCCACACGUACAUAUAGCCCACAAAGCCCACGCAGAUGCUGCCGCAGAAAGGGGGAGACAGAGAGCGAGAUAAAUACAUACAUUUGAACAUGUGUAUGUGUGUAUGCCCACACAGAAAUGCAGAUUUGUUUACUAUUGUACAUAUGUAUACGGAUGCAUACUGUGGUCAGAAAAUAUUUCCAAAAUUCUCUCUCGUGCAAUGAUUUCGUUCAAUUUUAGUUUUUUUUCGGUUAUAAAAUGUUUAUUAUUGAGGGACUUUAUGAAUUGUUCAGAUAAUUUAAAGGAAUAUUUCGUAUUUUAUCGGAACGGAACGAAGCGACCGUCGCUGGCCAUCCCCCAAAAAAGUAUAUAUUGUAUCUACAUACAAUACUAUAAUCGUCUUAUAUUGGCUAAUCCCCCACGCCCACUCAUUUGGACGUUUGUUUCAUUUGCGUAUUUUCAUAUUUGAUAAGAACAUUUCGCUGUAAAAAUUAAUGAAUAUGUGGAAAGAACAAAGAAUAAAUGACAUCGUCGUAGAGAGUGAUAAUCCCCGGGAAAGGUCGCAGUGGACUCGACUGGCGUUCGCUGAUUAACGCUGAAAAGCAUUGCAAAAACAAUAAAGAAAUCAAAUUAAAUGUGAUUUAUUUGAGUAAAUGAGCUCAUUUCUAUAUAUUUCAAGAAAUUAUAGAUUUUAACUUGAUUUGUAGAAAAACAGAGGAAAGGCAGGGGAAAUACAGGAUGACAGAGAAAAAUGUAUAUAAUUUUCAUGGAAACGGGAACUACCCCCGAUUUGUGUUACAAAGGAAACAACAACUUUAUCGGCAGAGAGAUGUGUAUAUCCCCUUGUAAUUGACGCACUUCUGCUUCUAUUAAGCAUUGCUUACAAUUCUUAAGAUUGGAAACCAUUCCAAACAAGUCCUAGGAAACAAAUAUCUUCUAAAGCGAAUUACUUACUCCCCUUUAUUAUCUGUAGUGGAGGUUUACGCUCGUGUGUGUACAUUUGUAAGUUCUUUCUUCUGAAAUUCUGACAUAUUGCAUGGAUGCUUGCAUGCUUGUUGGCCUUUUUGGGAAACUAAAUAUCCAUUAAAACCGCCUGAAAAAUAAACCAAAGGAGAGAUAUAUGUAUUGCAAAAGUUUUAUGUUGCUGCAACAGAUUGCAGCUCUCCAAAAAAAGUUUGUGCCUCGUCUUGUCUCUCCAUCUCUCUCUUUGGAUGACAGCUGCUGCUUGCAGUUUCCAUUUCUGGAGCUUUUGAUUCUUGGCCUUUUUCACACAGUUUAUUGACACGACUCAAGUUUCGGGUGUCUGUGCGUGAGCGGGCACGGCUGCAGCUUCAGAAAUUUCAACUUUUGCUUGUGUUGCUCAGCCAACAUACCAUAAAGUGCAUUUAAAAUGUGAGAGAAACUGAGAAUGAUAAUACAUAGAUAUUCGAAAACAUAUCAUAUUUGUACAUCAAAUUGAAUGCUGAAAUCAAACUGAUGGAUGAAGAGCUUCCUUCAUUAUAGUGCACGUUUUCUUUUUUAAUUAUUACUAAUUUACAAGCUCAAUUAUUCCAAAUUCCUUAAUUUAUGGAAACUCCCUUUGUUUACACACAAAACUUUAUAUUCCAAUUUAAUUCCCCGUCGAAUGCAAAAAUCAUGCAAUAUUUUAGCGAAAUAUUUUCAAUUAUGUCACGAAGUUGCGGUUGUCGCUCGUGCCAGAGCUUUACGCAUUUAUAUUUUAGUCAAACGAUAGAAAAAAAAGUUUGUUUGCAUUUGCAUUAUUCAUGAUUUUCAUGCUUUUUUUUGAAUGGUUUUGAGGCCCUAAUUGUUGUCAACCAGGCAGCAGCGCGGCUGUGGCAGCAACAAUCAUGUGCAUAAUAUGUUAAGUUAUGCUUAUUUGUCAUAUUUAUAUUUUCAUUUUAAUCACAUUUACUGUCCAAUGGGAGGGGGAGUCUGUCACGUAGUUUUGCUUUCCGUUUUUGUGGCCUCACAUUUCCGAUUGCUGACUCAGAAAGAUCGGCGGCAAUCUCUUGGUGGGAUUCAUUACACAUUCAGCGUCUCAAGCCGAUAGACACGAGAUUUCUGCAUAAAUUUAUAUGUGACUCAAAACGAGUGCUGCUGAUAAAUCUCCGAGACAGCAGAGAUUGGAAGGGCUGACGGGGCGGAUUGACGAUAAUCGGCUAUGGUUCUGAGAACUCGGAAAUGUUGAGAUGAUUAUUGAAAUGAAAACAAUUCUGGAAAUCUUUAGUUGUAUUGCAUUUUUUUAAAUAAAUAAUUGGAUAGAGAGUUGAACAAGGAGAAUAACAGAAUGGAAAAUUCAAACAGAAAGAAUGAUUCAGAUUCUGUGAUUAUCUCUCGAUCUUCACAUUAAUUCAUGUGGGAGCCUGUUGAUUUUAUUUGUACGAUUUUUUGCUUAUAAUCUAGUUUGUUUCACUGUUCCAAUGACAUUUGUUGCGUCUUUGGCAUUGACUCUUAGCAAUCCAUUUGUUACGGCAAACAAUACUUUAGUUCCUCUCUCUAUAUCGCCCCCUCGGCUGCUUUCUGCACCUUUCUCUUGUCCUCUCUCUCAAUUUAGAAAAUGUUUAUGAGUAUAUUUAUUUAUUUUAUAUACUAUUUAAAGGUUCUGAUUCGUGGCACGUGCUUAAGCGAAUUUACAUUUUCAUUUACGCCUGAAAUGAGAGCACAAUUUUCGUCGCAUUUAUUCCUGGGAAUUUUUCCGCUUUUCUUUGAAUUUGUUGUGGCUGGAUUGGGGGGAGUGAUGAGAGGUAAGCGGGGGGAAAUAGAGUCUGGUGGGGGAGGGGCAUAGGCUGUGGGAGUCCCUGGCGUUUCGUUGGGAUUUACUUAUUGCCACACGAUGAGCUCCGAGCUGGGAUCGCAUUCUCCUGUUGCCUCCCUUUGCAAAAUGCCAGCGGGUACACUGUGUCCUCUGCCUCUGACUCUGUUCCAUGCCCCCCAAAUGUCUGCCACUGCCGUGCCACUGUUCCAUUCUCCACUGCGUGCCGUCGCCAUUCCUGCCUCCCUUCCAUCCCCUUGCUGUUUCAUAUGCAAAUACUCGUAAUAUUUUUCAAAUGUUGUUUGCUUUUGGCCAUGCUCUCGCACAAUUUUCUUUUUCAGCCAUGGGACCGUGUGGAAGGGGGGGGGGGGGGUGGGGUAAUGGUGCGGGCUGCCUUUUCACAUUUUUCAAUUUUCCACGUUUCCACGCUUUGUUGUCGCUGAUAGUCCCUAUGUAAAUGUGUAUAUAUUGUACGUAUGUAUAUAUGUAUGUAUACAUACAUAUGUACAUCCCUUGCUUACAUUUUCUUUACAUCUCUUUUCGUCUCUCCAUCUAGUUGUGUUUUCCACCAACACAAACAAUUCUCACUUGGCUUUCCCUGGGUUUCCCGGCCGCCACAGCAGCUGUGCAACGAACGGUCCAGAGUCCCGGAGUCCACACUCCCGACCAGGCCAAAUAGGAAGUUGUUGUCCAAUGCCGAGUAGGAGCAAAAUGUUUGCAUUUGAAAUUACCCAUGGGCCAAUGACUGUUGACUGCUUUGACUGCUUCUUUUUUCCUUUAUUUUCUUCUCUCAUUUUGUUGUGUGUAGAAGUGGCUGUUGCUGCAACAUUCUGUAUUUGCUGCUUGGCUUCCGUUUCGACAGCCUGCCUGCCUGCCUCAUGUGCCACAGUGGAUCGCAGGAGGUGCUGAAACCGGUGCCGGGAAGCAGAAACACACUUGAAUAUAAUUUGAUUUGAAAUUUCGCAAAAUUAAUCAACCAAUCCCCCCUACUCACACAAACACAAAAAACACACACAUGUUGCAUGCCAGCACUCCUCUCAUGGGUUCAGACGACAUAGGGAGCUUUUCAAGGUAUUUGAAUAUCCUGAAAAAGAGAAUAUUUUAAAAUAUUCGUUUGACCUUCCGCGUUCCACUUUCUUGAUGGCAUUUUUCCAAUUAAAGUCUUAGAGAAUUCUUAAUUGUUCUGUAUGAAAAUGGGUUGAUACGUUUAGGAAUAUCUAUUAAAUUUCCAAUGAAGUUUAAGUUUAGUCAAGUCUUAGUUGAAAAUAAUCAUUAAUGGCUCGCUAAUAGCUUAUAUUGUAAUGGGCCCAGGGUAUAUGCUAUUCGGCAUUCAUGGCAAUGUUUGCUGCCACAUUUUUGGUCAAGUAUGCUGUAAUUUAUGUAAAUUUUUCAUCAGCUUCCUUUCCCUCUGGCUCGUUCAGUGUGUUACCUACCGGUUGGGGUCCCCAGAACCGCAAAGUAUGCAAACAUGCACCGGAAAGUUUAUUUGAGAGAAAGGUAGAUAGAGCGAGAGAGAGAGAGAGCGUGAGAGAUAGAGAGAGAUAUACUACCCCAUUUGUUAUGCACUUUGACGGAAAGGAAGAGAAAAUUCACUGUUGUUUCAUGUUGCUGUUGUUUCUGUUGCCUGCAUAAAUUUAAAUACUUAAUUAGUUGUGGGAGUAAAUGGGAUUUAAGGUUAUUUUUCACCUCUCCCAGAAAUAAGGCUAAACAUGCAAUAAAUCUACAUUUUGUAUACACACAUUACACCGAAGAGAUCCGAGAUGGAGCUCCAAAACCAACAGACAGCCAGCCAGAGAGGUUCCUUCUUUUGUAAUCAAUCAAUCAGUGGAGAGUGGAGAGGCUCAAGUGCCCCAGAUAUACAAUAUUCAAGAUUCGAUUUUAGUGGCUGAAAUAACAAUUUAAAAUCUGAUUGAAAAACGAGAUUUACUUUGUGAAGGAGAGGCCUAUAGCAUGGAGAAUGGUUUGUUGUGGCAUGGAUGGAGUAGCAUUGGAUGAAGGAGUGGUCGGAUCUGAAGUUCAAUAGUGAUUCUUCUUUGAUUUUUCUCCCUGGAUUGCUGACACAGAAUUUAGAAUCAGUGCAGAAAUAUUUUUUGUGGUUAUAUGAACCCUAAUUUUGAGUCAAAUGAAUCGAGUGCUAAUCAAGAAAUCCCCUUAAUGGAAUGCGUUGCAAAUGGAUUGUACUCCUAAUUUUAAUGCCCCGAAUGAAAUGGAUUGGACUGGACUAGAAUGGGGUGGAUCGGUGUCUGGUCUGGUGUCAUGCCAAAAACGCAAAACAGAAAUGGAGAAUUUCAGUAAAUUUUUCUAGACUAAGUAAAUAGCCAUUUGUCGAUAAGCCAAAGCUUAGCACAGUGGGGUUUUCAUUUUUGGGUUCUGCCUCUUCUUUCUUUCGCCUUUCGUGGACUUCUGUUUGCUCUAUAGCCAGCCCCCUGCCUCCCGCUCGCUUGUAACCGUCUUCGUUGCCCUCUUUUCGUUUCGCUACCCACAUCCAUGCUCUGUUAUCUGUCUGUCUUCUUUAACAACAGUUCGAUUUCGUUUCGUUUUGGGUUCGAUUUCGUUUCGUUUUUCAUUCGUUUUUUGUUUCAAUUUUCAUGUGUGUAUGUGUGUAAGUUCUUUUGAGAAGGGUUUAAUGACCAGAGGGAGACAGACCGCGUUCACUGCGCUCUGCUCUUUUCUCCCUUCUCGCAAGCCACCAUGCGAGCGUGAGUGAGUGUGAGAUGGUGUGAGUGGGUGCAUUUUUAAUCAUGUACUUGCCUACUUAGCUUUUUAGUUGCCAACAGCAAUAACCUGCCUCUUCGCUGCCCAACCACCCACCGGACAACGAUCCAGCAGUGUUGUAGGCCAGGUCCCCAUUGGGGGCACAUGUGCCACGUACUGUGUAUGUGUGUGUGUGCCUCUGCCUCUUUUGCUUAUUCCUUAUAUGCACGAACAUUCGUCUUUUGCUCUUUGUGCUUUUUUUCACGUAGAAUUGGCAUGCAAGGCAGGCACAAACACACAGGCAUAAAAACACACAGGAAGUACACUAAAAAGCUCUCCCAUGUGUAUGAAGUGUUGCAAUAUAAAUUUUCUCUAUUUUGGAAUUCAAUGUCAAUUGCUUGAUAGACCAUAAAUCGAUUGGUGCUUUCAGGGUUUCGUUUCAAUUAAAAAUCUAUACAUACAUAUGAGGCAAGUGAGGUUCGCAGGGUGGUUCUCUUCUCGAAUAACUGAAAAAUAACCGAGUUCUGCCUGCAUUUGCAUUCGGCAUACAGUACAGUGCGUUGCAGUAUUGUAUGACUAAAGCUAAAGGAAAAGAUUUCAACGACGCUGAAUUGGUUUAUUUUAAAACCGAAAUUUACAUCAACGUUUACCAAAAAUACAGAAAUGUUUCUUCAGACUUCUACGUACUGACUGUUAUGAAACGCAGCUGUUGUUCAUUCCAUGUUUUUCAAUUACAUGUGUUGCAUGUCCUGAAUGUUGCACUCUUGUUAUCCAACGCCACCUCCCCCAACCACACGCCCCCCCCAAAGCCCAUCUUGUUUUCGUUCGUUUUUAUUUAUGUUUGUUUGUUGGAACAAAACUUUUACUUACUUUUAGCCCGCGUUAUGUGUCAUUUUUGCACGUUUUGGCCGAGUUUACAUAUUCCAAUUCUCUAAAAUGUCAGUGUAGGAGGCUCCCCCGGGCGGCAGAUGAGGGGUAUUACUGUUUGGGUACAGAUGGAUGGAUGUCCAUGGCAACUCAAAGUUCGAACAGAACCAAUUUUGUUUUAAUAAACUGAUGAUAAAGUUAUAUCCUUUUAUGUAAAAGUUCUCUCUUUGUGCUUUUGAUAUUGUAUGUCCCAUUGUCCUGUUGGUAUUUCAUAUUCCCCCCUUUAUCCUUUCUCUCCAUCACAUUCCCACUUUGUCCUCAAAGUCGCAAAAUUGUUCUUUGGCAUCAUGCGUCCCAGCUUCAGCUUCAGCUUCAGCUUCCCUUUGAGGGAAACUUCAAAAGGCUUUCCAUCAUCCACCAGCCAUCGCGUACGGGAAGGGAAGCAUCCUUUUGAGGUGCAGCCUUCUGUAAGCCCUUGUCCACCCCGCCUCACCUACAACCAACUGGAUCAAGUUAUGGCAAAGAGGGAGAGCGAGAGAGAGUGCAACAUUUAGAGGACCAACAGCUGCCCCCAUGCCAGGAGUCAGUGUGGAUGGAUGGAAAGAGAUGGCAACAGGGAGCGAAAGCGACAGAGAGGAAUUCUCGGAGUUAAUUCCGUGCUUAUCAGCUGUGGGCCUUGUUUGGAUAAACUUUGCAUUAAGCUGAGCGCGUAUCGCCUUGUUGAGGGAGAUACCGUCAGGGAUUGGCACCAGCUGCAUACCCUGUAGAUACAUACAUUCGGGUGCUCAAAAGCCAACAGAUUCCUUUCGGCCCAAGGAUUGUGUGAUUGCAAUGGAAUAUCUGACAAAAGACUAGCGCGUACUCUUCUUCCUGGUGCUGCCACUGCCACUGCCACUCCACCGCUGGCCAUGUGCUGCUGAUGCCCAUGUCUGUUCUGGCCUGGUCGGAUGGGGUUUUUGGCCCAACGUUGUGCGGCUGACAUCAUUGUCUUGCUAUGCAACUCGGGCAUGGCAUAGGGCUGGGACUGAUACUGUGGUACUGUGACUGCGACUGCGACUGCAACAGGGGCUCAUUUAGAGUCCUACUAUCCGCUGCUGAAUGCACCACAAUCCCUAGGUCUCCUCUGGCCCCUGCGCUGACAUGUGCGCUCCCUCGGAACGUUCUCAUUUCUGCACUUUUUCCUUUCCUUCUCUCUCUGUUUCUCUGCGACAGCUUUUGUGCUUGCGUUUAAUUGAAGAUUUUUUGACAGCAAACGUCGUUGGCAUAGAAAGUCAUGAGAAAGAGAAAAAGAGUGAGGCAGAGAAAGAAGAGGAUGUGGGACGAAGAGUUCGUAGAACUUUUGCACAUACCCACACAAAUGGCAGCGAUAACAGGGCCAGGCUCUUCUGGCUUCUGAAUGCCGCCGCCGCUGCCUGACUGACGACUGCCACUGCCAGCUUGCCAGCUUGCCAGCCUGCCUGACUAUGGCAACUGUGGGCACUCCUCUGGCAGCACCCAUGGCAACCCUAUGCUCCGACCCAUUUCACUAUCGACAGCCGGGGGCCUUUGUUUAAGCUUUAUUAUGCCGUUGCUUUUCCAUGGCAGAAAUGUCCUUUAAAAUACGGGGCGUAGCACACCCGAAAAAGUUUAAUAGAAAUAAUAGCGGUGCAUAAUGUGUGAAAUGUGAGAGUGUGUGUGUGUUGAAAUUAAUGGAAAUUUCAACUUUUAAAUGGAAAAAGUUUCGUGUAUUUAAUAUUGAGAUUGCAGUUUUUGAUAUGUGCCUUGAUAGGGGACUCGCACUGGUUUCAAAUAGUUGGCUCAGCUCAGCGCACAAUACAUUUUAGCAAGUGGAACCCAAGGUGUAUUCUAAAUAUAAACAUUGCAGCAUCCACAAAAUUGUGAUCCAUCUCCAUCUAUCAUUCCACUGCAAUUAUUGGAUUCCUCAUCACAUUUUAAUGGCAUCUCCUUCUCACACACUCUCAUUCUUUCGUUACAUUCUGUGGAUUCCAAUGCACAUUUUCAAUUUCUAUUAAAUGGAUUGGGCACUGGGAAUGCAGCCAAAAGGUGGACAAUAAUCCAUUUACAGUUUGGCACGUUCAAGGCGAGAGAGCGUGAGAGAGAUGUCGCAAAGCGAGAAAGAGGUACAGAGAGUGAUAGUGAGAUAUCGACUGCAAGUGGUGAAAUUUUACCAUUUGGUUCCUUUUGUUCGAAAUGUUCUCCGCUUCAAAGUUUUUCGGGCACUUUUCUUUCGUUUUGUUGUUGCUCUUUCUGCUGUUUUCUGUGGGUGCAAAUCACACAUUUGUCGCAAAUUUAUUGUAUAUUAAUGGAAAUGGAAAUGGAAAAUAAUAUUCAUUCAGUGGUUGGCUGGAGAAGGUGCUUGGCUUCGUGGGUUGGGGUGCAACCACAGUCAUGAAUAUUGAUAAAGCAAAUUGAUGUUGAUGUUUGCAAUAUUUUUUUUUUAAUUAAAAAAACUUCCAACUUGUUUUAUAAAUACGAAUAAAUAAAUCAAAUAUUUCGUUUUUUUAGCUAAGUUUCGGAAAUAUUUGGUGAAAUAUUUAACGAUUUUGGAUUCGUUUUUAAUUACUGUUUCAGCGGAAGGGUGGAUGAGUGGAUGAGGUGUGACCUCGUCGAGCCUUGCAUGUCGAGGGAUUUUCCACGGACUUCAAUCGAUUGUCAAGUACCUGCCGCCGCCUCGCAUUACCCCACUUGCACUUGUUUCGUUUUUCCUCUUUCCGAGGUUUUCCCGAAUGAUUCAAUUACGAUUCCUUGCACGAGCGCAAAAUGGUGAAAAACCCACAAAUAAACACAGGCGUGUCAGGUGUGAGUGUGGGCGUACAGGAAAAAUCAAUGUUUCGCCGCGGUAUUUUCCCAGUGAGCCAAUUCAUGGGACGGACGGCAGGUGGGAAAUCGCGUUCAAUCGAAUUCUAUAUUGCGGCAUAAUAAAACAAAAUACAAAUUGCAGAACUGACCCAGAUUGGCUCACGGGUUUCUGUUCGAUUUUGAUUAGUUUUGGAAUUUUUCCCCAUUUUCCCCCGGCAUUUGUAAACCAAGUGGGAAAGACUGAGUACAAAUUUUCCAUGGCUCUUUGAAGAUGUUUGGUCUACUUUUGAGUUUUUUGUUUGCAUUGAAAAUAGCUGCGAAAUGGCGGAGGGCCUCUAGAUGAUGUGGAUAAUGUGACUAGCUCGGACACUAUUUGUUCGCGCAACUGAUUGAUCUUCAAAAUAACUUUCGAUAACCAAUACCUUUCAGAUUGCCAACCAUUAAUUGCCGGCUAUUUUAAGGCACGUUCUAUGCUAAUUUUGAGAUUGUUUAAUGUUUACCAAUGUUUUUGCACAAUUAACCAAUCGAUGAUGAUGGACACACAAUCGAAGCCAAACACAAUGGACACAAAAUCAAUGCAAAUAUGUGGAUACGUCCAUUGAUGUUGUUAAUUCCAUUUGGGAAAUGCAUUUCAUGCCACAUUUGGCUGCAGCCACAUGUUGGCUGCACUCGAUGCACAAAUAAGGCUGAUGCAACAAGAAAAAUAGAUGUAUAAAAAAAGUGAGCAUAAAAUGUGCUUGUUUUUUGCGUAUUUGAUUCUGAUUUUUGUUGCCGGCACGGAACCCUCGGCUUAUUUGAUUAAAUAUUGUAUUUGCUCGCUUGUUGUUUUAUUGUCUGCUUGCCAUUUCAGUGUUUUUUUUAUUCACAUUUCAAUUGCACGCCCAAUUAAUCGCCGAUAAUUUACAGCAGCUGCUCUGCUUACUGCCGAUUUAUUUGCUGUCUGGAAUGUCUGUCUGCCCAUCUGUAGCGCUCUGGCGCUGUGUUUACUCCCACUCAGCCAUGGUUUUUUUUUGUGUAGCAUAAAGUAUGAUGUUCAGUUCGCAUUUAUUUAUCACAAACUCAAUGAAAAAGAAGAGGAUGCUUAAAAAAGUAGUUAUGAACAGUAUUUCCAUAUUUUCUUGCCUUUAUUUGUGGUUUUUGCAUGGCAAUUUAUCCUUUCUACGCAUUAGCGGGGGUAUCUUUAAGUCGCAACAUUCCCUGAGGGGGCGGAGCUUACUUGCUGUGUAAACAAAUUUCUGUUGAUGCGAAACCCAUUUUUAAUUGUGUUUGAGUACCCCCUCCCCGGACAAAACGCCUACUAAAUGAAAAGCAAUGGUAGAACGUGUAUCUAUGGCUGGAAGAAAAACCUCUGCAGACGUCAGAGAGACCUCUCUUUCUCUCCCCAUCUCUCUCCCAUUCUCUCAACUUCUUAUAGCUCUCCCACUGACUCUUUAGUUGUGAUAAAAAAAGCAAUCCCCAACUGACUUAUGGCGUAUGCUAAUUAGACCUAUGCGUCACUCCUACUCUUAUUAUUUCAUUCCCCUGCCGCUGAUGCCUAAUGCCAUUGUGUGUGUGGCAGGCAGAAGAAACGGGGAGAGUGGAUAGAGAAAGCAGAAGAAGCGAGGGACCUGGACUUUAAGCUGCUUGUAAGCAGUGCUCUUCGGUUUAAAUUCUGCUUUACGAUGUUAUUGCCGUUUCAUGUGCGACAAUUUUUUCACUUUUUUUAUUUUCUUUUCCUAGCUCUGACUCUUUUUCGCUUUGGAGCUCUACUCCCCACUCGGACUGUGUUGCUUAGUGGCAAUGAAAAAGCUUAGCUCUGCGAAGCUCAGAAUGAAUGUAUUAAAAGGAGCGAGCAAAAUGCAGUCUGUGAAGCAGUGGCAUUCAGGCUGGGUGAACGCAAGCAGGGGAACUUAAGCUGAAGAGCAAGAAACUGAGAGUAAUAUAGCAAAAGCAACAUUGCAUGGCCAGGAGGGAGACUGGCAUAGAUGGAGGAAACAUGAAACAAACACGCACACGUACACACUGGUAGCGGAAACCCAAGAGUUAAUGAGGAAAUAAGCUUAGAUAAUGGGGCAACACACACUUAGACACACACAGUGCAACAGGGAAGGGGUACCCAAAGGAGAGGCGGCCAAAGGAUCGGGUCAUCUCCAAUGGGUGUUUGGCCGAACGUCUUGGUCUCAGAUUCUCAAGCAAGUAUUCCCAUAUUCUCCAAUGUUUGCGGUUCGGUUCUGUUGUCACAUGAGAAUUUUGUAAAUGGUUUGUUUUGUCCAGCAAUUAGUUUGAAAGGGCGCUCUGGGCACGGGACACUGGAAACAUGACACAAGGCACGAGGCACCCUGCAUGCAUGUGUAUAACUAGGCAGGGAAGCCACAAAGAGUAACUCGGGGUAUAAACAAUGACCAGGCAUUGUCAUGGAGAACGAUACGUACAUUGUAGCUAUGUAAAAGCUGUCGGGAGCCUAUGCUUGGGUCGAGUCUAUAGCCUCUCGCUCGGGUAGUUAUCGCAUCUUGUAUCAAUUUAUUGUAAAUUGAUAAGCUAUUAAAGCGCUCUUGUGGAGUUGUAGCCGGGGGGUGUUAAUGGUAUGCAAUACAUAUUAUAUUUUAGGGGGGGCUUGGAAUAUCAGUUUGUGUUUUGCCCAAAUUCUCCUGGGAGACCAAAGGUAUAGACCACGUACACACUCAUACGCAGAACACUGAGCAGAUUAAAAUAAUAAUAAUACAAUUGAGAAAGCAGCAUAAUUAUUCCUCGUCAUUGAAUAAUCAUAGCAAGAUUUAAUCAGCAUUAUUAAUUAAUUAAUUUUGACGCAAACAUGAGUACUGAAGGAUGUUACGGAAAGUCCUUGCGAAUAUUCAAUAACAAAUUUGAGAACAUUGUGGGAAUAUUUAAAUUUACACAUAUUUGGACAUGGAAGAUGUAUCUCGAGGUGGUUUGGUAUUAGUUGCACGAGGAAAGCUGUUAAUGUUUGCAGAACUUUCAUUUUGCAGCUUCAAAAUUUGUGUUGAAACUUUGAAAGUAAACAUUCAACAACAGGCAGAUCUAGUGUGCUUCUGAGCUUAUUGAGAGAUUGGACAAACAGGAUGAUCAGGCUAACCAACCCUUAAAAAAAUAAGAAAUCAAAGCAUUCACUUUGCCCACUUUGGACAUACUGGGCACAGAGAGAAAUUUAUGUCACUUUCUGUUGCAAGACAAUUGAGCGCAUCUGAGUACUGGGCUUAAGCUGAAAUGUUUAGGAAAUUUCCAUUUAAUGACACAUUGAGUCAAAAGAAAAGAAUGUUGAGCCGCCACACAUGCUCGUACAUUUUGUAGUUUAUUCGCAUUCCUUUCAUAAUGAAGUGCUACUCCAUGUACCAUGCAACCAUACACCCACGCACCCUUGCCACCUACGCAGUCUUGCACCCACGCACCCCUGGCUCACCCACUCUCUCUCUCCCUCUCAGUAGGAGCAUCCAUUUCGUUGUCGAACCAUUCGAAUGCCAGAUGCCAAUGCAAAUAUCUCAUUAAUUUUGAAUGCUUUGUGUACACAAAACAAAAGAAUUAUAAAUAUAUUUUCAAAAAAAAAAGAGAAGGAAUCAAGAAGUUGUGCAAAACAAAGAAGUGGGCAAACAAACAAGCAACAAAAAAGGAGAGGAAAACAAGCAAUGAUAUUAAUUAUGCAGUAAAUAACGCUUUUUAUUGUACGAAUUCGCAACAUGAGAAGCGGCGAGUUAUGGAGGCAAAUGGGGGAGGUCCUCAUACAAUAAAUGUCUGCCAAUGUGCCACAGAAUUUAAUUAAAAUUCCAAAUGCAUCAUAAAUAUUGCAAAUAAUUUCGACGGAACAGAGUCCCAGGGCUCUGCCAGGCAGUGGAUUGUAUGAAUCAAAAGUAUUUAAAGUGCACCCGAGGACCUGCUCAAUAUUUGAUUUGGAUUUGUAUUUGUGUUUGGAGGAUACUUCUCUCGCUCCCUUUCACUCUCGCAAAAUGAGCAAAUUGUGUAGAGCCUUUUGUUUUGGCCCCAUUCAACAUGGAUGAGUUCAAAAAGGGAUCAGCAUUCGUGAUUGUUGCAACAAUCUGAAUGCCUUUUGUGGCAAACGGAAUGUAAAUUUAGUUGAGGAAACAAUGACGUGUCUCUGUCCAUCUUUCUCUCUUCAAAAAUACUUGUUGAAAUUGUGUGUUUAUUAGUGUUGUUCAGACAGAUAGAGGAGGAGAAGUGUUUGUUUUUGAAAUGAAUAAAUUACAAGGAUUUAUUUCUACAUAUCUACACAUAACUAAAUAUUCUCUUUCUCUCUCUCUUCAUUUUUGCAGGUAAGCCUCCCCUUUUUCGUUGAUUGAUUCUAUGAGUGAAUCCCACUCUGCCCCACUGUGUUCCAUCGUCCCCACUUUGGGGUAAGUUAUUCCCUCAGAUAUCAAAUAUAAAUCUUUUACCUUUUUUUUGUAACGGUUUUCACGAAAAUCCCACGUUGCCAAUGUCAAUAUUUAUGGCAGUUCCAUGGGGGAAUCGCCCUCAUUCGCCAUCCUACAGUCAAGGGUAAAUAUAUAUAUGUUUGUUGUGGUUCUAAAAACAAGCAACAAAAAAAUAUUCAACAUUCGACAGAUGAAAAAUGGGUUUCCCCACUUUGCGCGUUGUUUUCGUUGCAUUUUUUCUCGUCAAAUUUUUUCAACGAGCCGUAAUUUCAGGUGGCAUUUGUGCCAUAUGAAUGAAUGCACGAAAUAUACAAAUAAGCAGCAGUACGAAAAACGAAUACAAAUAAAAGCAUAUGGACAGACCAUAGUGGUAAAAUAUAUGGAGAAAACUCAAAAGUUACAUAUCGUGGCGGGGCCUUGAUGAAUCUGUAAGUUUGCAUUAGGAAACGGACUGUAACAGGCGACAGUGGGAUGAGAAGAUAAUAAAUUUAAGGGAAAUUCAAAUGAAAAUAUUCUUUCGUUUAGAAGAAAUGAAAUAAAGGUACGCACCACAUCCACUGUGCCAAAAUGUGAGCUCCACCGUAGCUUGUUGAACGGAUGAGGGAGAGGCGUAAAAAGCUGCAUAGCAGUGGGGCAGAUUAACAAGAGAGAGAGGCCACUCCGCCGGAUACACUUGUGUUUUUUUGCCCUUUAUGAUCUCUGGGGAUUGACAAAAACAUUAGAGAAUCAUCAUAAUGAGUAAGUGUGUGUGUUUGGGGCAGAGAACAGAGGAAUGUUCGUUGGAGUAAAUAUAUGCAUGCACAUUAUUUCUGUUAGCGAAACUUUUUUAGGGCUUUGUGCUGCGACACUGUGUUUUGUGUGUCGCCUUAUGAUUAUGGAAAAUUUGAUUAAUUUUCAUUUGACUUUUUCGCUGAUGUUGGCGAUGGGUAAUCGUGUGUCGUCGUCCAGGUGCAGAAAGUUGGGCCUUUGGUGAGGUGCGAGAUUUAUAUUACAGCCACACACAGGACAGGAAAAAAUAUGAAUAACACGGGAAGUCCUUGGGUAUUUCCUUUUUUAUUUUCUUUGUUUUAAAUUGUUUCCGCCUUUGUGCUAACACGAACACCCCACACUCCAACAGUCUUACACGCCUUUCAAGUGGGCCUCGUGACUCGAAGGAGUUUCGCGACUUUGCCUCUCGAUUCGCUUUACAGCAAUAAACUUCUGCUUGACUGCCGUUCUGAUUUCUACUGCUUUCUCGCGCUUUUUGGAGCUUCUCAUGGCUCUGUGCACGUAGUUGGAUAUACCCUUUCAUCAUUUUAAAGUUGUUUGAGGAAAGAAAAAAAUACGAUAAGGAUUACAUCAGUUGGAACAGCUGCCAAACAUUUUCUCGCAGGGUAGUGUAUAUUCAUUUUCGAUCUUUGCAUUCAAAAUCUUUUACUCGUUAAUGAAUCCCUUUGUUUGGCAUGGCAUAUGCUCCUGUCUUGAAUUGUUUCCCCUUCUAACUUCCACACUGCACCAUUCCACUCUCUAUCCUUGUAAGGAUAACGUAACACUGUAAUCUCAUCUUCUUGCAUUCCACUUUCAUGAAGGAGUAGCGGAGUAGCGGUUCUUGAUUUCUAUUUUCUCAUCCAAUAUUUAGAUAGCAAUGCCGCGCUUCUUGGCUCUAAUUGAAAAUCUCUAAUCCCAAUUUCGGUUUUCAAUUUUAAUGGAAAAAAGUUGUUCGCGGUUGCAAGCAAACGCCCGGAGGGUUUCCUAAAUGCAAAUACGUUUCCCACGCCUCUUUCCUCUUCUCAUUUGGUUGCGUAUUCCUUGAGGCCGUGGCAACACACCCAAUUAUUUGGGAAACUCCCACGCUAUAUCAUUUCUUCACACAUAAAUCUCAGCGAUAGUAUCUGCCAUUUAUAGCUUGCUCUCGCCACUGUUCCUCCAUCUCUCCAUUUCGCUCUGCCCUUUGGGCCGAUACACACAUUUGGCCAUUUAUAUGUCUAUUUUAUGUUGGCCACAAACAUUCGCUGAUGAUUCGUCUUGGUACAAAUUUUUCUCUGCUGCUGCUGCUCCUGCUCCUGCUCCUUGCGGUACUACUCAUCUUUCUUGAACUCCGUUCCUGCUCUGCCUUCAGCUCUCAUCUUUCGCCUGCUCUUCUGUUCCAUUCUUAUCUCUCUCCAUCCUCUUUCCACCUCUAGUUGGACUGUUUACUGCCUCUUGCUGGACUGUUUACUCCCUCUAUUUGGCUUGCUCUUUCUGCUAUUCCUCUUGCAAAACUCCAUCCUUCUUCCGUUUGCUUUAUCCUGGAGGGCAACACAUGUUGCUAAUGUGCCCGCUGAGACUUGUAUCGGAAUUACAGAGGUCUUGACUUCGCUCAAGCUAUCUCUUUUACACACACAUUCCCACCCUCUCCUUAUGAUCCCACCCUCUCUGUCGUGGACCAAAAGUUUUAUUGAUUUUGUGACAGUUGGGGCGUUUCGGUUGCCUCUCUGCUUCUCUCUGUCCUCCACUUUAUCAUCCGUAGGCAUUGGUCAUAACUGUUGUUAACCGUUGUUCUUGUUGCUGUUCUUGUUCCUCUUCUUGUUUCUCUUUUUGCCUGUUGUUAUAGUUUAGGUUUAGGUUCAGGCCUUCCUCGAAUUCAAUUCAAUUCAAUCAAGCGAAAACAGUUUGCCUAAAUGUCUCCAGUGGCAUGUACUUGAUUAUCGCCGUAGUUGUAUCUUUCUCUUUGUCUCUACUGUGUGUUUUUCUUCGUCUGUCUAUUGAAUCUGUUGCUAAUCUUGAUGAACUACAUAAAUACAGUGCAAACUGCCAUUCGCUUUAGUUUACUCACCUCUGCAGUUCAGAGAAAAAAAAAUAGCAAUAGAAGAAAGCGGUGUAAGCAGUUGAACUAAGCAGUACAGCUUGGAGUGGCAUGAAACAAGCAGUUGAAAAAAAACAGUACAACUUUGCCAUAGAAUUAAUCGAAGGAGGAAAUAAAAGAUGUCUCACCUUUCUCAUCUCUCUCUCUCUCUCUCUCUCUCUCUGGAAAGUCUUAUUGAAAAAUCAAACAUGAGUAGUGUAAACGGCAGCAGCCACUGAAGAGGAGCUGGGAAUAAGGCACUGAACAUUAGUGUAGCAGCAUCAUCUGGCUAACGAUUCAGUCAGAGAUGACAAACGUUUAUGACACGACAAAGGUGAUGGGUGGCGUGGCGGAGGAAGGGUGACGGAAGAUGAUCACUUGACAGGCACUCGGCCUAACCUUUGCCCCCCACGCGGCUAGCGGCACUAAUAUUAGUCCCCGUCCACUACUUUACGCUCCCCCAUCAGGGGAGGCAACACCUGUCUCAAAGCGUUUGGCCUGCUGUCUCUUCUGCUGUCUCUUAUCAUCAUGAUGCUUUUCCCUCUCCGUCGUGCGGAAAAAAGAAAGUGGGAAAGUGGUCCAGUGGGUGGCUGGUUAGAGGAGAAAGAAAAUCUGACUAGCACGUGCAACUGACAUGAAAAUAAACACAAAAGACGACAACUCUAAAUGACAGUUUUUGCAUUAGAUUUUCUUUUCUUUUUUCCUUCAUCUCUUUCUUCCCUUUUCUUUGCAUUUUUUAAAUUAUUUUGCCUUUUUUUUGGUGUGUGCUUUUUUCAUUCUAUUUUGUAUUUUCGUUUUUUUUAUAUAAUAAAGUUUGGAACCAAAAAAAAAAGAACGAGAAAAUGUAACUCUGACAGCUUUGCAUUUCAGUUCCCGGCUCUGAAUGCCGCUGAUUUACUUGCAUCUCUUUGUAACUUUCUCACAACCUAUUCUCUUUCUCUCUUUCGUGCUUCUCUGUGCUGUCUCUGUCAUCUCACUUUCGUUGGUGUUUGUGCUGCUGCUGUUCCUGUUGCUUUUGCUUCAAAGUAUUGCAGUGCAGUUUUUCCUUUUUCCUUCCUCCUGCUUAUUGAUAUCAAAAGUUUAAGUGCAGCUUUGGCUUGGGCUUACAUUACGCUUUUCGUAUGCUCAGUGCGUUCAUCCUGCUCGCUUAUACGAUGAAGGAGGAGGGAAAACUUCGGGAAACAGCUUGAGAUGGGUGCAAAGGGUGAGUGACGCUACCUAAAAAAACCACCACCCUAAAAAGUAUGCUACAGUAAAAAGUUGCUAGGAGAGAGAGAUGGAAUGAUAUUUGAGUGCCUACUUUCCAUGUUCCUUCCUUUCACGUAAAAACCAAAUUGAGCCAAAAAGAGGAAGAAUACAAAAAAAGGGAAACAAAUCAAUUUCAUUCGAUUCAGUUUUUGUCGGCUCUGAUUGUAUUGAGUGCAAGUUUUUUCCGCGUUGCCGCCUCGGUCGUAUGUGUAUGUGUGGAUUUCCAUAUGUGAGCCACGAAUGUGUGGCACGCUUACGGCCCAUGUUGCCCCUCCAUUUGAUGCCUUUUCAAGUUGCCUAAAUUGAUUUCCCAGUUACAUUUCCACGAGUUUCCUCACCCUCACCCUCACCCUCGUCCACACCCUCGUCUACGUGUCGAUGAUUCUUGUAUUCUGAUUGUUUUACGCGUUUCGCAUAGGAAACAAUAUUUCUUUUUGCUCGCGCCUGCCAUAUCCUAACGCUUCCUGUAUCAUCCCCUCUCUGUUGUUUUUUUCCUUUUUAAUUUCGUUGAAUGUUCGAACAAGCAAUACGUGUAUAGGCCCCUUAAAAGUUUUGUGUCUUCUGCAUUAUUAUGGGACUGUUACGUCCUGUCUUUAUCCUUGUCCAACACGAAAGUUUUCUUCCCCCGGUCCAAAUUGGCAGUGGGAAAAAUCUUUCUUUCGAGAUCAAGCAUGGGAAGCAGAAGAAAAGAGGAAAAGCUCACUCAAAGAUUGUUUAUCCCACACACUGGGGGCCACGUAUUUGGCCGAGUUUAUGCUUAGUUUUAGCCACAACUUUCAGUGGGUCUCCGUGUGCCUCUGUGCGUGGCGCCCGCAUAUAAAUAUUUGAUUUGAUUGUUUCACUCGCUCUGCUCCGGUUUUUGCUCGGUUUACCCUCAUGUGGUUCUCUUAUCUCUUCAGUUUUCUAUUUCUCUGUGUGUUUUUGGCUGCUUAAAGUGGACUUAAAAUUGAAAGUGCACACGGGGACCACGAGCAUGGCACUAGGAUUCGGUUUAAUGCUAAAGAUAAACAAUUUAAAAUCUUCGACUUUGAGAUGGGACUUUUAUUUGGGGAACUAUACAGAGAUACAGAGAGAAUGCCUUUAAUUUGCUUCAUUGAUGUCUCUAAAAAGCCAUUAAAUCCCGAUGAUAUUUGGAAAACAGUUGAAUAAUAUUCAUAGAUAUAUUGAAAACAAAUAAACUUUAAUAUAAAAUCAAAAUGUUGUCCAAAUUUCACUCAGCUCCAACUUUAAUUUAAAUGAUCAAUCUACUAAAAAAAAUACGCUAAAAAUGGAUCUAAGAAAAAUCCCGCUAUACAUUUUUUGCAGCUACAAAAACACACAAAAACUUCCAUCAAUAUUGAAUCAGUAGAAAGAAUCAACAAACUCUGUGUAGAAUGCACUUCAAGCUGAUAAAAGUAAUUUCUGGGAUUAGAUUUUUUCCCUGGGAAAAGGAACACGGAAUUCAACGGGCAUUCAAUUUACGUUUUGUUCAUAGAGAAAACAUGCUGCUGCCCUAUAUUUGUGCAAUUUAUUACAAUAUUUCCAUUGUAUUUUUUCACGGUAUUGUCCUGCGUUAUUUGUCCUGUGCUGCAUGUGACGUGUCCUUUGCUGUGCUGGCCUGUCCAUUAGAAAAUCGUUAGUCGACUUUGUUGCUGCUGCUACUGCUGCUCCAGUGACCGUUUGGCAUUUGCAUUGUUGCAACUGCGGACAAGAGUCGCUUGUGGCCGACACGAAACGACACGUAUCGACCCCACCGCGACCUCAGAUAACAUGUUGCAGCGUGUGGCAGGGCAGGGGUAUUGUGUAGUGCACACAGUUCAAGUAUUUGAUGUUGUGGUUCCCAUUGUUGUUAGAAUGUGACAUAUAAUAUUGUAUAUUUGUAUACGCGGCUCCUCUUUUCCGCUGUUCUGAAGAGGUCAAAGCACAUGUAUGGCGGACAAUGGACCUGCGCGGCGUAUCCGUAAUUGUAAUUUAUAUAAUCUAUAAGCCUCUAAUGCCUCGUGAUCUGCAGUGCAGACAGCAGCUGUUAAUGAAAUGUAUGGUUCAGAGUUCUUUGAACCCUGAACUCCUGCGGUAAAUGUAGGGAAGGAGGGAAAGUGGGAGAGGAAGCCUCUGUGUGGCAAUGAAAAUGUCAGUAUCCUGUGUCUGCUCUGGCAUGAUGAUACCUGACAAAUUUGCCACCUGAACGCUUCAACACUCGGCCACAGAGAAACGCAGUGGCAGGGAAACGGACUCCAGGAACAGCAACGCCAUAUGGCACCAUGACCGCCACAAUGACAAUGUCUGGCUGAAUAAAUUUUCAUUUAUGACACUUGAAACCGAGCUAGCAGCUACCAACCAACCAACCAUCUACCAUCUACCAGCUUCUGAAGUGAAGGCCUCCUGCUGCUUCGUUAGCUCGACGCGAGGCUGAAUAAUGGAGAUCCCUACUGUUGCUCUUGCUCUUGCUGUCCUGGCAUUUGGUUUGCUAUCCAGAGUUGUGGUGAAGCCCCAUGCCUGCGGAUAUGAAGAGAAAUGCUAGGAAAAGCAUCUCAGACUAGGGUAUAGAGAAAAGUACAGGAGAGCAGGGAAAAUAGGGAAAAUCAGACAGAAGAGCGCACACCAAGGAGCAAAGAGCUAAGAAUAAUUGAUAUGAAAAUACGUUGCAAAUAAUCAAAAGUCUGCCACAGGCAGUCAAAGUCGUAACCAGAGAUACUAAGAGAAUUGACAGGAGAUUUAGAAGGGAGAGCGAGCUGGAAAAUAAACUCUACCAUGCCAUUGUCAGUUAAAUUCUAAAAGAGUUCAAGCUAUUUUCCAUUUGUGAAUACCAUUAAUCCGUGAAAUAAUUUCAAAUUUCUUAUCAAAUUCAUCUCAGUUUCCAUUACAACUUUCUCUCAGUGUACACAAGCAGAGGAACUUGUUUGCUGUCUCUCUCCAGCUAACAGGUGAUUAAACGUGAAAUUCUGGCUGCCUCGAGGCGAAUUACCCCACAGAUGGAAUUGACUUUCUGCAACUGCCACUGAAAUGCCGUCUCGUCUCGCCCUUAUUGACGCGUGCGUGUCCUGCUUGCCCUUCCAUCUCUCACGGAUCAGAGACUUUCGCACCGAUUAUUAUUCAUAUUUAUUGCCGUUUCAUUUAAUUUCGCUGCUGGCCAAAAGAAAUUCGCUUCUUCCUGGACAUGGGUACGUACAUAAAUAUGUACAAAUGUAUAUGUAAAUUUCUGUCCAUCGCGCCCUUAGCCCAUAGGUGGAUACAGCUUUGUUCGGAUAAAUAGUCGCACUGUUUUCUUGACACCAGAUAAUUAUCUUACCUUUCUUGUCGUUCCUAUUUUAAUCUCUAUAGUGUAUUUGGAUUGCUUUGCAUUUAUUUGGAGCUUGCACAUUUAUAAUUAAUUCCCAAUUAUACGUUGUGGGGAGUUGCAUGUCACGAGAUUUGUCCCCAAGCUAUUCAAUAGUGGUCUCAAAGCUGCAGUUUUAUCUAAAUUGAUCUUAAAUUGUGUGCUGAAAAUAAUUCGAGUCGAUUUAGCGGUGACAAUGAAAUUUUGGACUUAUUGUCUAGCCUUUCCGUCUAUGUGCAAAUUAAAUCCUUACAUUAAUCAUGCAUCAUCGCCUUUUGCAUCAUUCGAGCCAGCUUUUGUGAAUCUGUUUACACAAAGCCAUAAAUACAGCAUGCAAAAUAGGCAUACAUGGUUCAAUGCAUAUUGUGCCUAUUUGCACUACUGUUUUUAUGGACACAGCUGUAUGCAUGUACAUUCUUUCCUAUCAUAAAAUACUUGUGUAAAUCUGAUGAGUAAUAAUUUUAAUUGAUUUUCAUUGCGGCAUCUUCCAUUGGGUGGGUUACUUUUGGAGCGUGAAUGAAAGCAUUGGGGGGCUGAGAGUGGAGCGCCAAAUCAAUUAAAGAUUGCUCUUCCCGCCCUACUUUAAUCUUCGCAUCCUCUAGGGUUUAUCUGCUGUUUGUGUGUGUGAAAUGUGACCCAUUUUGAGUCUGACUCUCUUUUUCUCUGUGUCGUUUUAUCAUUAAAUGUUUCCCAUAGUUGCAGUUGAGAUUAUUAGGAAAUGAGCAGGAUCUUCAAAAAAGGAAACCAUCCUAGAGGAUCUUCCUCAGUGCUUAUUUUUUUUGCUUUAAUUUAAGCUUAAGGGUCUCCCUUCCUGCCCCUUCCUCUGCGGUUGCUUCCCUUUGACCGCUUCGGUAAUUGUAAAUGGCUGUGAGCGAUUUUAGUGGCCAAAAGCCAAUGAAAAAGUCUGGGGUAGUUCUGAGUUAUUUUCCAUUGGAAAGCCAAUAUAAAACGGUUUUCAUUUGCAUGUUACAUGGUUUAUUUUUUCCAUUCACUCCACUUUUUCUACUACCAUCUCUACUCUCAUUCCCACUCCUUGCUUUUGAGCUUUCCUUUGCCUGUUCCCCCCUUUUGCCUUGCCAUGGGGUUGCCUCCUGCCUUCAUUUCUCUCCUUCCGAUUUUCCUUGCAAAAUAGUUGCCUUUUCUGUUUGAUUUUUCAUCUAAUCCGUGCGUUUUACACUCGGUUUUUCCAUGACUUCCACGACUCUCGCACAACACGAUGUCUACGUGUGUACAUAUAAUAUCCUACUUCUCCUCCAUUCAGUUCCUGUGCAUGGGUGUGUGCGAGGAGUUGAACGACGUUGCCAUCAACAGCUUACAAUUUUCAAAACGGGCGAAAGCCAAUUUUCACACUCAAAUAAAUUGGGUUAGUUGUACACGUGUCCGUGUGCAUGUCUGUCUGCCUGCCCGGCUGUCCCGGCUGUCUGCCUGCCAGCCUGCCUGCCUGCCUGCAGUUCUGUGAGGGAGUGUGACCAGGGGCUGCACAAAGAGCAUAGAGCAAAGAGUAGAGUAUGUGAAAUAACGUGAAAUAGCGUUGCAAAUACAUAUAUGUACAUAUGUAUGUAUCCACUGUGGUGGUUACCUUUGCACAAUUGUAUCCAGGCACCCACCAUCUCCCACUUGGUUCUCUUUCAAUUUUCUCUCUUUUGUUGGCUGCUCUUUUUCUGUGUUGCCUUCAAUAUGAUUUAUGACCAAACAAAUUGCACGCAAAAGCGAUUUGAAUUCACUUAAUAUUCGUUUUCCUUUGUGUUGAUGUACUUCAUAGAGAAAUAAAACGAAUAGUGGUUAUAGAGGGGAAGUUUUAGAUACAAACAGGCAGGGCUAAUACCCAACGAAACCAUAAAAGUUUCAACGGAGUUUUAUGAUUUUUACAGAUUUUCAAAUGAUAGAAAAUACUCAAAAAGGAGAGACAUCAAUCGGCCUUUUAUCGAAGUUUUUUAUACGUAUUUACGUAUUUUCUUCGAUGUCCUUUUCCAUGCAUUUGAAGGACAUCUCAUUCAUUUUUUAUAGAUUUUAUGUCUAAAGCUCUUGCGGUUCAAUUAACAUUUUAUUUGAACUUGAGCAAAUGUUUAUGACAUCCCCUUUUCAACCACAUUUUACAGAGGAAGAAGAGACGCAGGCGGCAGGCCCAGAGAAGCCAUUAGACCAGGGCCCAAAGGCGGUUUGAAAAGGGUCCUUGGAUAAAGGGAGAAAGUGGAGAGGGAGAAUGAGAACAAACGACAAUUGCCUGCCACAUUCGACUAGAAUCCCAGUCUCCUCUCUCCCUCAAUAUCUUAGCCCUAGACUGCCAGACUCCUUGUCUUAGCCCUAAAGUUAGGAUCCAAUUGGCUGGCGAUGGUCAAGUCAACUAACCGAAUCGUUAGGACGGACGCGUAAUGAAAAUUAAUGCUGACGAGAUUCCCGUAAAUUGCAGGAGAAAGCAAAAGCAGGAAAGAGGAGGAGACCCACCGAGCACCAGAGAGUGAAAGUCGUGAAAGCUUAAGCAAGGGCAGAAGGGAUUUGGUUAGAAGAUGGGGUUUUUUUUUGGGUUCUGGGAUUUGGAUGGACUGUCGAGAGAAAGAAAAUAAAGAAAAUUGGGAUAGGAUGUCGUGCCGUGAUGGGUGAUGGCCGGCACCUUUCUCCCUGUCGUUUCAUGUGGGGCCUAAAGGAAAAGUUUAGGCGCAAAUUUAACGAACCAUAAAGUGAUUGCAACCUUGCGGCCGGCCUGCUCUGCUGCUGCUGUUGCUAUUCUCUCUCUAUAUUUUGCUGAAUUUUUUCUGCCUUCAUCUCUUCUUCACCCUUAAGCUCUCUCGCUUAUUUCGUGGCUCCAUUUUGAUGAAUAAAUUACAUGAAAAUGAAUUAAAAAUUAAACAAGUUUUGUGUCCUGUUUCGUGGGGUUACCUUUUUGGGGGGCUUUCGGGUUUUGGCUGCCACUUCCACUUCCUUUUGUUCCUAUUAGCAUUAGCUAUUUUAUCUCUCUAUCUCGCGCUUGGAGAGGGUAUGGGCUGCAGAUCGUAUAAAAAUCAAGUCCUAACACACUUUUCCGCUGCCUAUCGCCGCCGACUCGAAAUCUCGAAAUUGCCAGUCACAUUCCUCCCCAAGCUCUUCCUUAUUUUUCUCGGUUUCUCUCUUUAAACUUUUUAUAACCUACUCCCCCUUACCCAUACCCAUGGAUUACUCUCCCUUUGUUUCUUUGGUUGAUUUAACUUGAGAGCCCCGCCUCAUUUGUAUUAACGUUCCGCCCGCUGCCCGACUUUGCUGCGGUUUAGACGCCGCCAAAGCAAAUGAGUGGGAAAGCCCUAGUAAAAGUUUUUUUCUCCAUCGAAGAGAUGUGGAAUGAGUGGGAAUGUGGAGCUGUGGAGCCCCGGCUGUGGCAUCGCUGGAUGAAGCUACUUGAUCAAAUAAUCUUGUUUGACGAUGAGUUUACCCCCGGAAUGCCCCCCCUUUUAUCUCACAGACCUCAGAAAAUCCUAAACACACACCCACAUAGAAACAGAUGCAGAAAGAGAGAGAGAGAGAGAGACAAUACCAAAGUUUUCAUUAUAUUUCCCACUUUUGAGAAUUUGUGUUACAUUCUGUUAGAGGAAAAAGUUUGAACUUCCAUUUGAAGUUUACAACAGUCUCGUAUCGCAUCGCACUCUCAGUCUUUCCCACUGUAUCUCUGUGUUUUGAUUUUGCUUUUGUUUACCCUUAAAGAGGGCGUAAUGGUUUUGGGAUACAGUUUGCAUCCAUAUCCCUUUGCUAAAGACUAAAGAAACAUUUUUCCAACUGAAAUAUGGCCAAGAUGGAAGAUCGAAUAUCGUAUACAUAGAUGCCAAAAUGGGAGAUAAAACCCUCAAGCGAAGGCUUUUUGCACAAUUUAAAAUAAUAUAAAUAAAUAAUUGAAUAAGCUAAGAUCUUAAAAGGUAUCAAAUGCUUCUAUACCGAAAUUUCACCCAUCUUCUUGUUGUACUUGAAAUUGGUUUGUCAUUCCAUUUGAUUUGAUUUCAGUUUUGUUUCGUUUUAAGAUUCUUUUUGGAGGGUAUUUUUUUGGGGCGAUAUCAAAAGUUUGGCUGCAACUUUGGGUUCGCCCCCAAAGGAAGUUAUAAAACAAAUUAAAAUUACAUAUAAAAUGUUGAGUGUACACACAAUUGUGGCUGGCACUGUAAGCAAGGAGCCAAACGGACAGACCGACGGAUAGCCAGGCAGACAGACAGCCUUUCGUCCUGCCUUCAGGUUACAUUUUAUUAUUAUGAAAAUUUCAUUUUAAUUGUCGUGGAAAAGCGAGUGAAAAGGGCUGUGCCGUUUUUUUGCUGUCCUUUCUGUGUCCUGUUUGCUUGGCUCCUUCCGCUCUUCAUUUUCUCUGUGUUUCCUCUGUUUUAUUUUUUGGCAAUGCAUCCGUUUGCAUUAUGCAUUACUGUGGCACUGGCGCAGCGUGCCACAUGCAACUGCAGCUGACAUGAAAAUGGCAUAUCCAAUUAAUCACGAAACUUUAGGCCUGCCUCCCUAGCCCACACCACCGUUUAUUAGUGUAUUGGCAUUUUGACAGUGUCCCUCGGCCUCCCAUAUUAAACCAUAUUUAGGCGCAUUUGUAGUCCAAUUCUCAUCUUUCCAGCUUGCUCACAUUUCUAGCUUUUUCCCCAUCGCGUGCUUAGAGUUUUCUCUAUUUUCCUUUACGGUUUCUGCACUUCAAUUGCUUUGGUGCAGAGUUUUUCAAGACAUUCACAAAGUGACUGAACAAAAGUUAUGGAAAACCCUUGAAAACUUUUACCACCAACCAACUAGCAACUUGUGGAAGUACUAAGAUGCUUUUGGCACUUGAUUUGGGUUUCGUUUAAUCACAGAAAUGUGAAAGAGCUUUCCAAAAAAAAAUCUCUCUUAUAAGUAGUUGCCAGCUGGUCUCAUUGUUCUGUCGAUCGUUUGAUAUUCCAUGUCACACAUGGCGUGUGUCGGGAUCAUAUGUUGCAACAGAUGUUUGCCAUUUUUCAAGCUGCCAGCUUCAAUUGUAUAAUGUAAUAAUCCGGGAAUGCAUGCUGUACAUGUGCAUAUAUAUUUCUGUAUUUGUGUGAUUUGUUGUUGCUGCUAUUGCUUGUUGCUUCUAUUUGUGGAGCUUUUGUUGUUCGCAUAAAUAAAUUAAACGAAUAGUCGAGAGAAACAAACGGAUUGAGAGCAUUUUCAAAUGCCACUUGACACCAUAUGGUGGCGAUUGUUCUCACUCUCACUCACUCUCUAUCUCUCUCUCUCUCUUUUGUUGCUGUCAGUUUCACACGCACACACACAGAUACACACCCACAAGCCAUUAAAAUGCAAUGACAACAAGAGGUUUGCACUCUCCUCCAAAACACCAACAACAACAACAAAGAAAACUUUUCUGAAAUGUGAACAACAAGAAUAUUAGACCAAAGUGGCUUUGAAUGUUAAAGCCACAAACCGACAAUGGGGAGCUAACAGAACGAGAAAGCCAUACAAGACAAAGAGAGCGAGAAGGAGAGAGAGGUUGAGAAUUGCCACUUGUGAUGUCAACGCCAUCAACAGCAGGCAGGCAGGCAGUAGGGAGCAGGCACCAGACACCAGACACCAGGGAACAUUGCAUAUUUCAUUAAUUUUGCAUAAAACUCAGGAAACUCAGGGAAUUUUCUUUUUGUGGAAUUUCUGCGUGCUCAAGUGGCAAAUUUUCCCAUUGUGGCGAACCAUCAAAUCCCUCCAGCCACUCGGCUACAAGUGCUUGGCUGCCUGCAAGCCUCACAAUAUGCAGCAAAUGGUGAGCCAAAGUCUCUGGAAUAUGCUCGGAAAGGAAUUGAAUUGCAGCUUCAGAAAAUAUUUGGCACUCGAGUAGCCAAAAAUUUCUCGUUUGACUUUCGACUAGUCUUCGAAAGUUCCGGCAGUUGUUGUCGGGCGACUCUUUUGGAUUCCAUUCUGCGCAAACAGGCAGCAAACAAAUCAAUUGAAUUAGUUGAGUGUUGAACUGUUGAAUGUGUCGUAGUUGCUGCUGUGGCUGAUUCUGAUUUUCCCUCUCUAAUCAACGCAUUCACAUUGAAAUCUACACAUGUGUGCAGCAUGUAUUGUAUGUGUGUAGAAAUUGAAAUGACUGCUGCUGGAGCACGCCAACGGCACUCUUGUGCGGUUUAUGCGGUGCACUGGAAACACGAUCAAGAGGCAGCUCAAACAUCAGGGAACUGUGGCAGAGUGGAACUUUGAGAGAAGUUUUUAGGGUUUUUGAGUUAAAAGUUGAAGGCGUGUGUCAAGUAAGAAAUGAAAAUAAAUGCUUAAGGGACCUAAGAUGAAUGAGGAAUGAGAUUAAUGAAAGAUGUAAGGAUUACGGUAUCAACACAUGGGAAAUACACGUUUUUUCUUUUUGUUUUUAUUAUCCGGCAAGCAGCGGAAAAAUAGUGUCAAAAUAUCUUUGUUUAUCUAUUUUGUUUGUUCGCGAACUCCAUUUGCUCAUAAACAUUGCUAUAUAAUUAAUUUGUUUUUUGUAUUGUCUUGGGGGGUUUUUGUUUGUCGGAAUAGUGGAAUCCCAAAUGACAUCAACAUUUAUGAAACCAACAAAAAAAAAAAACCCAUAAAACCCAGAAAAAACGCUGCAGAUGUUUUGAAUAUGGAAGAGAGAAAUAUUUAAUUAAAGUAAAUUCAACUGUGAUUUUUGUGCCACUAAAAAAGAGCAGAGAAUAUCAAUUAAAUCUUGCCUCGAGGCCAGUGAAAAAAUGGUUGCGUAUUAAGUGCUCAUGUGUACCAUACAUACAUAAAUAUACAUAAAUACAUAUUCUGAAUCUGAAUCGUUGUAAAUCUGCAUUAAGCAAAUAGGGAAAUCGGAAAGGCAGAUGACUUUCUGCCUUCUGACUGGCUGCCUGUCAAGUGCAAAAGUUGUGGCCCCAGUGCAAGAGAGCGCCAGGAAGAGAGGGGCAGAGAGAAAGAGGGAGAUACGUGUGGUAACCAGCAAUUGCCAGGAGGUGCAGCCAAGCCAUACACUUGCACCUUGCCCCCAAUGACCCCUUGCACUGCUUGCUCCUGCCCCCUGCCCAAAUCGAUAACAAGCGGAAAUGGGGUCACUGCACCCGUGAAAUGCUAGUGCCCCCAGCCAACUAUUCCGUCCCGGCCAAAAAGCAAUCAAAACUCAUUGCCAAAAUGGGGCGCAAUGAGAAGGAACGCUUGCUUCAGGCAGCCUGAGGCAUUGAAUACUCUUACCGAUUCCACUCAAGCGAAGGAUUGACUGUCCAACAGCAACAGAUCAUCCCUAAACAAGAAAAGAAAGCAAGAAACUGCAGCAAAAGCAAAGAAAGGAACUCUGCUCCAUCGCUAAAAGUAUACAAAUAUCUAUUCAAAACUGUAUAUACCUCACGUUCCAGAGGGUAUACAAAAGGUGGGGUCAGAGUUAUUAAAACGACGAAGAAACAGCAGCCAGAGAAGCCUCUCUUACAUUUUCCAUGACGUUUUUCAUGCAACAGCAACAGCAACGGCAAAGGCUACAGCUACGUCAGGAACAGGACAAAGGCUGAAGCUAUUGCAACUCCAGCAAGCACUUCAAUUUUCUGGCCUGCCAACCUCACAACAGUGUGGACACGAGCCUCGUGCUCCGUUGCCUGUGGGCAAUAAAACUAGACACGCACACCAAACAAUCUUUUGGUGCAUUAUCAACGUUUAACUGCAGCAUCGGUGGCAAGCCAUGGAACACGAUAGGAACCGUACAGUAGUAGCAGGGGUUACGGGCUCCCAACUUCACUUAAUCAAUAUUCGAUUAGAGCGUUUUGUGUGCACCACCUCUCAAAAAGCAAGGAUUCUAGGUUGGAAGUGGCUCAGCAGGGUAGCAGCUGCAAAUGGGAGUCAGUGGGGUUGCGGACUCGGAAAUGUGUUGCAGAUUGCAGGCCCCAACUGGCGUUCAAUGGGUAACAAACAGGCAUCCAUACAUAUGUCCAGGCAAUUGGCAAUUGAAUCAUGUUUGCCUCACACACAGACAGACAGAGAAUCGUUAGGUUCGCACUCCCAGAAUCUGCUGCCGAUCCAUUUGUCCUGCACCUUAGCUCCAAGCUGCAUCCGUUUUGCUCUUCGGUUUUUAACUCGUUCGAUUUGCCCGUUUGGCAAUUACAAUGGCUACUCCUUCUUUUCACUCCUCUAUCUAUGCUGCUGAUGCACAAAAAGUCAAGCACUUUAUUGGCCCCUUAGUCAGCAGUCAUCGUUCCGGAGUUCGCUCUAGUGUGUUGGCACCUGCUGCGUGACUCUCCGUCUGCCAUCCUUCUGGCACCGACAGGUUCCUCAUCCUUUCGGAUAAAUGGCACAUACUUAUUGGUGCGUUUCCAUGUGCAGUACACCUCUUUCCAACUCACACAUCCAUUCGUUCGAAAUGGCAAUGAAUUUUUGAUUUGGAAAACAUUUGAGAAACUGAAACUCAUGUGAACGGAAUUUUUGAUAAGUUUGGCAACAAAAAUUUCCCAGAAUAUGAGAAGUUAAAGGUGUGCCAUUGUCCAAGCGAAUAUGAGGAGGGAGUAUAUAGAAUAGAAAAUAUUUAUUUAUAUUAUAUAUUUAUAUAUUUUGGAAUUAUUUUCAAGGCUUUUCAAGAAAAACUUAUUUAUUUAUUCUAGUUAAAGUUAAAUUUAACUAAAUUUAGUUUUGUAGUGGAAAUAUUUCUUGUGCGUACAUUUCCGUAAUUACUCGGUAAUUAGUUGAAUGCCAGUAAAUGUCAAAAGCUAACCCAAAAACCAACCAUUAACCCACAAACCCUUUGCUAAAUUCUCUAACAAUCAGAGACAUCAAACGAGUCAAAUUCGUUUUAGCUGACCAAAAACCAAUAUGUUUGUUUAUCUGCCCAAUUGUAGUUGCUCGUACAUAGUUUUCCAUUAAUUUAUAUCAACUAAAUUAUCGAGAAUAUUUGCUGUUCAUUAAAUUGGAUUCUCCGCCCCAGACCUAGCCCUAGACCUACCCUCGAAUGAAUUCCCGCAGCAACAACAACAUCCAUUGAUCCAUUUAAUCUGCAUUGGAAGUGGCUCUCCUAGGUUCUCUGGCCAGUGUUUUGUGGUUGCCGACAAGUAUGUCAUGUAUGCAUGUCCGUGCAUGUACCGUGGAUGUCUGUGCGUAUCUCUAUGCAUGUGUGGGUGUGCAUGCGAGCAAGGGCAAUAAUAAAUCACGUAAAGUUUCAAAAUGCUGUCAUGUUUUAGUUGAACCAAAGUGGACAGAGACGUAGACAGGCAUUAAAGACAUAUGGCUAUGGGUUCAGCUGUUAUUGUUGUUGUUGGUGCUACUGUGUUGGCUGCCUAUCUGUCCCCCACCUAUCCCCCACCCUAAUUUAAAUGAAAUUGUCAGCUUGCAAAUGUGUAGCAUGCGGCCAGGCCACAAAUUACAUUACACACGCACACAUACAAACACACACACACGCAUAAUGGCUGCCACAUGCAUAGGGAAACGCUCAGAAUUGUACAUAUGUGUGUGUGUGUAGGUAGUUUUGUAAUCCACAUUAAACAUAACUUCUGGCAGAGACAGUGCACAUUUCAGGAGCUUCCUAAUUCCAAAGAUUACCUCAAAAUUUCCAUUCUUGUGUGCCUCACAUGUUUAUGUUAUGCAUAUGGCCAACAAAUUUCGUAUCCUGUGGUCCGUUAAGCUCAAAGGUGCCGGCUUCCAUUUAUUUGGCAUUUGCAAAUUUGUAUUUUGAGAAUUUGUGAAUUUAUUUGUACAAUGAAACGUUGGAACAAGUAUUAUACGAUUGACUAGAAGGCAUAUCAGCACACAAAUAAUCUUCAGGCAUAGAGAAUUCCAACAUUUAUCAUCUGCAUAAUACAAAUAUAAUUUAAGAGUUAAGGUUAAGCUGUUAAUUUAUUAGGGAAUUGAAAAACUAUACCCACUUGGAAAAUUUUAGAAAAUGUUCUCUUUGGUUCUGUUUUCCUUUGCGAUUAUUAUGUGUGAAGUAAUAUAAUUUUUGUAUCCCUUGGAUAUUUGCUCCUAAUUUUACAGUUGAGUGCCUCAAUUUUUUAGGAAUAUUCAUUCCAGAGCAGCACCCAGCGAUGAUUACUCAAAAGCAAAAGAGAUAAAGCACGCAAGAGAACCUCUCUCUCUCUCUACGCCUUUACUCUCUACACCUCUCUCUCUCUCUCGAAGCUCCCUCAAUGGCUGUGUAAUUAAACUUUGAUUACGGUACUUGGGCAGCGCACUAAGCGUUUUUUUUUCUUCUCCACAACACAAGAGAAGGAGCGAGGCGUUGGAAAAAUUCAAUUAGGAUAGGAACGCUGGAAGCUCGGGCUAAUGACACCAACCAACCAAGACAGACAGACUGAGAGACUGGAGGAGGGGGUACUUCCCUCGCACUUAAUGAAGAUUUUACCACCUCUCACUCGAGAGAGAGAGAGAGAGCAGCUAAAAAGCGACACCAAAAAGUAUGCUAUAAAAACAUCUAACGGUAACGCAACGAAAUUUUCCUUUAGAGAAAUUUCUCAACCCACAAAAAUGGUCGGAUUUGUGUAUGCUUUUUCUUUUAUUGUCUACCAUUCCGACUGCCAGUGCAAUUAUAUUUAUGACAUUUUUAUUCGAUUUACCAAAGAUUUCUUGCGUUUAGCAUACGCGGAGCGAAGCCCACACACACAUUUAUCACAAUAUCCUAGAUUCAAAUUGCCCGCCGCUAUAAAACAUACAUGAGAGAGCAGUGGAGAGCCAGGGCCAGGGCACGUACAUACAUAUGUACAUAUUUAGGCCUACGAUACACAUACGAUUAUAUGAACAUUGGUGAAGGCGUUGGAUAUUAUCAGCCAAAGGCAGAGGCAGUGGCAGAGGCUAAAGGCGAGGCCGAGGCUGAGGCUGAUGCUGAAACUGAAGCUAAAGUAAGCCCUCAAGCCAUAUAUGUAAUGUGCCAUAAAUAUUAAAACGUUUUGACUUUACGCGCGAGUCGCAGCCAGAAAGAGUGGGUGCAGCACCCUCAAAGAGGUGGCGGAGCUCAGGACUCGGGGAUUCCCGGCACCGUGGCUUGUCGCACUGUAAAAGUGCUAGCAAAUUAUUUGCAUUUUUUAUACGACUAUACUGUAGUCUCCACAGCCAGAGCGUCAACAAACAAAAAAAGCAAAAAAGGGGGUAAAAAGGAGCAGAGAAUAAUUCAGAUUGUUUCGACGAUAAGUUACCUAAUAUUAAAAUAUAGUUAUAUUAAAAUCUGCAGAACAAAGAGUAAAAUUUAGCCAAGGAGAACUUAUUGGAAAUUUGUGAUAGUCAUUUACGCUUACUGGAAAAUUCAUAUACAUAUACACAAAUGCAUAUCACGAAGCAAAAAUAAAAUAUCUACCCCGUUGCGCUCUAAGAGUGCGAGGUAUGAACAGCAUCAGACGUGGCAUAAAAUGUAAAGUGCAAAGGGAAAGGCGCUUGGAGGCGGCAACGGAUCGGAAAUCUUAUAAAGAGGAAAAUGUAUAUAUGUACAUUGGGGCUGGUAUUGGGGAUUGGGUUUAGGUUUCGCUUUGGAUAGGAGCUAUCAUCGAGGGGGCUUUACGCUGUCGCUGUCGCUGUCACGCAAACACCGCGCAUCGGAAAAUUGUGGCCGGAUAAUGGGCGGAUAGAAGCGGUUCCGCCGGCGUUGGCAGAUGCUAGUGGCAGCAGCAAAAUGAGCAGCAUCCCGUAUCACAGGACGAGAGAACGAGUGAACCCAUGCGCAAUUUAAUAAAUAAAACAGAUGAAAUUGCAUCUGAUUUAGUAUGUGUAAUGAUUUCAAUUGAUUUUUCAUAAAUCACACAGAACAAAUAACUUUCAUUAAGUUUGUGCGUGAAAAAUGAAUGAUGGAGGGGAUGUAGGGUUGAGGAUAGCGGUUGGCGGAUGGAGGGCCUGCACUUAAGGAGGAGCCACUCGAGCAUGACCUGAUGAUGAACCUCUUGAAUAACAAAGAAGAACACAGAGGCUUAUCCCCUCUAGCUAUGAGUGUGGAAACGAUGCCCUUUGUAUGCACAUAAGAGGAUAAUUCAGACGGAGAGAGAGAGAGAGAGAGAGAGAGAGAAAAAGCUAGACUCUGAUGGAUGGAUGGAUAGUAAAGUAAACCACCUAAAGUAUAGAAAAUUCCAUGAAACUGAAGGAGAGAGAGAGAGAGAGAGAGAGAGAGAGCGAGAGAUGUGUGCUGCUUUCGAGAUUCUUUCUUCCUAAUUUAUUAUUUAAAUAUUUUGUGGAAAACAUCCCCGGGCCGCCACGCCACUCACAAAUUUGACUUUCUCUAGGAGAAGGGAGCAUCUCUCGUUUCCUGUUUUGUGGCUGCUGAAUAUUAUAAUUCUGGAGCACAACUUUUUAAUCAACGAAACAUUUUAGCCCCCAAAAAAUCAUAUCAGAUUCACGUACGGGAAUGAUUUCAACUUUUUAAUCAAAUAUCAAGUUGAGAAGCACUCUCUGGGAAUUCCAGCAAAAGUUUCCCAUUAAAAUAAUGAAUAUAUCUCACAAAUUGCGAGUGGAGAUGAUAGGCAAUGCGCAAAGCGAUGGAGUGUCAGGAAACACCACAAGUCGGUGGGCGGUGGGGGAUUCUAUUGAGCAGAUGAAUGCAUUAUGCGGUGGAAAAUCAGUCAGAUGGAGUGGUAACAUCAGGGGAAGGUGGGUGGGGGCUAGCGAUGCAAUUUGCGGUUGGGAGGGCACACUGAAUCACUGCAGGGCAAUUGGCUUUGUGGCCGCAUUGCCUUGUCUGCUGCACUCUCGUGCCCUGUCAUACUCUCGUGUCCCGCCUCUACGGCCAGGGGUCUUCCUCUGUUUCUCCUGAUUUUGGUCCUAGUGCCCUGCACGACAAUGCAGCUGUCAUAAUUUGAGGCUCAAACGGCUUUCGAUGGCCCGAACUCCACCGGAUGUGGCAGCAGGCAAAUGAAGACUCUCGUAUUCCGUCUCACACAUCACAUACUCAGUGUUAAGAAUGCAAAUCCUGCAUGGCCUGUUACCUUUCGUUUUGGCCAUGAAUUUGAUUUGGACCACUGAGUUAAGUAUUAUUGGGUAGCAUAAAUUACGAAACUGAAGGUCAAUAAUCUCAGCAUCAGUUGUACUUUCACUCUCAAUCUCUUGAAUUUUCAACUGAAAUCUCGCUAUAAAACAGUGGCUGUUGCUGUAUUGAAAUGAAUGCGAAAAAUGUGCUUGUUGCAACGUUCCCACUUCCUCAUUCUAUUCGGAAACUACCCAGAACUCUCUUUUUCAGACACUCCACCCGAGAACUUCUUUUAUUAAUUCCCCUGUAAAAAUACCACAUCCCUAUAGUGGUAUUUGUCUCUCAUUUGCUAAACAAACAAAAGGGAUAUUGUGUGAGAAUUAGUGUUGGAAAAAUAUGAGAAAAAUGUUUGAAUUGAAAGAAUGUGAAUCCGGGAGAUGGAAUCUCAUGUGGGGGGAAGCUUAGAGACAUAAAUUAGUUGUUACUGUGUUGGGUGGAGGGGCUGUAAACGGAAAUGAAAAGACCGUAAAUUUCAGUUGUUUAAUUACGUUUUGUUUACCUUCAAUGGAAGGUAAGCAGUAAGCCAGAACUCAUUUGACAUUUGCAACCUUUUCUAAUGGAAAUGCGAACCUAAAACUGUACAAACUUCACCAAUCCUCAAGUUUGGGGCAACCUAUAUUAAUUUCGAUCCUCUGACAGGAAAUGGCAGCUUCAACGUAAUCUAAAAUCGAAACAGAAUGCAUGCCCCAGUUUGAUGUAAGGAUAAAUGCCAACAGACCAGCCAGCCGUUGGCGUGUAGCAACAAGAUGAGUGUGGCAAAUGGCAAAAUAUUUGACAUUAGAGCUGCUGUCGCCGCGCAUAAACUUUGAUAUUGAAGGCACUCGUAGUGGUUGCAUGUCCCAUGCUGUACGGCUGUGGGAGUGUUAUCCCUAAUAGAUGCCUCAUCCUUGGCAGCAUACCGCUGUGUACGUGACAUUUCUCUGUGGCGAAAUGUCUUGCAAAAUGGCGCCAUGUGGCAGAGGGUAAUGGAUGAAAUGGGAAAUGGCAGGGGAAGGGAAAACUAUUUUCAACAAUUUAGCAGAUGCGUUUUGUCAAAAAAUAAGAUCCUUCCUUCAAGAUUGUUGGCGCAACACAUGCAACAUGCAACAUGCUCUAUGCAACAUGCAACAAUGAUGGCGUUUUUAAUUUUGCCUUUGUUUUGAAUUGAUUUGCUGCCUCUGUUACAUGUUGGCAUGUUCUGUUCUGUGUCCUUCUCUGUCUGUGCAUGUGUGUUUCCGCUUCCGUUGUCAACCCUUAUCCACUGCGCCCACACCCGCACCCCCAUAAGUGCCAUGUACGAGUCGUACUCCACUCUCCAUGGCACUCCAUUGUUGUAGUUCGAUCUAUUUUUUUUUAUUCCGCUCUGAAUAAAUAACAAAAAAAAAAUGUACCACGCAUACAGUCAUGCCACCACGCUCAUUGAAAAUGGGCGCGAGCGAUAACAAAAAUGGCCGCUCGCCAGUUUCCGCUUUGUUUCGUUUUAGGGUUUGCUUUUGGGUUUUUGACUUAGUUUGCAACAAUUUCGAUUCCAGUCAGCAGGCAGCGGCCAGUAGCCAGUAACCAUUGUGUCGAUAGAUGAAGGAGUGGGGAGCAGGGAUGAGGGGCACUGUUUGUUUCUGUUUCUCUGUGCGGGGCAGCCAGCAGUAAAUGUGGAAACUUUGUUAACAUGUGCAGCAGUUUAUCGCUGGUCCAUUGUGGGCCCUUUCUCUUGGCCACUACCCCUGGAGGAGGGGUGCCCUGUGCCCUGUGCCCAACCCUUGCUAUUCGUUUCACCCGCAUAGGAAAUGUUUUUGAUGUGUUCACUGAAAUAUGUAUGCAAAUAUUUGUGCAAAAUACAUUUUGGAUUCCAUUCCACGAUGGUGCAUGCCAUACCAUACCAUACCAUUCCAAGGCAUGUGCACCCUUUUGAGGCACUAAUUAAAGGCAGACUUUCCACAAUGCCGUUUCACACACAGUUGAGUAUUUGUACUUUGUGAUUCAAAUGGAAUUCAUUUCGUGCAACUUGUGCAACACAAUCAAUCAAUGAACCCAAAAGUGAGCAAAUUUUAAUUUUUAUUUAAUGUGCCAAUUGUUGGACGAAAAUUUAAUGGCAACGAAAAAGUUUUCACCACUCAAAUGGGGAUGAAGUGUAAAGUGCAGGGAAAAGCGCAGGGAUUGUCAUUCAAUGCAGGUAGAAAGGAGAACGCAAAAGGGAAAUGGAAAUGGAGAUGGAGAAGGAGAAGGUGCAAGAAAUUGGCAAAGUUUUUGGCUUGAAAAGAACCAUCUCCUUAAGGCGAUAGCUUCGCAAAGUGACUUACAAAAAAGAAAGGUAGGAAAUGAGGAGAGAAAAAGUUGCUAAAGGCUGAGGUGAAGAAUUAUGCUAGAUAUAGGAAAUCAAAGGGAUGAUGGGAUAUAGAACUGAAGAAGCUCAAGGAAUGAUGGACAAAAAAACGAUGGAUGAAAGACUGAUUUACUGUGGAAUCAAGGAAGAGUUAUAGUUGAGAUAAUGAUAGAAGAAACAAACAUGAACAGGAAGAACAAUAAGAAAAUCUUGGCUCAUGAAGGAUUAAAAUAAAAAUUGUGAGAAAUAUUGAAGGGAGCAGGAACACCCGAAGAGAGAAAAUGAUACCAGGAAGUUGCAUUAUCUGAAGGAUAAUGAUUGAAAGAAAAAAUAAGAAUCACAAUGAAAUAACAGAAACCAGAAAAGUUUGAAAAUAACAAAAGAGAGAAAGUGGAAAAUGCAUAUGCGGAAAAUUCAAUUAAACAAUUUUGCAGCCUUGAAUGUGGUGUGGGUGUGUGGCCUUGUUGCCGUCCUGCAUCCCUGUUCCCUGUUACCCGUCUUUGCCCUGUUAAUUGUCCAUUAGCCAGGGCUCUAAUUGCAUUUGUCGAGAGUUGACAAUUAUAAAUGGCUUUUUGAGUUUCAAAUGGACUUGAAAAUGUCAUUCUAUCUUGAGCUCUGACUGCUGCCCCCGACUAUGACUCUCUAUUAAAGAGAAAUCCUUAGCAGAAUGCUCUGAAUCAAAGGAUCUGGUGCGUAAUAUGUGCCUCAAAAUCGGCUGUUACUUAAUAGCAACUUUUUGUGCUAAUUGCCGUCAGGGUGGAGUGCCUUAAUGCGAUGAUCACUCGAUUAACUUCAAUCGAUUUGAACUCUGCUUUAGUAUUUUGACAUUUACUCGCUUUUUAAUGCACGAAUAACAUUUGUUGCAGGCAACAAACGCGAAAAACAGUGUUCAAAUCUGAUUAUGCAAAUGCCUGCUCAUUUCCCAGGCGCAACUUUAAUUGCGAGCCUGUGGCUGGGAUUUAAAUGGGAUUCGAGUGAUGGAUAAAUAUAAAUUAAAUGUUGCAGAAAUAAAUGCAUUUUGUUGGUUUUUGUGGUUUGCCUUAAAAUAAAUGCAAAUAAGCUGUGGAGAAAAGUGCACCAUUCUCGUUCUAUACGUGCUCUGCCGCCAUUCUCUUUGCGAGCGCAAUUAAGGAAGUUAAACAGUUUUUGGAGCCACUUAAAAUCACAUUUCCAACACUGGCUGCAGCUGUGGCUGAGGAGGAGGAAGGUAGAAUCCUCCCAGUGGAAACUAAUUAGCACGAAAUUUGCCGCUGCCCAUCAUUAGUUCGAGGAGCUUUUAAAUCGAUCGGAAACAAGCGAAUCUGAUGACAAUUUGGUGUUCAAUUUGUAAAUUAUUUGCUUUCAAACGUUGAUUUGUUUUUAAUUUCACGCGAAUCGAUUUAAGCUCUCUACUUUAAGUCCAUCACAAGUCCAACAUUCCUUUAGUUCUUUGUCUACGGCUUCGGGAAGAAGACAGUGUAACUAUGAAAAUUCCUCUUCACAUUUUCCGCAGUAGUGGCAGCGCCAGAGCCAGUGGCAGUGUGAUUUAUAAACUUCUUAAUGAACAAAAGAAUUAUCGAUUGUCGUGACAGUGGAUGGCAUGAGAAAUUGCCAGCGAUUGCCUCUGCUUCUGUACCUUUCUGCUACUUUGCCCCAUUUUUACUGGUCCUGCCUCCAUUUGCUAUUUCCCCACACACUUUAUCUGGCUUCUGGCUUGAUGCUGCUCCUUUCUUUCACUCUCCUGGUGGGGUUACCUUUUUAUGGUUGUGGCGCACAACGAGGCGUAUGAGCAGACGGAUACUUAAUUUGAUAUAUGUAUGUACACUGUUGGUGCAUUAAAAGGUCCUCUAUAUCCUUCGUAUCUGUAUCUGUAUCUGUAUGCGUGUGUGUGUUUUUGUGUCUCUCUGGGAUCUCUGUGCCUGUCAUAAAAGUUGACAUUUUAUUUAUACAUUUUUUGGUUUUAAAAUUGCUGACCCCAAAAUGUUUUUAAUGGCAAAUUGUGGCUCUGGCUCUCUAUAUAUUUAUCUCUCUCUCUCUCUCUCUCGCUGUCCCUCUGUGUCUGUCUGUGUUGGUUAUUGUAUUACUUUUCGCCUCCCUCGUGCUGCCCUCCCUUUCCUUUUAUAUGUCCUUUUCGCUGUCUCUCCAUUUGUGUGUGUGGGUUUAUUUGUGGCUCAUUUCAUAAACCUCUUACCGCAAUGACAUGUUCAUAAUUAAAUGUUGAAAUUUACUCAAAAAUGUCACAGCAAGAGCAAGGGAGUGGGAGUGACCGAGUGGCCGUAAAAGCGAAAGAGCUGACCUCAAAAAGCGUUCAACAAAUGGCAACAAGAAAAAUAAAAUAAGGGAAAAGUAUGGAGUAAACUAAAACCACAACUGCAACUAUUUUUCAUGCUUGUGAUGAGGAUGGCAGAUGACGAAUACAGAAAAGUAGAAGGAGUGGAGAGAUGAGUAGACUGUGGCGUAGUUGCAAGCCGAAAAGGGGUUCCACAAGAAGGAAAAUCAUGACAGAAUAAACCUAAGAAAAAACGAAUCAGUUGUGUACUUUUUACCGAUUUUUCUGCUAACAAUUCGGGAUAAAAAUGCCCUUCCUUUUAUUGGGGGGAAGCAUAAUCAACCCUGACCAUGUCCCUGCCUAAGGCAGCAACUUUAACGAUAUGUCUAGUCUUUUGGUCACCAAGUUGAUGUCCUUGUGUCUUGUAUCUACUGAUUGCCAAAUGCUCAACAGAUUCGCAUGAAGGGAUUUGGAGGCACAGGGGUGAUAUGGUUGGAGACAGAGAUAGAGAGCUUGACGGAGGACAGUUGCCGCGACACGGCGCACUACACACUACACAUCUAUCAUAGUUAUGUGUGCAUUUUUGUGGCACUCGAGUUGGCAAUUGACCCGCUUUUGGUUUUUGGGUUUGGACACGUUUGUAGCCAGAAGGAAGAGCAGAAACAGCAGCAGCAAUAGUAGCGGAAACAUGGCUCUGGCUUUGCUCUCUCUCUCGCUUUCUCUGGCAAAAGCUUUACACUUUCAUUAUGUUUUAUUGUUUGGUUUUUUUUGUAAGCACUGCAGGCAGACACACGCACACAGUAUAAAGCUGCGUGAAAGCCACUUACACAGAUACAAAACACACAGAUAGAGAGAGAGAGACAGAGAGAGAGAGAGACAGGAAAUUGUGAGUGCGAGUUGAAUGCUGGCUUGGGCUUGGGUCUGGCUGCCUGGCUGUUCUUUCUGUUGUUGGUCAUUUGAAAAGGGGCUUUAACAUAAUACUUGGAGCAAAGCAUUCAAUGUCCUUAGCAGGCAAGGCAGCCUGCCAGUCAGUAGCCAUCCUGUUAGUCAUGCAGCCAUCCUUUUAGUCAGGCAGCCGUACUUUCAAUCCUGCCAACCGUUUGGGGCCAAAUCGAGCGACAUGUGGCUUAGAGCUCACUCCCUCUCUCUCUCUCUCUCUCCCUGUGGCAGUCCGUCUCUCUGUCACUGUGUGUGUGUUUUUUGUGCAAAUCAAAGCCCUAAAAGCAUUUUGUGCAAAAGCAGAUGAAAAGCGAUUUCCAAGAUGUGCAGCAAAAAACAAAAAAAAAAUGGAAGAUGUUAUUUGAAUGGGGCUUUUUGAGCUGCGGUAAAAAGGGUUCAGUCCCAAUGAGGAACUUGAAAAUCUCACCUUUCUUCCGAGGGUGGGGGAAAGUUAUUCUCUAACUUGUUUUUUUAGCAGUCAUUUGCGAACAAUUUGUAGAAACCACUGUAUCCCCUUUACCUCUCACAUUCCACGCUUUUUAUGUCUCUACCUUCGCCCCAGAAGCUUUCGCUGUUUCCCUUUUUUACCCGCUGAAAAUUGAAGUUCUCGCCAUCGUUAUCAUAAAUCACAAAAUAUUCAUACAGUUUUGUUAGAAUGUAUGUGUAUAGUUGUGUGCAUAUAGCUCCCACUCGUGCUGCUUCUCUCUCUCUCGCUCUAUUUGUGCAUUACUUUCAUGUGUUUUGGCUUUUACGUGCAAUUUCUCGUUUUGCGAGCAUUAAAAUUGAUUUAUGUCGUUGGAGAGCGGCGAAAAACUGAAAUUAUGAGAGCCAGCGGACUUGUGGUAGUGUGCGAGAGAGGGAAUAGUAAAGGUUUGUCCUAGUCAGAGUUAUGACUGAGAGUGCGGCUGACUGUACUGGAAAAUGUUACAAAAUGCUGCCGCCAUAGCAAUGCUGCCUCCCAUGUUGCAAUCAAAUAUAUCACACAGUGAGCGUGGGGCAGAUCGAAUAGUUUACAGUGAAAAGGUGCUGUUGAAAGGAGAGAUCUACAGCUUCCGUUCUAAAUAUAACUCUGAUUAAGGUAUGUAGAUCUUCAGCAUAAAUUCAGGGAAGAUGGUGCCCUGCCUUUCCUGUCCCAGUCCCAGACAGAAUUCCACUUAGCGAGAGAGACAGAGAGAGAGAGAGAGCUCCCUCUUUUACCACACUGUAGUCCUUAAAGUUUUGGCCCGCCAGCAAUGUUCGUGGAUAAUUCAUAGACUUGAAAAACUGUUUUUCUUUGAGUUUCACUUAACUUUUUCCCCACCUGCUUAACUUUUCUCUCAUCUGACUAACUAUUCCUCAUUCACUGGCCCCGUUCCGUUCCAUUUCUUUCAACCCUUUUCUUGUCAACAACUUUCACGGCGACGCCUCAAAGUAUGCGGCAGUUUAUGGAGGCUAGAACCACUGCUGAAUUUUCUUCUUGUGUUUUUCUCGUUUUGUGCGGCGGCCGCACAACAAUUUGUCAUGUUAUUGUGGAAAUUAUUGUCUGCUUUUUCAUUGUUUGACUUCUGUCUGCCGCUUGAAAAACGCCGCGCUACAGUUGUCUGCUUGCUCUUGCUUUAGGGGUUUGUUUCUCCCCAGCCUCUUGUGUUUUUUUUUUGCAUUUUUAAUUAUGAAUGCCUGGAAGGGGGCCAUAUACCCUCUCAGUCUGCUUUGAGUCCUUUCUUGAAGGUGAGACUGUCCUUUUGGCGCUUAUUGGCCAAGUCGUGAAUGCCCUGCUAAAACCUUUUCUCGACCCUUUUUUUUUGCUGCCCCUGCUAAGCGGCUUUCGACUGCUUGGGCCCCCAGUGCUGUUUGGGUUACACCUUUUGAUGAUGCGGACAGCCCUGCUGCUGCUACCACUUCUGCUUUUCAGAGUUUAAGCCCAGAAAAAAGAGUGAAGCUUUUGCAGUAUAAUUGACAAAAUUGCUAAACUGGGGAAGCCAAAAAAGUGCUGGCUGGCAGUUUGGCUGCCAAUUCUCUGUGGAAUUGAAAAAGGAAGACGUUAAUGUAUCUCCGCCCAUUUUACGGCGAAUAUGCCAAGAAGGAGCAACCGCAGAGUGGAUCUUUGGAAUAAGUGAUUUCUGUAGGAACACCUGGCGUAUGCCCGUUCGCCCCUACGUUUGUUUUUCUUUAUUUCUUAUUUUUGAAAAUGCGAUUAAAGUUCGGUGAAAGCAAGUGGAAAACCGGAGUAAAAGACCUAGCAUGUGCUACACAUUGCAUUCUUGUGCUCCUUCUAACCCGAUUAUGCAUUCAAUUGCCCCAUAAACUCACUGUUCACACUGCACCUCUGUCUCAGUCUUCCAAAAAUGUUUCCAAUUAUAAAAAGCUUUUAGGUAAAUCAGAACUCCCCCUCCCCACCCUAAGUGUGCUUGAAUUGUCUUGGAUUCUGUUAGAGAACAAUUCAAUUUGAGGGAAAUACAGAGAAACAGAUGGGGGAGCAUAAAAAGGGAGAACUUCUCGCACAAAAAGGAAGGCAAGAGAAAAAGGAGGGCUUGUCUGCAAAAACAAAACGAAAAGCACAAGAGAAAUCAUUGGAAACAAAACAGAAAUCAAAGCAAAAGUAAAAAGAAAGACAAAAGGAAAUUAAAUGAAUCGAAUUGAGAAAGUAUAGGAGCGCGUGCAUUGUGCGAAAGUAUUUUUUCCAUUUUCCAACUUGUCAAUUUAUUGUUCUCCCACCCCAUACCUACCCCAUCGAAGAGUGGAAAUCCAACUUCAAAAGGAAAUGGAAAUGGAAGAGUUGUGUUCUGCGAUGCAGGAGAAAAAACACGAAUGAAAAAUCAUGUAGGUAGUUGCUUUGUUUCCAAAGUGCUUUGCUAAUCGAACCGUAGACAUGUGGGUGCUAUGUUUUCUGUCCUUUGAUUCUUUCAUUUCUUAAUUGAGAUUAGACGGAGAAGAAGAUAUGAUAUGUUUGUUUCGCUCACAUCAUGGAGAAGGCUGGCAAUAUCAAGAGGAAUAUCCUUGCUAAUGACUGUCCAAAAAGCAUUUUUCCACUUUAUUUCCUUUUCUCGUUAUUGCUGUCUCCAUUUUGUCCUCCACGUCUUCCAUGGUUUAUUUGCGCCUCUGUUUGUGUCCUGCUCUUUAUUUGAUGUGUUACUUGCCACGUAAGUGUUUUUUUUUUUGACAACAAGAACCUUUGCUGCAUCAGGCUAAAAAUGUUGAAAAGUGCCUAAUACAAUGCGAAAUUGCGGAAUUAUUUAUCUGUCUGUAGGAGUCUUCCCUCUUACCUUUCCUGGCACAGCUCCCCACCGCCCCCAAAAGUCGAACCAACAGAUUCUUGGAAAAUUCUUGAUUACUUCUUCCUUGCGGAUUCUCUUCCUCUUAUUGGAUUAUUUACUUGGGAAAGUUUUGGUACUAAAAUGCUCGUUUAUCUCCCGCUUAAAUAUUCAAUUGCUCGUCUUCUGCGCUCUCUUCUCUUUCGGUUUCUUUGUGAUUACUUAAAUGUUUGUUAAAAUGUUGUUUGCGUUAUGCUCUGCUAUGCAAUCAAAAUGUUUGCACUUUGCAGGUGACGUGACGCGCUUCCGUGCAUUCGAAAAGCGCAAACGUAGCAGAAAUUAAUGGGAAAUUAUAAGCGCAGCGCAGGGCAGGAAAAAACAGAAAGAGUGUUGCGUCAGGAGAUAGGAGUUAGGGGUGUCUGAUGGUUAGGUAGCUCUUAUAUGACUUGGAUAACCCUUGAAUAUUUUGUGCAAAAGUGAAACGAAACGAAACGAAACGCUUUGCCAAGUGUGUGGCGCUGGUGGGCCACGAGGGCAUUGAAGGGUAUGUUGUUUUCAGGGGAACGAAAGAACAACUUUGAAAACUCAUAAAUUCUUAGAAAUGGCCCGGAAUAAAAUAAACUUCCAAUUAGAAAUUUCCUUCAGUGGAGGGGCAUCUCAUAGUCGGAAUAUCGAGUAAAGAAGGCUAGAGGCAAGUGCCACCACAUAGUAUGUGGUGGUAACGUGAUAUAGCCGAAUGCUGAUGGCUUUUUGAGCUGCACGUGCAUAUGUUUUAUGUGUGUGUGUGUGUGUGUGUGUGUGGACUUUGAACUUAAGUUAGUUAAAUGACGAAUGUCUACCAUCCUGAUCCACCACUUUAUGCAAGCCUCGCAUCUUGCAACCUUGCAACCAUGCAACAACAACAAUCAACAAAGUUUUGUAUUAAAAAAGUUUCUUCGUUUUCUGUUCUUUUCUACUUGCAGGUAAAUGACGUAAAUUUUUAAUUACUGGCAAAAACUUGUCAUCGUCAUCGUUGGGAGCAGGAACAGGAGUUGGAGCACCACCACACCUAGCAGCAGCAGAAGCAGCAGCAGCAGCAGCAGAGUCUUCCACAAAAGUUUUCAUCAUUUCGUUGGGUGCCUGUCAAGUGUCAAGUGUGUCCUGUGGGUAUCCUGCAACUGUUGCAACUGCAGCAAAUGCAAUGGUAUUUUACCACAACGCUGCCACACAAUCACACAACAACAGACACAACGGCAGGUUGCGUCUACGUCACUGCAAUGCCACAAAUCUUUGUGGUUUGCAUAGCCUCAUCGUGCCAAUCUCCGAUUCCCCCUCGUUUAUUCCCUGCCUCUUGCUCUGCCUUGAGCUUUCUCUUUGGAUGGACAGAAUGACUGACUGUUGCUUGUAACGUUCCCCUUUUCCCAUUUCCCCAUUUCCAUGUCUCGUUGCAGUUGACAGCAAUAAUCAAAACUUGUGUACAUAUUCCAUUAAAGCGAGAGAGAAACUGUGGCGUGGGUGCGGGCUCCACAUGAUUCUGGGUGCAUGGUGCACAGAGGAGCAGAGAGAAGAGCAGAGGAGAGGAGAGCGAAGGCUAUCGAGAGAGGGCACUAAAAGAUAACACAGAGAGGAGAGGAGAGAAGAGUUGUCUGCACUAAAUUAGCGUGUGCCUUUCGCGAACAGAAGACGGUAGACGGGUGUUGGGGGAAUUACCCGAAAAAGGAAACGGAAAUGAAAAUUUUUACUUGGCAGCGAGAAUUAUCAUGGGAAAAACCAACGCCAACGGCAACAGGAAGUUUCCACUAUAGGGAGAGAUUGAGAGGGAGAAGGAAGAGAGAGGACAGUGAGAUAGGGAACAAACGGAAGAUGUAAUUAGCAGAAGAGCCAAAUAGUGAAAAUGGGAAAAUAAUUAACACUUGAGCAUAAUUAAUUGCAUGCCACACACACACACAGACACACAAAAAUGAGAAGAUUUCUCGAGAGCUUGGCCACAAACGAAACAAUUUUUAAAGUGCAUUUGCAAUUUACUUGUUGUAGCUUGGGGAAUUUCCAAUAGAUUUCCCCCAAUGCAUUUUUCGUGUGGGUUCUGCUAAUCACAUUACUUUCAUGGAAUUGAACUUUGUGUAAAAGGAAAUUAACUUGAAAGCGAUUUAUAUUGAAAGCUAGAGAUAGAGACAGAGAGAGAAAGAAAGUAAGUGAGUGAUUGAGAGAAAGUUUAUGAAUCAUUUGACUUUGGAAAAUCGCUUGGUUGAUUCUGAUUUGAUUUUGCUAGUCCGCAUGGAUACUUUUUCACGAUACAAAGCGAAUGCCAAAAACUCAACUCUCAAUCAAUUAAAAAAAAAUUUAAUUUUUGCAAUAAAUAAAUAAUAAAAAAAUAAUAAAGUUUUCCGAGCGAGUCUGCUCCCACUUGGAGUAUUCCCUCUUCGCACUUCACUGAACCACAAUGGACUUUGGCCCCAGAACGGGAAGCCAGAAGCCAGCAGCCAGCAGCCAGUAGUCAGCAACCAGCAACCAGAAGUGGUAUUGGGCAACAUUCCAAUCGUUUUGUUGGAUUUGAAGUGGCAGGAAGAGGGCACAAGCACAGACUCUACAGGAUGAGGGCACAGAUGCUGCAGGAAGAGACGUACGUAGAUGUGGUGGGGAAUCAACCAUAGCCAUGCUAACCAUUAAGUGGGAAGAGAACUUCUCCCUCUCUCUUUCUCUCCGUCUGGCUGGCUCCGUUUGGUUCACAUUUUGUUGAGGUUCUGCCAAAAGAAAGACAGCGGCAGCUGUCUUCGUAAAUAGAUUUAUCAUGAAUCAACAUUUUUGUUUUGGAUGUUUUGUGCCGUCGUCAAAAGUUUUAAUUGCCCAAAACUGUGCUUUGUUCCAUGUCCUACGAAUGUAUGCCAUAAAUUGCAUUCUCUUGGCAUCACUUUCCUUUCAACAAUAAGCAAAACAAUUAUUAUGCUGGCGAGAGUGGUGUGUUUGUGUGAGUAUACAGUGACGCCUGUUUAUAAAGUACAUUUUUAAUUAAAACCGCCAACAGUGGGGCACACCAUUUUGAUUAUUUUCACAAUGUCUGUCGGUGUUUGCUUUGAGCAUUUCAAUCAGCGAGCGACAAUGAAAAAAAAUCACGUCAGGGUGGAAAAUUCGUCCCUUUAAAUAAACAUCAUUCUAUGCUGUAACUUUCGUACGGAAAACAUCUCUUUUGAGAUUAUAUUUUGAGGAAAUUUAAUGGUAAUGUGCUGGACAUUUUCGGAUUUGGAGUGCAUAUUUUGAGAGUUACCAUCAAGAUAAUUGUCAUACGAAAUUUAUAGAAAUAUGUCCUCAAAAAAUAAAAAUUUGAAUCCCCAAACGAGUUUGUUCUCACUGAAUGGAUAUUCCCAACUAAAGAAGGAUGUUUCUGAACGGUAUAUUUAUCUUAGAGAACCAGCAGGGCAUUACAUGUUUCGUUCUACCUACACCGCUCUGGUAAACUUCCUUUUGUAUUCAUCGCUUUCGGCGCAACAAUUCGAGGGCGUGGCGUCGUUUAAGUGAUUUUCCAUGAAACCUGCCGCCAUUUUAUGGAUACUGACAAACAUAUAUAAAAUGUAUAUGGAUACUUUUAUGUUCGAGUAUCGACUGCUGCUUAUUGCUCAAUGAAUGCAACCUUUGUGGGCUUUUUUAAUGGGUGUAUCCGUGUGGCAGUGGCACUGCGAAAAGUCGUGUCUGUGUGGCAAGGCGCGGAUGUUACAAUUACGAAACGUAAGUGGAAUUAAUGCUGUGACGGACAAAGAGAGUAAGAGGUAGAGAGAGAGAGAUCGAAAUUAAUGCAAAUAAAUUGAGCAAUAAAUAUCGGAAAAUGGGAAAUUUUUUUUAAGAUGUCCAUAAUUUAUUAAUCUAUUAAAUGGGCGACUUGUUGUGUCUGUUGUGCCUCAGAGCUUAUGUACUUUUAAGUGUGUGUGUCUAUCUGUGACUGUGGAAAUCAUGAGAGAAUGUCCUAAUUAAGCAAAUUAAAGCAAUUAGUUAAUGUUAAUAGGAUUUUCAACGAAUAUUUGCCCAUUUAUUUGCAGCGUGCAGAUGGCAUCGAGUGACCUGAAAAAUUAAACUUUUUGUGUGCUAAAAUCUAAUAUGUCUGCAAAAUGCAAUUAAAUUCCUUUACUUUGUCAUUUCCGACGCAUUCUCUUUGACUCUUUUGCUCGCCAAAAGCUAAAAGCAAUUAUUCUAUGUAGAAUAUGUGGAAAGUAAAUAUAUCCAAAUUGAAGGAGGGCAACAGGGAAACUCUUUGUGGCAAACAACAAGGUGAAACAAAUUGCUAAAUGUUUUAUGGGCGAAGCCAUGCCAUACCAUCCGUUUGUAUACACCAUCAUGUAACUCUAUACAUGCAUACAUAUAUCCCUUCUGCAUACAUCCUUUGUGUAUACGUAUAAAUGUAUGACAUUCUGUCGUCGUCGGGCACGGGUAUAUAAGAGUAAAAUAACAAAAAACUUGCAUAAUUUGUGCUGUUAGACCACAAAAAAUACAAGAAAAUAUAAAGGAUAAAUACAGAGCGUGGCGGAAAGGAGGAGUGUGGGAUAUUUGUGUGCUGUAGACAGCUGAACAACAAAACUUUGAAUAGAGAGGGACAGGGCGGGAUAGGAUACGACAGAGGGUGAAGGACAGGUCGGGUGCACCAGCGGCUAUGUAUGUAUAUAGUAUGUGUGUGUUCCUGUGUGUGCACUGGUAUUUUAUUACAAAAGUUUACAGGACUCUGUUGCUAAUGUUGGUCUUCUUGUGAGCUUUGUUCCAUUUUUUUUUCGGGUGUGGGUUAGGUAAAUGCUGUGUAGGUAGGAACGAAAAUUUGUGCAUGGCUGGCAAAAGUCACGGGUACACAGAUUUGAGAGUGGCAAUGUCCGGCAUCAAUGCAAUGUCUAUCCAAAUGGAUAUUCAAUUAUUUUCUGCCUUUUACAAUUGUUUCGACAACAUCAUUUGGCCCUAACGUUCUUGGUGCCUGCAUUGGUCAAAAGUUUUCAAGCCAAAAACUAAACAAGUCUCGACAGCAACUCAAAAACUUAACAGAAGUGAUGAAACCACGUAGGGGACAAGCAAAGUGCAUUAGAGUACAGACCAGAAGCAGAGCAGAGUGGGAUGUCAGAGGAAGAGGGGCCGGAAAAAUCGAAAAACUAUACCCAACUAAAAUUGAGUUAAAGCGUAAAAGUUUCCACAGAGUUUUCUAUUUUAAUUGUACCGAAUAUUGAGUUACCAUUGGUACAAAUCAAACAAAAAUAAAUGGUAAAUAUGGUAAAUAGGAAAUGCUUUACUUAAAUACCAACAAAAUACUGCAUAAGAUUUAUUAAAAAGUGUUUAAAUGUCUGAUAAUAUUAAUUAUAAUGAGAUUUUAUUUUAUUGAGAGAAUAUAUCUGCCAAAUACUAAGAGGGUAUCCUCUAGUCGGUAUCUCCCGCCAAAACGUUCAUUCUUCUUUUCCCUCUGUUUCUCUUCUGUGUGCUUUUCUCUGCUUCUUUCGUGUCGCGAGUUGACCACGCGUAAUGCAUGACAAGAAAGCCUGGCCAGAACAGGACAGAAGCGAACAUGGAAGUAGGGGACGGGCAUAGUUUUUGGGGCUGGUUGGUGUCCGUGUCCUGCCCAAUGUAAUUAAGCAACUUACAAGCAGUAAACACACACAUACACACACAGGGCGAACAUUAUUAGCCAGGCCACAGAGCAAGAGAUAGAGCGAGGGAACGCAUACUCGUACAAUAUUUAAUAUGCGAUUUCUGACACUACUCACACACCGCACACGCACCGGGAAAAGGCCAUAAAAUGCGGAACAAGAUAAAAGAACGAUGGCCAUUUAUUUGACUCGCGCAAAUGCGUGUGAUUGUGUGUAUACGUGCGUGCGGAUGCAGCUGUGUGUGUGUGAGCGGGGGUCAAAUAAAUAACAGGCAGCCAUAAGGCACUGCCCUUUUGCUUGCAACUUUUUCCACUUUCGCCCCAACUGAUGCUUAUCAUAAUUUUAAUGAAAUUCGCCAUUGAUUGUAACUGCAGAAAGGGUGUCCAAUAUGGGUGUAUGGGUUGGGUGUAUGUUGCACGAACGCACAUUAAGAGCAGGCUGAAGGGUAGAGUACACCACAAUCGACUCGACUCGACAGGACUCGACUCUCUGCAUGGGCUUCUGCAUCUGCGGCUACAUCUCUUCUCAUUAACGUAUAAAGUAUCGGAAUCAACAUUUCAUGUUACAAUGCGGAAUGUGGCAUGUGUCCGUUGCUUGUCCGCCCCGUCAUUAAUGAGUGGACGUUUUCCAUGUUCAUUUACGGCUGCCCGACAUCGGAGCAUUGGGUAAAAACUAACAGGAUACGAAUCGAUAAUUACAUCAAUUUUUGUAAAAGCAAAAGCUUUGGGGUCGCUUUAUAAUUGGCUCUUCAGACGGGAGGGAAAAACGAGGUGGAUCUGUGCUGCGGAUAAUGGCAGCCGCCUUCCCUGGUAAAUAAUCUGACUAAUGUGGUCCGCUUUUGGAUACCUUCCUUCUGGUCUAUGGAACUGUAAAAUUUCGUGGCUUGAUUAAGUGUGGUUCCAGAGUUUCAAAUGAAAUUCGGUUCGGUCUGUGGUUUGUGUGUGUGAUGGAUGGCAGUCACGGAGACAGUGUAUCGCUAAAAGUCGAACUAUGUUAAUCUACUGGCAGUCUCAAGCACCGGAAAUGCUCAACAUGGAGGACUCUCGUGCUGCCGCACGACGACAGAUAGUCAGUCAGACAUUGAGAGUUGGAGCGAGAGAAGAGGCAACCAUUUUGGCGGUGAUUUUUGGCUCGUUUAUUUGUCGAAGGAGCAGCAGCGGCAAAUGCAGAUUCAACAGCAGCGAGACAACUGUACACAAAACUUGGUACGAGAAUGUACUGCAUGUAGCCAUGUGGCAAUAACAGCCGGUCGGAUGCGGAUCUUACAAUUUACGUGAUGCUGCUAAAUGUCAAAUAUUUUGUCACUCUGCAAGGAGAGAGCAACCCCACAGAAGGGGGAGCACAGCAUCUUCUGUGACAGUUUGAUGAAUGGCUGUAGAUUGAAAAAUGCAAAUAACUAAAGAGGAAAUACUUGAAAGCCUGUAGCAGAUGUUGUGCGUGUGUGUUUGACAGGAAAGAAAUAAGGCAAAAAAUGGAGAAAGUAUCAAACGGGAAAUGUAGAAUAUUGGGGAGGAAAUGCGAGUAUUAUUAGAUUUGUAUAAAUCGGUGGAUAUGUGUGCUAAAAGCCAUGGGUUGUGAUAAUUGACUGAAAAAAUAGUUAGAAAACCAAAAUAAAAGUGCAAAUGCUAACCCCUUAUUGAAAGCCAGACAAAUAGGAAUUUGGUUUCAACUAAAAAUCCCCGAGAAAUAUGCUACUCUACCAUUGACAGGUAGACUCCCUGUGUUGGCCAUUGGCCAUCCAUUGCUCGUUUUGCUAUAAAUUUCCGCUUCCUGUUGUGCUUUGUUCGCUGUAGCCUUCGUUGGCCUGGUGAAAAGAUAAAAAUAUCACCGUGGCACGUGGAGUCAAUUUAACGUGUCGUUACUGACAUAAAUUACAAUUUGAGUGGCGCCAUUCGUUCGGUGGCCGAAACGAAUGCUUGGGGCAUAAACAGCACCUGCUGUUGUCGUCGCCAUCUAUGGCCAUGAACUGCACUUUGGGUUUGCAAUAAAAUUGACAAAUAAUAAUGCAAACCGAGAGUGAAACAUGGCAGAUAUAAGGUAAAUAUUUGCAGGUUCUCUCAGAAGCUGGUGGCAGUUUUUCCACGCCUGAUUGCUUUUGGCGUUCGCAAUUAUAAACUUUAUGAUUAGUGUUGGUCUGAGUUACGCGCAUAAAAGUUUGCCGCAGCGUUUUGCAACUUGUUUUUUCCACCACUCACCGCCAACCAACACUGGCACUAGCUAGCAUCUAUCUAUCCCUUCCAAUCUGCUCUCUUUAGUUACAGGUAGAACUCUGGAAGGUUGGUAGAGGGGGCGUGCAGGCGGCCAGGCAUUGAGAGCUUAACAACUUUGUUAUCAACAAAUGUGUAAAUCUAACCAACGACUGCCAGAGUACAAAAAAUAUUCAAAACUUUUCCUCCUCUCUCCACUUACACAUGUAAAUAUGUAUGUACAUAUGUGCCUGAAUAUAUGUGUGUGCUGUUGUUGGGGUUUGUCUAACUUUUAGGCAAAAUAUUUAUGAUCGUUUUAGUGGCUGGCCAAAGUUUAGAGCAGGGCGAUAACAAUAUUAAGGUCUGGCCGUGUAUUGACUUUGGGAAUAUUCGUAUAUGGCUUGGAUGCAGAUUAGGAAUGUAAAAUGCGGCGCCACUUGUGCAGCUUAAAGAUUAAGUUGAAACUUAAUGAAAACUUAUGUUCCUUCCUCUCAAGCUGGAGCACGGUUUCCUGCCAGACAUUCACCACAAACCGCAGAGGGAGGGACUGACUCGUUUAAGGGUCGUUCAUUUCAGCCACCGACAUUUUCCAGUCACGCCCGCUUAACAGGAGCUCCCUCCCCUGCCACUCCCCAGCGAUGAGUUUCCCCAAUCCAGCGUCUGAGCCAGCUAUCUAAGCCAGAAGGGAGCGAGCCGAGUCGAGCCCUCCCCAGGCAUAAAGGGAAAAUUAUCCUUUAUUAUUUUCAGUGCAAAGUUUUCACUCUCAUCGCAGCACCGGAUGAAUGCCGGAUGAGGAUGACGGGGCUGAGGGGCCUGUGCUUUGUCAACUUUAUAAUAUUAUAUUUUGUGGAUGGUGUGUAGCACUUAUUAUCGAUUACCCAUCAUCAGGUGAGAAUGCCAGCCAGUCCGGGGAUACAAGUUGUCAGAUUGGAAGACGGCGAAGCGGAGGGUAGUACGCAGUCCUUUCAGUAUGCUGCACACACACACAAGUAGAGACACGCCACCCACUUUCUCUCGGGGAAAAAGUUUGUCAAUCGAAGCGAGAAUCCUCUCCUCUCCUGUCGAGGAGCCGACUGUUGUUUGCUGUUCUCCGGGUGUGCCAUUAAACUUUAUCUAAAUGCUCACAUCAAGCAGUGCCAUCGCCUCCGCCGCCGCAGGAGCUGCAGAGCUUAGGAUGAAAUGGAGGAGCAAUGUUAGCUGUACUUUCAUUACUUUCAUUAUUUAGCCAGAGAGAAGGACAGAACGACUGAACAGACUCGACGCUCAGUUGAGCAAUUUGGGAGAAAUCGAAAAGCAUUUAAUGGGAUUUUCACUCGGUUAGAGAGAGAGUAGAGAGGUUAGAGAGGGAGUAAAUCGCUUUAGAUCGCUACUCAAUUGAAAUGCAUUUUGGUUAAACAGAAUUCGAUUAGGCAAACAAAGCGAACAGGAGAAGCUAGCAAAUGAAGUGUACUCCGCUUUCGGAUAAUAUAGUUGGCCCCGUUUGAGGGCAAGACAUUUGCAGGCAAACGAUUUAUUUAUCUAUUUACUCAUUUUAGUUUAAAUAUAUUUGUAGUUAUUAAUUCAGUUAUUUUGCAAUUUUUUAUUUUGUUUUUGCUGAUUUUAUUACACUUUAUGUUAGAGAUCCAUUCAUUUUUAAUUUCCCAGCCUUUUAGGUUUUUUUUUCCUCUUAUUCGCUGAGUACUGGAUAAAGUGGCCGACACUUUUGCGCUUCAUUAAUUAAUUGAAAGGGAAAACGAGGAAAAUCGUCAAUCCAAAAAUGGAAAUGAAGAACUCGAACUCAGGCGGGGGGUUUGUCAAGGGAUAAAUUGUUGUCGUUGGGGAAGGUUAAAUAGGGGGGGUAGUGGAGUAUGGCGGGGACCCACCCGAGCUGUCUAUUUUGACGCGUUUCGCUGGCACAUUCUGUUUGUCUUUCAAAUUGUUUGUGUCGCUGCUGUGCUGCUGCAGCUCUCUUGGCUCCCUUUUAAUUAUAAAUUGUUGGCCCAAUGUCUUCCCUUCUGCUUUCUGCCUUGCCCGUCUUCUAAUGAGUUUUGUUGCCCCUUUUUUGUCCGACUGAGGAAAAGUCUGGCCAAAAUUUCCAUUAGCACUUGCCUUGACCAAAAGUUGCCUUUUUGUUUCCAUUUUUCGGCUGCCGCUGCUGUUUUUAGUAAGUUUUACAAUAAACAAAUAUGCCAACAGGCAAAGUGAGUAACUUUUGUCAUAAAUUUGUGCUGUUUCUGGGUAUUGCAGUUGGCGCUUCUGUAAAUAAACUUAAAGUUUUUCCCCCAGUCAAACAGUCAAAGAAAAAGGCAAACUUUUUGCCUCCGGGCGUCAUGCUGCUGCCAGAGACUUUAAUUAGUGAACGUUUUGUCCUUCCAAGGAUGAUAAACUAUUCGAUAACCGAUAAGCGAUAACCGUUCAUUAAAUUUUCAUUUUCUUUUGAAAAUGGAAACGCGCAAAGAGGAUGAUAGGUGGGCGGGGAAAACGCUCGAAGCCAGCGAAAAAUAAAAAAAACGUUAAGCAAACGACAACUGCAAAUGGAAUUUUAAUUCAAUUUGAAUGUGCGAGACGCAAAGGAAAGGAAAGGAAAGGAGGGAAAGAAAACGGAAGGAGGACCAGGACUCUAUUAACAUCAUGGCGAGUGCUUUUUUCUUUGCUUCCUUAUCUGUCCGUCUCUCAUUUAGUAAUGUAAUUUCAUUAAGCAAAGAAAGAAUAAGCAAAUAUAGAGAUGAGCAAGUUUCUCUCUCAGUCUCCGUUGUAUGCCGCCAUCUCCUUAAUUGGUACAUUUUCGGGAUGACAAUUCCCCGACAACUGUUUCGCACUUGUUGCUGCUGGCUGCUGGCUGCUGCAUCCCCAUGGCCAGCCUCUGAAGAGGGAAAAAACAGUGCAUUAUGCAUGUCAGGUCUCCGUCUCCAUCUUCAUCUCAGCCAAGACUCCAUCUCCAUUUGUGUCUCAGUCAAGUCACAGCCAAAAUCCCGCAGGUGCAAUUGUGUCAGCUGCAGACCUCAGACUCUGCUUUACACCUGCUGUAAAAGGCAAGACACUUCUCACUCGAGUGUGUCGGUGUAUGAGGGUGCGAGAGUGAGCCCGCGCGUGUGUGUGUGUGUGUAUGGCAGUGUGCCCAGAGGGGCCAACUGUCAAUUGUGUGGACACGUGGCUGCUGUUGCAGCGGUGUUUUGUGUCAGUUGAGAACUUAAACUCAUUAGCCGCCCGCCGUCAGGUUAGUUAUGCAGCGGAGCAGGCCCCAGAUCCCACGAUCCCCCAACCUGCCGACCUGCCGACCCGCCAGACCACCAGAGUGCAGGUACUUUAUGCAUUUUUCAUCAUGACUGAGCUCUGGAUAGGUGCAAGCGGAGGAGGAGCGGAGAGAAACGGAAAGCCCCCAUGAGGAGUCAAGUAGGCAGCCACGAAAUUUGGGUCAACUGCAGAGGAAUUAUGCGACUAUAUUUUUUGUCGUUCAGUGCAACGGAAAAUUGCCUUGUUUCUGCAGCACACACUCACACACACGUACACUCCGGCAGAACAAGUGAAAACGUAAGCAGCAAAGCGUUAAAAGAAAAUCGUUUUAGCUGCAAGUGAAAGCACCAGAAUCGUGUCCCGUGCGUGCCGCUUGAAAAUUUAAUGUUGCACACUUUUCGGAGCCCCAAAAGUAGCAAGAAAGCAAAAGCUCCUUUUCAAUGUUUGAAAAUGGACAAUUUAUAGAUACUUACCCGCAAAUAGAAAGGUAAGUUUAGUUGUACAUAUAUGCUGUUUGGGUUGCAUGCCACAAAUACACCGAAUCUUAUCGUACAGAGUACGUGCAACUGCUGCUGCCACUGAUGCAUAUUUUCCCUGCAGUCGCAUUUAAAUAUGUGCACACACGAAAACUGCACAAGUCGGCACAAAUUAAUGGGAAAUUAUAAUGUGCAUGCAAAGGCGGAAAAGUUUGAGGAGGAUUGGGUGGUCGGUGGCGCACUCGGCUUUUAUAUGAAAAUUUAUAACUACAGACGACGGAAGCAGGCGCCUGCCCGUCAGGGAGGCAGGCAGGCAAAAACACAGCAACAAGCAAAAUUAGGAGCAUCAACGAGACGACUAUGGGAGGAACAGAAAGCAGGUGAAUUAGCAGUUUUUAGAGAACAAGCCAAGCCACUUCCCCAACUAUAUUUCCGAGUAGAAAUUAGUAGAAAUUUAACCAGAGUUGGGCUAAUACCUGAAGGAUUCGAUGUUAGUUAUCGCAAAAGUUUGCCUUUACAACAGCAAUCUCUGUACUUUGGUAAAACUUAUUUGGAUUUGCGUAAGCGAUGAUUAUAAUGGAAGCCAGGGGAUGGACAGCUAUAGAAUUGCAUAAAUUUGAUUAGUAAUAAUGAAAAUAAAGUUAUGCAGAGUAGAGUUUUUGGGCAGUUCAAGUGUUGAUUAACUAUUUAAAAAGUUUUAAGAGACUUUUUCAUAGAAAAUGUUGAAAUUUUCAUUGAAAUUGGUGGUAAAAUAUACAGAUACAUCAGCAUAUGGUUCAAAUAAUGAUUAUGCCACUGUGCCAGAAUCAAUCUAAUUUCAUUGGCAAAUAAAACGGGUAAUCAACAUUAUUUUGGAAAUUAUAAACAGCACUUACAUACGAACAUUGUUCAAAUCUAAUGCUCUGGAGGGAGACGGCUGCUCGUGGAUUUCGGAAUGUGGUCUAUGUAUACCAUGAGCCCGUAAAAAGGACAUGGAAAACGAAGAUCUGGAACACAUCUCCAUACCCGUAUCGGAAAAUUUUAAACUAUCUUAUUGUGAAGGGAAAAACUUUGCCUCAACUCACGCUCCGCUUUUCAGCCUUUUCAAUGAGCAAACAUGGGCAAAAUCGUAGACAAAUAAGUAGUUGGCAGACACACAGACAACAGCUGCAGCUGCAGCUACAGAUAAAGAUACAGAUAGAAACAUUGGGGUAUAAAUUGAACAAAUCAAAUGUAAACAUACACAAGACGCAACAGAAACGACAUUCUUAUGACAGUAGAAGCAGCAGCAGGCAGGCAUUUUCCCCAUCUCUCCCCCAACCGAUCGAUCCUGUUGCUGACUGUGCAAAGAGAGCGCGUGCGUGUGUGUGGGAGAAAAGGAAAAUUUGUAUUUUAUUUGCAUAUAUUGUAACAGUUUUUCCACGUUCCACCAUAGUUCCGCACCCCAUAUCAAUAUGCGACAGACAUAGAGAUAGAGAGAACGAGAGCCUGGCGUACAGUUUGUUGCUAGAACGAGUCUAGUGCACUUAGAUGAGCGCUUACAUUAGUGUGAUGAAUGCUGCAGGAAAUGUAAAGCAAAUAAAUGUAUAUGUUUCCAUACAUAUUGUGUACAAAGGACACACAUGCUGUCAGGGAGGAAGCGCUUUCCAGCAGAAACAGAGGGCAAAUGGAGCUGGAGGCGCCUUGAAUAGGCAUCAACUUGGCAUAUCAGAUCCCUGCACGUGUGGCACAAUUUACUUGGGCAUGAAACUCCACACGGAAUGGAGUUGGAUGCUCUCUCCUACAGCCAGCCUGCAUUUCGAUGUCAAUUAGUUUGAAUUUUCGCGAUUGACAAGUUGCAAAACAACUUGAGGCAGGUGUCGGCUGACAAGAAACUCAAUUUUCGCAGCUUCAUCUGAAGCUGCCACUCAUCGCUACCAUCACCGUGGAGCUUCCCCUUGGCUGGAGUUGGGUAUGAUGUGAUUGCCCUGCAAUAUCUCUGCUUCACCUGCAAUGGGUAUCAAAAGGAUUGGUCUGACGUUUCUUGUUGAAUUCCAGGCAUAGUUUCGAAGCAAAUUUUAAGCACACAGCAACGGCAUGCAGCUGCCAGCAUGCAGUGUCCAGUGUCCUUGUUGCAUGCAGCAAAUACUUCAGGCAGCCAGAGCCAGAUUGAGAGUGAGAGUGAGAGAGAACGAGAACGAGAGGCUGGCUGGACAGCAAAAGGUAGUUGUCAGGAGCAGCUUUGGCAUUCGGGUUGCCAUUUCCUCCCGGCUCUCUCUGGCAAUCAAUUUCAUUCAUUCCAUCGCUCAUACGCACCGGACGCCGUACCGCCUAAAGGCCACAGGAGCAGCAGCAGCUGAAAACACACACAGGGAAAGAGGUUCUGAUGAAAGUGUUCAGGUGAAAGACACAGCAGGGAAGAGAAAAAUGAUUCCUGCUGUAGAUACCAACCCUCCCCCACACUGAAGUCUUUUGUUAUGCAGCUGAAUGAAAAUAUUUGCUUGUCCUCGCAGAAAAUUGCACAGAGAAUGUUUUUCAUAUGUAAAUCUAACCGUAUUUUCAUUUCCUUCAGCAGUGGCCACAAAAGGCAGGUAAAAAGUUCACAGUUGGAUAUUCCCUUCUCGAUCAUCAUCGUUUUUUCUUAGUCCUUCCAUCAGUCAGGGCUCUUGUUCUGCUAUUGCGGCUGCUACAGCCGCCGAUCAAUAUUCAAUUGCAACCGUUCCCCAUGCGCCAUGCCCCGCCCCAUGCUGAUACUCGAUGCAACGCCAUGGCUUUGACUCUUAUUUGCGGAAAACGCUCCUAGGGGCAAUGUGGCGUAUGAGUAAUGCAACCAAAUGACCCGCACCGUGUGGGGUCCGAAGAGUCGCAGAAAGAGGCUACUGCUGCCGCUGCCGCUUUUGUUUACUGCUCCUAGGGCUGAUGUCCAUCAGGAGCCAGCAUAGAGUGCUGUUUAUUUAUGCCGGGCCCUACGCUCUGUGCUCUGACUGCAUCUCACGGCGAUUGCUGUUUGAUUACACGUGUAAUUCAAUGGCAUUUUCCUUCAUUUUCCUCCAUUUUCCCUCAUUUGCCGGAAAGAUUUUUCCGCCGAGAGGGCCGAGGCUUUGUGCUUGCAGCCCAGUUUUAAUCGAGUUUCCAGCCUGCUCUGACAUGUGGUUAGGAAAUGGUUAGUUGGUAAUUUAUGUCCCUGUCAUGUUUGCGGCUAAAUUGUUGGCCAAUUCAAGUCCUGGCACUCGGGAAAGUGCUCCUCCUUGCCACUCCACUCAUUUUUGUUUUAGCCCGCAAAAAGCCACUUUUAAUGAAAUUUUCGGCUUUGUUGGGCAGCUCAGACAGGCGAGAAGGCUUAUGAGAACCGACAGCGAAAAGUUUUUGCAUAAGUAGCGAGAGUGCAGGCAUAGAGAGAGGAAAAUGCUAGAGCAAAACCUAGAGGGAAAUGGCCGGGUAGAAGAUGGAAUAUUUCAACGAAGAGUGUGACCCUCGCCUGACAAGCAGGAAUUAAUUUGUGUAAUUUGAGGCAGGAGAAAGUUGUGUAAGAGUAGCUGAAUGAAGCUUAUGCAGCAGCAGACCCAUUCCCGGUGGCACUUUUCCCAUGACUAAACGGUUGAUAAAGCUCUGACUAAAGGUUUACCCUUGGAGGAGGGAUGAGAGGGGAAGGGCGCGGAGGGACAACACGAGGCAAUGAUUGGCAAGAUUCAUAUUUAUCAUGGCUGCUGCAGUCAUCAUCAGGCUCUUGUGGAAAAUCGGAUGCAACAGAGCUCGAAGUCGAACUCUUGUGCGCGUUUUCCGCAUCCGCGUUGCUCAAUGAUCCGUGUAAGCACGGAAAACUCCAAGGGUAAGAGAGAGAAAGUUUAAGCGCGAGGGGAAUAUGUGCCACGUAUAGAAAUGGCAGCCAACCCCCAAGAGAAAGAGCCACAGAAGCGCCACAGAAGCGCCACAGAAACCUCAGUAUUGAUUGUGAUAAAUGUGCACUUGGGUGGACUCUGGCUAUGUCUGUUUGGACCAGUAGAAGGACACGGACUAGAACGAGCACUUCCACUAGAGAGAGAUGUAUUAAGUUUGUGGUUUAUCAUCGAGGCGUAAAUUUACACUUGAUAUUUAAUUAAUUGUUAUAUACAACACACAAACAGUGCGUAUGUGGAGGAAUAAUGUCAUUUGAAAAGCACAAUGCACAGACAGCAGCCACCCCAUAAUACUCCAAUAUAUGGAUAAACGCCUCGGUGCCUGAAUACACAAAACAUUUUAAUUAAGGCCAAGAAUCUCCAAUAAGUCGCGCACACUCGGCUGCCUUCCAUAUGGGGAUUAUGAGCCGCUAAUCUAGGAGCCCACAAAAAGGACACACACUGAUAGAGAAAGAGAGAGAGAGAGAAAAAGGGAAAGCUAUCAAAAGGAAAAGCUCAAAUAAAGCAUGAAAACGAGCAGCAUAAACUUUUUGCAUAAUUAAUACAGAAAUAUUUUGUGAUACACCUCAUAUACCGCCCAUCUCGUUUCCAAACGCAUAUUAAUUAUUUUCAUGUGAUGAACUCUCCUCGCUGAACUUUUCCACGGACUUAAUGAGGAAACUUUUCCAUUGAAAAGGAAACACAAAUAAUAAACACUGUGGCCAAGAGGGGAAAACUGUCAAACGUAUUGCGGUGCGUCCACACCUUCCAAAUGAUCAUGACCCCAAAGGCCGCCUCUCAAAUGGGAAAGCUGUCAACAUGUCAAAUAAAAAUCAAAUUUCAAAUUUAUAUAAAUCAGUCAGUCCAUAGAGACAUUGAGGGAGCACCAGAGAGACAGAAAAAAGAGAACUCUGUGCGAACGCAAUGAAAAUAAAUUAUGGAAAAAGCAAAAUAAAAUUCCAUUGAGAACUUUUGUAAUAUAAACUAGUGUAUUGAACCGAAUAAUGAUUUCUUUACCAGCGAAUGCCCCAGAAGAAAAAAACUUGACAGAAAUGAAGGAAAGACAGACUGAGAGAGAAAGACAGAAGUAGAACCCAAUGGCAGGGACAGAGAAAGAGAAGAGGAGAGCUCUGUGCCAGAGACUGAGACGGAGACGGAGACGGAGACUGUGAAGUGGACCCGAGCAAAUCGUUGCCUUGGCUUUGUUCUGUGCCCUUACUCCUUUCUCCUUCCUUCGAUAUUCGCGAUUUCCUCUUUGUUUAUUUUGGGCUGUGUUUGUAUUGAGCGUUGCCCCCUUUUUACCCCCGCUCUAAAGACACUUGCUUGUUAUCGCAGUCAAAGCUCUCCAGCUUCUGGCUACUGGCCUCUACGACUGGGGUUUUCGCUGUUAUUGUUGGCCAAGUGCUGAAAAAUAUAUUUUCCAUAAAUCAACAUCAAAAUGUUUGAUGAUGCGAUAAAUAGCCAGAGAAAUGGAAUAAAAUAUGGAAAAAGUCUCGGAGUCCAAGGGUCAGAAAUGAGGUAAAUAACAGAAGCCAUUCAGAGAUUUGCGCAAAUAUUUAGUUUACUUUAAACUAAAGCUCAUUCGGCAAAUGUAUCUUUAUAUUUUUCCUCAGUUGUUUUGUGUCUCUUGAGUGAAUUUCGUAAAUGUGGCAUAAUUUAAAUGCAAUUUAUUUCAUCUGCUGACGGCACUGGGAAACUGGUGUUUACCUUUAAAGUUUUAAUUAAAUUCCAAAGUUGUUUAAUUUCCAUGCACAUGAUGGCCUCUGAGGGGGAUACGUGGCAGGUUUAUGCGGUAAAGGGAGUCUGGAAACUCGGGAUAAUUGUUGUAAAAGCUUUGCUGCAGCCUUUUCAAAUAUGCUUUGAUUUGACUGUCAAUUUGUUGAUAUUUCAUAUUUUAUUUCUAAUUUGUCUGCAUUUUACAUUUUGCGUUACUUCUAUAUGCAUUUGUAGCUUGGAAUUCCCCUUUGGAAAUUCACAUAUUUGUUGCGCAUGAACCGCAUUGCCAUCUCUCUGUGCCAUACAUUUUUGGUGGCACGUGCAAGUUUGGUGGAGUCUGUCCUCUGUUUAAGGUGUUCAUUGUCAACGUGUGCCUCGUUCUAAUUAAAACAUUAUCCAUUUAUCCAUUCACACACACACACAGAGCGAGUAUUGUGCAGUUUAUGCUAUAUAUCUUACGACACACACAGCAACACAUCCUUGCCACACCACAGAGAGUGUCACGAACAGAACUCACACACUCAAUCACACCUGACUUGACCAGGACACUCGAAUUUAUUAGUUAAACGCAAAUUGACACUGGAGAUAAUCAAAAUGGACUCAUUUGCGGCAGCUCACCUGGUUAUAUAGUUCCCAAGUUCUCUCUCUCUCUCUCUCACCCUUUCACUCGUAAAUAUUGGCUAAUGAGAGUCAAGCCUUAUUAAUCAGACAAUUUCUUUUUGCACACAAAUGAUUCUGAGGAAUAGCUCCUGACUUGUGAAUCGCUUGAGGCCGUACAAGCAUUGUCCGACACUGGUACUCUCUCUCUCUCUGUUUUCCUUUGUGCUUUUCUUUUGCUGUUUUAAAAUUAAAAAUCGCUCUCAAAUUAAUGCACAAUUUCAACAACAGAAACACCACAGCAGAGGAAAAGGUGUAAACUUUUCGAAUACAAUUCUGAAAUGCUUUCACUCUGGUUCUUUCCAGGCUAUGUAUAUCUAUGCCAACUAAACACUUAAAUUUGUAACUAUAUCUAGCUAAAGGAAGAACCUUAGUUCCAAAAAAAAGUGUCUCUUAAUCGAAUAAAAUAAAGUAAGCUUUAGCUUCUUGCAUUUCGCAUCCCAUACCAUCCCAUCUCAGUGUAAUAAUAUUUGAUCGAAAUCCAUAAACUAUCGAUCCGUAAAAGGGUAUAAAAGGUGCCUAUCCCUUUUUUUUGGUGCCGCUUGUAAUUGUGCUGCAUUUUGUUUAUGGUAUUUUGUGCCAUAGCUUUUUAAGCAUGUCGAGUGCAUAAACUGCUUUCUCUUUCACUCGGCUCUUUCUCUACCUCUCUCUCCCUUUUGAGUUUGCAAACAAUAACAAAUUUUUGCAUAAAACGUUUAUGACUUUGUAUGGCUGCAGGGAGGAGUGAGGUAGCUGAGCGUUUGGGGUGCUGGUCUUGUGCUCGGCUUUUGAGUUGCGUUAAGUUGGGUUUUUGUGGGCUCUUGUUGGCUGGCUCGUGUAGUUGGGGAUGGAGAUGGUUCUUUGGGUUUUACGUUUACAAGUGCAAAAGUUUUGAGGUUAAGACGCUUGAAAAUAAAACUGCACAUAAACACACGCACCUACACAAGCACACGCACACGCACACUCACACGCAAGCAGCCAUGCACUCAUACACACGCACACUCAAGCUCGCACACACUUGAGAACAGCAAAAGUUGCUGCUUGGGCUGCAUUUUGAGCAGCAGGGGACAACAUUUUAUAUAGCAUACAUUUGUGCGUCGUUCAGAUUUAAAGGUUAUCUGUCUCUUGCUCCCUCUUUCUGCAUCUCCCUUUUUCUUUCAUACUCCUUUUAGGAAUGUUUUAUUGUUGUGGGUUGUCAAAAAAGUUUAAAUAUGGAACUUUAAUCAAGUUGCUGCUGGAAACGGAGUACCAGAGCCAGAGAGAGAUGCAGACAAGCAACACAACACUCGUGUGUGUCCCUUCUCUCUCUCUCUAUUUACUUCUCUCUGUUUCGCUCUCUGUAUCUGUUUGUGUGAUAUGCUAAUUGCCAACUCAUUAAAACAGCUUCUUCUUUAUGCUCUGCAACACACCACAAAUGUUGGUCCCUGUGUCAUUCUGUUGAGGAAUUUGCAUUCAACUAUGUCUGGUCUACAGGACACUCUCUUCCUUUUCCUCUCCCUCUCUCCCUUGUGCACGCCUCUUUUGUCUCUUUCUACACAUCCUAGUUUAAUCAUUUGGCUAAAUAAUGAGACAAGAACACUGAUGAACCCUUUUGCUCUUUCUCUCUCUCUCUCUCUCUCUGUGUCUUUUGGGGCUGCUGAAAUGUGUCCUUUGCUUGGCUUUUUCCUUCUACUUAAUUAAAAGCAUUUCUGCUAUGUGGACAAAUAUUAUUUUUACUUAAGACUCGACCAACUGACUAACUAGCAACGAAAAGACAACCCCGCCCGUCUGUCUCACUGCUCUGCAAGGUCCCUUGUCCUGCUUCAGGAAAUUCCUUCCAGGUAAUCCCUCGAAAGUUUGCGACAAAAUAAAAGCGUAAAUACCCCAAGUGAAUACACACCCAAAGCUCACAUUAUGUAUGCCGAAGACUUAUCCAAAAUAUGUCUGCACAUUGCUUUGGCCCCUCAUUUGGGCCCUGGUUUAAGUCGUACCAUAAUGGUUUUACGAAUUUAUGCGUCAGGCAGCAGCAGCAACAAUAAAAAUGGGGCUGAACACAUGUUUUUCUCCCUCUCUCUCUCUCGAGAUUUGUCUUCUCUACUUCAAGUUCAGGCAGCGUAGCAGGGGAAAAGGAUGUAAGGGCAAUGCUCGAUUAAAAAGUAAAAUUAUGAUUAUCUUGGCCAGGCCUUUGAACCUGUCCCAUCCAUUGAGGCGGCAAACUUUGUAGCACAGAAACAAAUUUUAAAGCUGCCAGACACAAAAAAGAGCAAAAAAAUAAGAUAUGCCCAUCCCCAUAGCAUAUAAUUUAAGCAUACCCUGCGAAAAGAAAAUGCUAGUGAGGUGUUAUGUAUUUCAGCAGAUGCUGCCUUAAGUGUGUCGAACAGUGAGACAUAUAAAUAAUAAUGGAUAUACACAGUUCGGCUCGGCCGUUCGAGAAUGAAUUAUCAUAGAUACUGAAAAAAUGACUGCUGCCAUGGAGAAGAUACUUAUGCAUGGGGAUCUCAGGCUUCGUCCUGCCAAACUAUUCCCUCACGCUUGUUCGUGGUCUCGCUUGUGGCUUCGGUAGCCAGCAGCAGCACCGGUGUGGCCAGGAGCGGGCAGUGCAUAAUCGCUGAUUAGUGUCGGUGCGUCAGAACAUGAGGCUUCCACGUCUCUGGUAUCGCACCUCUACUUGACUGUGCUCUCCACUCUACGCUAUUCUUCUUCCUCCUUCCACACACACACACACACACCUCAGGGCCUUUCGGGCCAUAAAUUCGCAUUAGAUGCAGCAUGCCGCGGACGUGCAAGCAGCGAUCCACCAGAUAUGGGGUUUGGUUGAAUGUGAAUGUGGAUCCACUGUAUCCACUAAUAAGCAGUAUGCAUGUUAUCCGUUGAGGGCGUAGCGGACAGACAACAGACACUCCUCCAUCCCGAAUGCAUAAUGAACCCCGCAACGAGCGCAGGCGCUUAACUUAAUUAAAAACUGCAUUUUGCCGUAGCCGGUCGGGACGAUGGCCUGAACGCUUGUGUGUUCGGUUUUAUUUUUGGAAAUUAUGUAAUUGGCAAGUUGUUAAACGGUCUCUGGUUAAAACCCUGACCAACUCACAAGCUUCUAAAAUGUAGCCAGGACGAAAAAGGAAAGGGGAAAGGGCCUACUCUUUGCUGAAAUUUUCGCAUAUUUUUCUCUGAAAAUAUGCAUUUUCCAUUUGAUAUGCUCGCAUUUCCUGCCUGCUUCCAUUUUUUUUUUUUUUUUUUUUUUUUUUUUUUUUUUUUUUUUUUUUUUUUUUUUUGUAUUCAUUUGUUUAUUCCUUCUAAUUAAUUAUCUAGCUUUAAUAAUAAUUUAAAUAUAAUAAUAAUAAUAAUACUUCUUACACUAGUGGGUAUACUCAUAAUGAGGGCCGUAUUUGCUGGUGGGAGUGGGCGCCCGUCGCGCGCGGUACUGCCGCAAAGCAUUGCUUCGCACGCUCGAAGGCUCCUACUCCGUCUCCUGUUUACGACUCCUCUCCAAUGCUCUCAGNNNNNNNNNNNNNNNNNNNNNNNNNNNNNNNNNNNNNNNNNNNNNNNNNNNNNNNNNNNNNNNNNNNNNNNNNNNNNNNNNNNNNNNNNNNNNNNNNNNNNNNNNNNNNNNNNNNNNNNNNNNNNNNNNNNNNNNNNNNNNNNNNNNNNNNNNNNNNNNNNNNNNNNNNNNNNNNNNNNNNNNNNNNNNNNNNNNNNNNNNNNNNNNNNNNNNNNNNNNNNNNNNNNNNNNNNNNNNNNNNNNNNNNNNNNNNNNNNNNNNNNNNNNNNNNNNNNNNNNNNNNNNNNNNNNNNNNNNNNNNNNNNNNNNNNNNNNNNNNNNNNNNNNNNNNNNNNNNNNNNNNNNNNNNNNNNNNNNNNNNNNNNNNNNNNNNNNNNNNNNNNNNNNNNNNNNUUUGUAUUCAUUUGUUUAUUCCUUCUAAUUAAUUAUCUAGCUUUAAUAAUAAUUUAAAUAUAAUAAUAAUAAUAAUACUUCUUACACUAGUGGGUAUACUCAUAAUGACCCGGCAUAAACGACCACCCUCACCCGCGGGCAGCGCGCGCCAUGACGGCGUUUCGUAACGAAGCGUGCGAGCUUCCGAGGAUGAGGCAGAGGACAAAUGCUGAGGAGAGGUUACGAGAGUCGCAAGCGUACUGCGAGCUCCGCUUGAGACGCCGGCGAAGGGUACAGGAACCGAGCCGGUCGUACUAGCCGUGGUUCCAGGAUGCCUGCCUGCUUCCAUGUAGGGUUUUGUGUGAGUGUCUGUCUAUGUUCGUGAGUUGUAAUAUCAAUUACUCGAAAAAUUCAUUUGAAUUCGAAAAAUUGAUAGUUUGCUCUUUUGUGGUGGGCCUUUUUAUGUUUUGCCAUAGCGCAUAAGUUUAAUUAAAUAAGUUAUUAUGUUUUAAUUGGAUUUUUGUUGUGUAAAUUGUUGACAAUUUUCAUAUUUUCUGUUUGUUACUUUUGGCGUGUUUUGUUUGCUGCUGCUGCUGCUGCUGUUUGCUCGACUCCAAUUAUGAGUCGAACAAAUGCUGAAAUACUGUGAUAAUUGUAUAAUAACAAUCGUGUGUUGUGACCUUUGACCUGUGAUGAAGCCUGUAAUUUACUGCAAUGCAAAACUUUAAUUGUUAUUCUCUACCCCGUCAUUGUGUGUUAAAUAUGAGGCCAAAAAGGUUAUUGCCACAGAUUGAAUGUCAGUUUAUGGGGAAAACCAUAAGUGAUUUGUAUUUUAUUUCUAAAUGGAGCAGAGGAUAUAGCCAAUAAGCUAAUUGGCUGUAUUUAAUAGUUUGUUUUGCUGCUACGCGGAUACAUAUUCAUAUUAUGGGAUAGUUUAACGAUUUAAAGAUUGUCUGCCAUAAAUACAUCAAUGGGUCUUCUGCUCUAUUGCUCUAUUUAUUUGUUUCCUCAUUUGGAAAAUAGUUUUUCAAUUCAUUUCAGGUCCUUCUGUACAAAAAUUCGAAUUCUAUUUGCUUUUCUAAGUUUGUAAACAUUAAUUUAAUUUUUAAAACAAUUUCUCUUCCGCAACAUUUAGCUGUAAAUCCUCUUCUAGUUUUUUCCAGUAUGUACUUCAUUUUUCACGGUUGCCGCUCAACAAUUUAUGAGUCGCUGUCUGAACCACAAACCCACAAUCAUUUACAAAUGAGUUUUAGCAACAGCAGCAGUGUCUCUGUCUCUCCCCCUCUCUCUCUCGUUCUAUAUUUCUGUCUAACAAUUGUCAAUGGCAUAAUUUAUGAAAUAUUCGCGUUGAUUGAAUUUAAACAGACAAAAGGGUAGUGGCAAGUGGCGGCUGCAGGAGGUAACUACAUGGCAAGGACUGUGUGUGUGUGUGUGUGUGAGUGUAUGGUUGUGGUGGUAGUCGGAAUUUGGCAAUUGAAUUUCAGGGGCUCAUUAAUUUUGGGGCAUUAUUUGCUGUCUCAUUGACCCGUCAUCGGCUGUAAAUAAACUGGUUGAAACCUCCCACUCCACUCCCACUUUGCCAACCAUUGCAACUGCUUUCCUACACUUGAUGUGAUCAUUGAUAGAGUGUCCAUCAGUCUGUCUGUCUGCGGUUUGCUCCUCUUCGCACAAUUUUCUCGCUACUCGUUUUAUUUUAUUUUUUUUUUAAAUUUUUCCCACUUUGCACAUUUGCAGAGCAAUUAAAAUUGAUUUAUGGCGUCGAGACAGCCUCCCCUUCGGUAGCAGACCAACCUUCAAGUGCACUAUGGGCCGCAUAUAUCCUUGUUGUUCCGACGCAGAAUCUCCACUAGAAAAUUUAUUUUUUAAGCAUAAAACGCGUGAGAGUUUUGCAUUUAUCAAGUGUCUUUUUUUCUUCUCUUUUUUUCCCUCUGUAAUUAGGCAGAGUAAUUUAUUUUUAUUACUCCUAAUUUUCGGCAGCAGCCCAAAAAACAGGCAAGAAAUUUGUCAGGCUCUAAAUGAUGUUGUUUGCUGGUGUCUUGUCCUGGUUCGAGGACCCCCUCUCGCCACUUGAAUGCCAUUUCUUCAAAUGAGAUGAAAGGACAAAACCUUGGAAGAUUUUAAUUGGAAUUAUCUUAAAGUUUUGUGCCGCAGACAUUCGGUCAGGUGGCAGACUGACUCAGCACAUACCUUCUCAGUUUUCUUUGGAGUUUGUCCCUUGCGGUUCAACUAAUUUGCUCUCUUGUCUCUCUCCUGCAAGUUGGACAUUUAAUUGCCUCUCUAUCUUUCUCAGGAGCAGCCCUUGCCCACAGAAAGUUCAUGCUCCGACGCCCCCAACAGACGCCACUCAUAAAUGAUAUAUAACCACUGACAGUCUGGGGAAAGUUGACCAAGAUUCAAAGGAGACACAAAGUCGUUGGCAAGAAACAAAAUUCGUUCACAGAAUCAUUAAAAAGUAUUUGGGAUAGGAAAGAAAAAGCAGGUACCAAAAAAGUGUAAUUUAUGGGGAAAUUAAACGAAACUAAUAAGAAACGACAAGUGGCAGAGGGAAAGAUCGUCCUGUGCUGUGCACCGCUUGCUUGUCCUUUUUGACAUCACCUUCCGCUGCCGUGUUCUGCUGCUGCUCCUCGUUUUAUGAAGAUGGACACUUGUAAUUCAUUAUGGGCUCCACGGUGGGGGUGAGACUACGCCGAAUCAACGGAAAUGAGUGCCGGGACAACUUUGGCGCCGUUGUUGUUAUUUCAGUGUCUGCCUCACCACCGGAUGGAUGCUGCUCCUGUUUUAGCCAUGUUCAUUUUUCUUCAUUUUUAAAUUCGUGUUCCAAUCUCCUGCUCUGCAGCCUUUUCCUCUCCCCCCUGCCCUGUGCUCUCUGUUUUCGGUCGUCACUUAUUUCUUGUCAAGUUGCGCUCGUUAAAUUUAGUUUUGGUAGAAUGCCCUCGGUAAUUGCUUUACCAAAUCUGUGGAUGGGACCCCUGGCGGAAUUGUACGGAAUAUUCUGUAAAGGAUUCGACUGUAAAACGAUGUGUAAAGCUCUCAUCAGUGGAGCUUCUUUGAGGCUUUGGGACCAGAAACAAUAUCAAGAAUUGUGACAGCUUCACAACUUGAAAGAGCUUCUCCUCACUAAGAGAGUUUCUGAAAAGCUUUGACAACUAUUCCGUAACUCUAGGAAUUCCGAGACUCCUUAAAGCUUUUCAAUGCCGAAAUUCUCAGUCUAAAAUAUAUAGAAAAGCUUUCGCCCAUAAUGUGGUUGUUUCUUAAGCACUCGUAGAGUUCUUCAGCCUUCAGACUUUUGGUAUGAAAAUGUGGAAUUAAUGUGCGAGCUUUUCAGCUUUUAUAAAGUUACAAUAAACAUUUACGUGCCAUAAAAUCCCCGCAGGAGUCUAGUCCGGUCUUGUGCUUUGUGCUUAAAGCUAUCCGAAAAGCUUAUCGGCUCGGCUCUCUUGGACAUGCGCCCAUAAAGAGCACAACGAGAGCGUCGUCGCCAGCCUCCCAAAGCCCCUAAAGAGCCCUGCAGCUGGACUGUGCCAACAAGCAUCAAACUUAUGAGCCUGACUCUCUUACGCUGCCGAUGCCGCUGUCACUGCCGCUGCUGCUGCUUCGGCAGCUGAUGCUGCCGCAACGAUAGCAGACCUCUAAGUUCUGCCGCCUUCCAUGUGGCACUGGUUGUUCUGGUGUCAGUUUGAACAUUUCUGGUAAAGUGUUCGGUUCUUUAUUUGGCUGUCGAGCGCAGUGCGCCCGCACUCUAUCCGUUUGUUGUCUCUGUCUCUUUCUCUCGCUCUGUUUGUCUCCAUAUUGCCACUGACUCGCACCCACAGUGCGAUUUGUUAUUGUUGUGGCAAGAAAAACCGCCUAAAAACGUGGAGCAAGCCUUGUUGCUGCCAAUAUUCGAGGACAGCCCCGCAGGAAAACAUCGGUGCGUAUACGUAUUUAUUCUUUUAGCAACGGUUCAUCGAUUCACGGCAGAGCGAGUCCUGCCUCGAACCUUCGUUGCUGCUGCUGCUGCUGCUCUGACGACGAAGGUGGAGGCGAAGCAGACACUGUAGGUCAGUGUUAUAACGAUUCUCACAGUUUGUGUCUGUCUGUCUAUCCGUCUGUGGCAUACUUUUGUGCCGCACGAUUUUGCAUUCCACCUUGCCAGCAUCAUUCACAGGAUUCGCCCUUUAUUGUGUGGUGACUGUAUGUGUUUUUGCCUCUCCCUCACUCUGUUUCUUUUUCUCUGUGAGUGUGAGUGAACGUUUGCAAUUUCCGCCUUUGGCUUUGUGUCAAGUCACUUGGCAGAGAUUGUUGCUGCCUGCCGCCUGUCCGCCUGUACCUUUUAGCCUUAUUUACAUGUGAGUGCGUCCAGAAGAUACGAGUUGCUUGUUGAGUUGCUCCCUCAAAAGGGAGACAUUCCGCCUUGUGUACAGCUCCUCCGUCUUCCUCUGCCUUCUGCUUGCUCCUACUUCCUGCGCUCUGCUAAUUGUAAUGUUGAACAUUCCUCAAUUUGCAUGUGAAAUAGAUGUUGAAUGAAUGCUGAAUGAAUGCUACAUUCUUAGAAGAAGGUAUCCCUACGCAUUCUCAAGUCCAGUCUGUGCAUAUCAAUGCCGUUAGGCUCUCUGCUUCCCAGCCUGAUGCUGCUUUGGAAUCCCUGGGGGGGCAAUGGGGCAAUAAUUUUGCUGUUCAAUUAGGUUUUGUUGCAACAACGAGUCAAGUUUUGCCCUCUUUUACGACAGCUAUAAACAUAAAAGUUAUCCCCAGUGCCACACCACACACACACACACACACACACACACACACACACACGUUCGCACACAACAGAACAAUAAAAUACAAUCUCACAGCCUCCCUUUGUGUAUUUGUGUGUGGCAUAAUAAGUUUUGAUUUGGUUUUAUUCGGAGGCUUUCAUAUUUACCUUCUUGACACCUAAAUGGACACAGAGCACGCAUAGAGCGGAGAGACAGACAGAGAGAAGAAAGGCUCGGCAAAGAGGAAUGAAAAUGAAAAUGUUCAAAUCGGAAAAGCCUCAACGUUUUUUUGUUUAUUUAUCAUUCACUUUGGCUUUGGCUUUGCUGGAAAAGAUAAAGAAAGCAGAGAAGGGUCCUUUUAUUCUCGGCAUUCUUGUCUUUCGAAUCCAAUCUUGAAGUAAAAGCUGCUUGUCAUCAACAUAAUGACGGCACACACAGACAAACUGAAGAAGUUUUCCGAUCUACCUCACCCUCUCUGCCUGUGUGUGCGUUCGUGUUUUUGUUGUUGUUUCUGACCUGCCUUUUUUGGAGACUUUUGGUGCGGGUGCUCCAAUCUCUAUAGCCUUUGCCCUGUCAUUCCUUUCAUGCCACUUGGCGUAUGCUUGUUCUGGCACUCUGAUCGACAUGUGUAUUGCCUGCUUUUUGGGCGGGAAAUCAAAGGAUGGAUGUCUUUCUCUUCUGACUGCGCACUUUAGCUCUGGCUGCCAUCUGCCAUUGCAAAAACUGCCACAUGUCAGAGUUUUACAGAGAGAGAGAGAGAGAGAGAGAGGAUUUUGCAAUGCGAAAUGCAAUUGACACGUUAAAUGAGCAUUUCGUAAUCGAAUCAGAGCUGUCGAGCUCUUUUUUGCGGCUCUUUCAACUGUAAAUUUAAUUUUAAGCUCCAGGCACACACCAAAAAAAUUGGUUGAAUAUUAAAAUAAAGCAAUUAUUGUCAUAGGGAUUCCAGGAUCUAUUGUGUCUCGAGUGUAGUUUUUUUUUGGAGCCCAUAAAACCAGUGUUAGUGGCAGGCAUAUUUUUCUGAUUGGCUUCCGUUCAGCGCACAGCAAACUGUUCGCCUAUUCAAUAAUUUGCAAAUAUUUAUGCUGAAUAUUCUACAUGUAGAUUGUUUUCGUGUGCUAUAAAAAAAUGUGUGUGUUGGCAAAUAAACCAAAUGAUAAAUAAAAAUCCAAUCGAAUUUAUUUUUAAUGUUUUGUUCUCUUUUUUGUGUACCCUACAAUCGCAGAGAGUAACUGCGGGGUGUGCAAAGGAAGAUGUAUGACUAUUUGUCCCAAUAGUUGGGUAUCCCAACGUCGAAACGGUUUAAAAACCCAAAAUUCUCCAUGGUUCUCUCUAUGGAAUGCUGAUAAAAAUGCGCGUUCAGGCGAUCACACACGAAAACACACACCAAAACUGUCAAUAUUUGUAUUGAUUUAUAGCCAGGGCUUGGCUGCAUACGACUCUGGGUAGGGGUUGGGUGUGGGCUUGGAUGAUUGUGGCAGAGAACUAUUUUGAAUGCCACAAUGGACACAAUUUGUCACCGCUGAAAGGGAAAUGGGGAAAGAUAAACUACUGCCAGGGUACCCCAACUGCAAUUCAAUUUAACGUUUUGGCAAAUUGUUGCCAUUUUAAAAUAUGAAACAAGCGAAGCGCAACGAGAGAUGGAGAUGGCCAAAAAUGAAAACUAGAAAUGCAAAAACAUUUUCCCGCAAUGAAUAUUUUGCCAGUUUUCCCAGCCAUAAAAUCGUUGCCGCAGACAGACACAGCAGAGAGACGGAGUGCAGCGUGCGCCCGAAAAUGGUUUUGCGCCCCAAAAGAGAGGCAAUUUUUCAAUUAUAAAAACAAAAAGCAGCAAUAUGAGCUGGGGAAAAAGCAGGAAAACAUAUCAAUAUUAGAUGUGUAGAGUCCUGUCAAAGGAAAGCCUCCCUCCCGAGCAGCAAGCCUGUGUGCGGGUCGUACAAUGAAGAGGCCACAAGAUGAAUGGAAAACUUGCUCCUUGUGGCACGGUAACUUUUGAGUUGAUCUCCAGCGGUUAUUCACACUUCUGGGCCGAGAAAAGCCGAGAAAGGCAGAUUGGCAGACUGGCAAAUUGUUUAGUGUUUGUGAGGAGGCACAACCGCAGACCCAAAAUGAAAGACGUCAUCACGGCGGACUUGACAGGCCGCCAAAAACUUAAUGUCAGCAGAGCAGCAAAAUCAGCAGGAUCUUCAGCAAGAAGAGUCGAUGGCAGGAGCCAGAGACAGAGCGAAGGAAGGCAUGACGAGGCAUCAGAGUCAGAGGAGAGCAGCCAAAGCUCCUUUUGACAACUUUGACUUGACGCCAACUUUGGGACGCAUUCACGGGACGGCUGUUAAUCUGCAAAAAAAAAAAUAGGAGAUGCUUGCAAAAGGCGAUUACCUAAUCCGGUUAGCAGUUUGUAUCGAGUGGGGAGGGGGGAAAAGUGCAUUAAAACAAUAUUGUUUGGCCCCAACUUUGGCCUCGCGUUUGGCUUAUAAAAGGAGAAGGAUUGGACUUCAAAAGGGAAUCAUCAGAGGAGCGAGAAACGUUGGUAUAAUACAGUUUAUGAAGUGGAAGAGAUGUGCUAAUGAUAAAAGUCUCUAAAAAUGGGAAUAAGAGUGGAAUUUAUUGUUGUAAGCGAGAAUGUUUGGAUAGGCAAAGCAAAUCUCAUUAAAAUGUAUUUCUCUGAGUGGAAAAGGACAAGAAGACAGGCAGGAAAUCUGUAGCUGUAGUAAUUUACUAGGCUCAUGUAUUAAAAAUAGAGAUAGGAAUUUUGUGGAUACCGACGGGUGAUCUGAUCAUGGACAUUGCCUUUCCCCAUUCGUGUGAGUGGCUGGCACUCAUCGUAAAGUCUUCAUCAAUUCCCACUUAACCGAAAGUAACCCAACAAAAGGAAGGGAAGUCCCACUGGCUUAAUGAGGCGCAGCAGGAUGAACACCACCACCAGCCCCCUGUAAAACCCUCCCAUACCGCUGUCGUUUCUGUUUUUUAUGUUUGCCCAUAAAAUGCGGACAACUCCUAGUCCAGUGGACGUGGAGUGUGAAUGGUGAGGGUACCAUUAAUUAUGCAAUGUCCGGACGGGGCCGAAAAAAAAAGCACAGAGAAACUCGGCGACUUUUUGCCUCUUGGACAGGUCGUAAAGGGAAAACAGAGGAGGGGUGUGGCAGAAGUAGAGGGAGUUGGCACACAAUUUGCAUUCCCUAUUGAUUAUCCAGUGCAUCAUUAAAAAUGCAUUUAACACUGACGGCUGUUGCGCCUGUUCCGACUACAACAGCUCCUCCUGCUGGUAUAAGAAUUGUUCUUCAUUAAUUGUUUUAUGCGUUGGCCGUUCCAUUGUGGACCAUGAGCCAUGACCACAUCAGUGACCACGGACCAGGACCAUUACCAUUGCCAUUACCAUGUUCACGGACUCGGACUCAGUCACGGAACUCUUGCGGUCACUCGGUGAUGGUUUGCAUCCGUUGGCAGGCAGCCUGCGCCACCAUGCAACCUGCCUUCUGUUCCUGCUUCCAAAAGUGGCAUUCCUCUGACUCCACCUCAUACUCAGAGCACUCGAGUGUUGCAAGGGUCCGCCAACUUUUCGGACUUUCCCCUCUAAUUAAUGAAAUACAAAUAUUUGCAUUUGCCUCCUCAAAAGGAGCGGAAAAGUUAACGUAAAUUAAAAAAGUUGUGCUCUUUCCUCGCGCAGGGCGAGUGCUCCUCCUCCUCUUUUGCUCCUCUUCAAAAUAUUAUUGUUUGAAAACCCACUCAAUUUAUUUGGACAUUUUCUAUAUUUGCAGAAAUCUGUGAAAGCAACGCCGGCAGAGCCAUCCGCUCUAUCAGGAGGAGCAGCAUCCCAGGCGGCUUCGGCUCCCAGAGAUGCCAUUUAUAUCGACGAUGAUAGCAUUGAGGGCUCUGGUGGACGUGGAGGGGUAAGUUUUAAGUCCACCACAUAUACACACCGCAUAUAUACGCAUACAUAUAAAUUAGUUAAUUAAAUUUGCAUUCUACCCGAAAGUUUUCCAUGUUAAUUCCGUAGUUCCAUGGCCAACGGGAAAUAUCUUGCCACUUUGCAUAUCGUAAGGGUCCACUCAGCUACUCUUAAAUUCCGUUUUCUACCUCUCUCUCGCUCUCAGACUUAAACAUAACUUUUAUGUGCACUUUUAAGUUCAUUUUUGGUUUAUUUUUACAUUGUCUGACAUUUUUCUUAUAGUUUUUUGUUCCUUUUCUUUUUUGGGGUUUAACUUUUGAAGAUGUAUUUUACUUUCCCAUAAAAAAGUGCUGCUGUUGCAGUAUGAGUCAAAAGCUUAAGCAGAAAGUAGAAUAUUGUAUAGCUAGUGCCCAAAGGGUACGCUGAGGUCUAUUCUACGGAUGUCCAUUGAUGUGUACUACAGCCCGGAGGCAGCGUUUUCUAGAGAGGAAGAUGUUCAGCCAGUGUCAGCUAGGGUUCUUCAGGACCAGACACUUAUCACCAUACAGAAGCUCCACUCCUCCUUGCAGUUAUUAUUGUGGCUGCGCACAAGUUAUUGCCACCAGAUUCUCACAGGACGUGUGUCCAAAGUAGAGCUCGAAGUUCCAAGACGUGCAACUGCAAUGCAAUUAAGACAAUCUUUCAUCUAAAGGUAUUCUCUCGUAGAAUGGAUCUCUGCUCUUCUACGAUUACAGGUUCCAUCCACACGCCCACAUAUUUCACGAGUGCGAAACGCACUGUACUUGCAGAGCUUACACAUUCCGCUUGUCCAGUUUUUGUGGUUCACAGGGGAAUAUAAAAAAGUUCGGAGAACGCGUACUCGCAUCUGCCAGGUGGUAGGAGGAAAGCGGCAUGUGCUAUGCAAAAUAUGUGUGCCACAAGCUUGUUAUAUAAUCAAAACUGUGUGUUGAAAAACUCAUUUGUUUAUGCGCAUGAAAUGUUAAUGUUCAACACCUUUUUUGCUCACAUGUAUGCUGCGCAUGAAUCCAUGCGUGGGCUCGAAAGGGAAGGUGUAAGUGUGUGUGUGAGGUGUGUGUGUGGCAUGUGAGCGAAAUUUGUUGGAAAGUUUUUUGACAGCGCUGCGCUUACACACUCACGCGUGCAGCGAAACAGUCACUGCCAGACAUACACACACACAGCGACAAAGGACGCGUCAAUUGUUAGGCAAAUACUUUUGAUUUGCUUUUAGCACACAUGCCACAUACACCUCCCACUGUGCCCCUCCUCUCUUUGGUCAUACUACGACUCCUUCUCUUCUCUAGCAUGCUGCCACUCCCACCUUCCGCUCUUCUGAACUUCAUAGGGGGGGAAAAACUAAUUAAAAUGCGUUGCGGCUGCUGCUGCUGCUGCUGCUGCCAACCCAAAAAAAUAUAACAAAAACGCAGAAAUAAACAUAGAAAAAGUUUAAUUAAAUUCUUUGAGUUCUUUUUCUUUUUUUUUGUUUGGUUCUAUACCCUAGCAAAAAGGGUAUGUGAGGGUGUUUGAAGAGAGAUUGUUCUUUACGACCCUAUGGAGUAUUCGAUUGGGUCUCGCAACCACCAGCAUAAGGAAAGCUUAUACUGUGGCGGUGGGAUGUUGUACUUCCAUUUAUGAUAAACUGCGAAUAGCUUUGAGUUUUAUAUGAAUUUAAGUCAAAGUUGCUCUAAAAUCUAAUCGGCUCCAUAGCUGAUUAGUGACGAAUAGAUUUUUCCAAGGUAACCAAAGUCUCGGCAUGGCUUCCACUUCGAUUGUGCCCUUUGUUUUACUUGACGUUUCUUGGUUUUCGAUUUCUUCUCUAUUGCUGCGUGGAUUUAAUUAAACAUUUUUUGCCCCCAUGUUCUCUCAUGGGGGAGAGCAAAAAAGGACAGAAGUAGGGUGGGAGAAAGUCAACGAGGACAUAUUUAAAUAGAAAAUUGGAUGCGAAAAGCGAAACUUUUUCGCGGAAUUCAAUCACGGGGUCGCAUACUUUAUCGAGUAACUGUGACAAGAUCAACAAGCGGACAACGUUCUAUUGGCUUUUCGUAUUAAUUUUGCAUGUCCGUGGGCAUAGCAGAGGAGGAGUGAAGGAGAAGGAACAGAGGGAGCAAAAACCAGAGGGGCUGUGGGUCUAAAUUGACAUUCCGGUGGACGGUUUAGCUGGGAUUUUCAGGGUGGUAAAAAAAAGAGGGGAAUAAUAAAUAAAAUCGCUCCAAGCGAGAUUUUGUUGUAUUUCUUUUUUUUGCACUGCAGACUGUCGUCUGUCAUCUUUUUCUCUCCCUCUCUCUGUAUGUGUCUCUGUCUGUCUUUUGCAAUGUGGCAUUUUCUAAUUUCCCCUUUCCCACUGCCCAAACCCUUUCCGUUCCGCUCUGUUCCGCUUUUUGCACCAUUUCCGCUGCGGUGGUACUGGCCAAGGCCUGGUCUUGGCAUGUGCUGUGAAUGUCCUUCGUCCUCCGUCCUUCUGGCUCCCAUUGCUCCCUUUGCCUCCACCUCAUGCCCGAACGAAUGUGUUGGCAUUUUCAUGUUUUUAUGCAACUGACAAACGUGGAGACGUGUCUCUCAUGUGCUGAAUGUUCUUUUAUGCUUUCCCGAAAAAAGCAAACAAACAAAAGAAGGAUUGCAUUACCCUGCAGGAUUUUGGGUAACCCAACAAAAUGCAAUUUAUUAUGCGCUCCGUUGAUCUUUUGGGGCAACUACUCAACGAAUCACGACCGAGUCUUUAAAGUGAUUAGGCCACAAAGUCUUGAUGGAUCUCUGUACACAUCUCUCCUUUGCAUAGCCUUAAUUCGGGUGUUCAUUAUUGUAUUAUUAAUGGAUAUAUUCAAGGAGUAUUUCAGCUUUGUUUCAUUCGCUCAAUUAUGAUUAAUUCUUUCAUGAUUAUUCACUCAAAGUUGUGCGAAUAAUGUGCCACUCCAGUGGGGGUCUCUGGGUUAAUCAACUUUGCAUAUGAUUAAUCUCUCUCUCUAUGAUUCGGCGUGAUUGGGAUUGAGAGUGGUUAAAGCCACGCAGUGGAAGCCUCUAUUUUUGGGAGCAAGCUGUGAAUCGUGGUAGUGGUGUUAAAGCCUGCCUCCUGUCUCCUUUAAUUCUAUUUUUGGGGGAUAAUGAGCUUUUGUUAUGCGUACGCAAACAUCUGCAUCUGAUGCUGACUUUUCCUGUUCUGCCUGUUCCCUGAUGUUCCUCUACACACACUCUAUGCUUCAUGGGCUUUGUCGUUGUGGGCGGUUCGUUUGAUUGUAAUAAGCCGCAUGCAACGCACGCAACACACGCAGCCAACAGCUCAGCACCAUGGAGUGGAGUCGGGCAUCUGCUCUUUGUAGAGAGGGAGGUGGUGAGGCUGGUGAUGUUGCAGCAACGAGCUUGGUUGUAGGUCCUUGUUGAUUAAUAACGUGCACAUGGCGCACGUGUUUUUGUGAAUGGCUAAGAGAGGCAAUGCCACUUCGCAUGCCACACACACACAAAAAGACAUCGAAGCGAGAGUAAGCCGCUGCAUUGGUAUGCGCAAGGCACAUUCAAUUGAAAGGUAUGGCUGCUCCACAGAGUUCGUUCCAUCAUCCCAUAUCCAAUAUACCCUGCAUAUUUGUGCUGCAGCGGGAGACAGGAAGUGGCAGUGAGAGAGCUGUGUGCAUUGACAAUAAAUUAACAUCGAUUGACAUGGUAAUGGGUGGAGUGUGGUGUGCUGCAAGAGAGGGACUUAGGUAGAGUGUGUUGCCAGGCCCAAAAAGAUUGUCCGAGUAUCUGCCUGAAAAUGUGUUAUGUAAACAGGACCGUCCUGCCACUUACCCGCCCUUGAUGGCACUGAAAUAUGUCAGCCGCUUUGAUGAUGUGAUUGCAAUGAUGCUCUGCUCUGCGUGUGUGUGUGUGUGGCAUUGCGAAAUACUCUGCUCAUAUGUUGCCUGUCCAGGAUUCCAUUAUGUCGUACCUACCUUCUGCCUGCAUCCCACGUACACUCCCGAGUUUCUGUUCUUAAGUACAUGCAUAUAAUUUCCAAUGCUGUGCGCAAGCUGUCAAUAUCAGUUGCUUACAUGGGAAUUUAUUGGGCGACAGCUCCUACAUAAUACAUAAUACAUGGCCCACACACACACACACAGCAUACAGCAUACAGCAUCCAGCACGACUGUCACGCGUGGAGGUUCUUAACCGAUAGAACCAUUGAAAUUUAUUGAGAUUGUGAAUGGUUAACGAACGCCCCAGAAGGAAGCACACAGCCCAUCAUCCAUCUCUCCCCCUUCGUGUACACAUGUAGCUCUAGAAAAAUCAGACUUUAUAAUGUCACUGUUGAGAAUCAGAGAAGGAGUGGGAUUGGGAUGGGAAUUUAGGAGGACACGGACAGACAUGCAGAAAUCCCUUCCAUUCAUUACUCAAUGUCGCUACUGGUGCUGGUUCUAGCUCUGUAGAAAUGAUGCUGCAUUAUUUCACAUAACAUAAUUCCAACAGUAAUCCAAAUGAGUCUGUCCCUCACAAACAGAAAGAGCGAACCCACAAACAACAUGAGUAAUCCGAGGCCAUUGGGGCCAAAAACUGUUUUUUUUCGACUGGCUCUCAUAGCUCCCUUUUUUAUGAGACAUCUGCUGCCUGUCUGUCCGUUUGUUUGGUUGCCUCUUUAUGUGGCACGUUGGUAGAGGGAAAAAGACUCGGCAUUUCUAUUGAAUUAAACACCCAAAGAACGGGCUCCUUCUGCUUGGCUUUUAGGGGAUACCCUCGCUAGGUGGGAUUAAUGGAAUUUACAGAUAAUCCACAGAUGUAAGAUAAUUCGUUGAACGAGAAGAGAAUCUGUGGAACAUUCCCAAAGAAUAAACAAAAGAUAAUUCGAGAAAACUCACUUCAAGUCUCCCUCUUUCGCUCAAAUUCUCACCAUGCCCCUACUUGACUGUGCUCUAAUCGUUUGUUAUUUCCAUUAUAAUUGGCAUUAAAGGCACACAUAGUAAGUGACAUAUUAAAUGGGAAUAGAUAUUCCUACCCCUAAGGCUCCCCUUUCAGUAUGUUCUCCACUCUGCCAGAGAGUAUUUGUACCUCGCACAACACAAAAGGAAUACCGAACAUCAAAACAGAAGGUUACAAGUCGCAUACAAAUGCGUAAACACAGACGGAUGGGGAUGGGGAUGUGGAUGGGACGGGGACCUUCCGCCAUAACAUUUUCGAAGCCAAGCGAAAAGUCAUUGUCAAAGUUGACGACGACGAACACGGACGGAGAUGGAGAGUCGAAACGGUGAUGGUGGGGUCCGUGAGAUGGUUGUGGCAAUGGCAAUGGCGACGAUGAUGAUGGGGGCGUUGUCGCCAUUUUGUUUUCUCUGUUUGUUUCUGAUGUUUUGCGCAUUGUAUUGCUGCUGCGUGGGCAUGGAGGGAAGGCAGGCAGGAAGGAGCAGCAUAGCAGUAGGGCUGGGCAGGGGCAUAAGCACAGCCAGAGCAUAGUGAGAAGUGGGACAGGACAGAACAUGGAAUGCCCUACCCCGCUUUCCCUCUGCGCGCUUGCAUAAUUUAUGCCAAUAAAUUCGCUUAACUUUACGACAAUUUGUGCGCUGCAAACUCUGCCAUAAAACUCACUCGCUUUAAAGUGGAGUUAAAAGAGAGUGUUGCACAGCAGGAGGGAAAAUGUAUAUGGAGAGAGAGAGAGAGACAGAGAGAUGGUGUGGACCGUAAUUUGAUUUAGGCCUUGGCACAGAGACAUAACAAAUUGGUUUUCCUUUCCCGGUACUCCCCGUCCCCCGUGCCCACGGCAUAAGUAUCUUUGAAGUGGAUGCAUGAAUUUCCAACGAUUAUCCUGGAAUUCGAUUACUGUUUCCCCUGUGUGCCAAUCUGCUGCCCUGCUGUUCGAUUGUUAUUGUUAACGGGAUGUGCUUCAAUUAGUGCAACGUUUUGUGGCAUAAAAGCACUCGAAGCACUCGCAGCACUCCAGGCCCCAAAACGAGAGUUGAAAUUUCACGAGGGAAGCCAACAUGAGAGCAGCCCUGCCGUGCCCAGUGGGGCUUCAGCCUGGUCAGGUUUUGCGGCAAUGGAUGGGCGGGGGCCACGCUUUGAAUUGCAAAUGUUGGGGCAGGUAACUGGUGACUGCCAGGAUGGAUGGGAGGCAUCCCUUCAAUUAUUUAGCAAGGCUGCCUGCCUGCCGCUUUACCUUACAAUACGGAUAGACAGUCUUGGCUCCUGGCACUACUGCAGGAGGUUGGGGUGCGCCUCUUGAAGGCACUGACUUGAGUUUCCUUGGGCUGAGGGGCGGCCAGCUGCAAUUUAGAAGAAAGACCCACCGUUGAAAUGUCUAUGACUUUGCAGCAUGAAAAACCUAAAGAAUUCCCCCGCUCUCUCUCUCGGUAUCUAGGUCUCUCUCUCUCUCUCUCUCUCUUAACUGCCAUUUGUCGUUUGUCAGGGAUCUCAGGGGCUGCUGGUCCUGCGGCUGCUGCUGCUGUCGCUCCUUCUGUGGCUUCACGUAGCAAUUUGACUUGUAACCGCACACUUGAGUGUUGCUUGCUUUUAGGCGCAACGUGAGGCAAGUUUGUUGAACCUGACAGCAGCUCUUCUUCGCUGCUCCCGCUGCUGCGUCCUGGGUCAAGCAACUUCCACUUCCAUGAAUAAUUCACCACUUUCUACCCCUAUUUCUUACUGUUUCUCUUACUUUUGUACUCUUUCUCGCUGUCUCUCUCUGUCUUCAUCUUGUUAUUUUUGCCUCUUGUGUUGGUGCUGCGACUGUUUCUUGUCUUUUGGGGCGUGGUGGCACGCUGCUAUUGCCAAGUUAAUUAGAUUUGCUCGUGCAACGUGCAACGCCAGCCGGCCUGCGUUGGUGGCAUUUGUAAGCAGCUGUGGCCACUCUGUUGUGGCCAGUGCAACUGCUUUGUUGCCACUCAAUGCAAGUGCGGUCACACAGUUGUGGCAGGGACAGCGAGGACUCGGCUGAAGACGUGCUGAGCUGCGAACAUCUCAUGCAUAUUUAUUUUGAUUGCAUUGUUGUGCCAUGAAAGUGACAAUGAUGCGUGUGGCAAGAUGAAGCAGGCAAAAGGGGGGACUCUGUGCCCCACCCAUUUUCCUCAAUCAAUCGGCGCACAAUAUGUACUUGAUUAAAUAUGAAAGUUCUGUCGAAAUGUUCUACCAUAGAAGCAGCUAAUUGCAUUCCCCACUUAACACGCUUAAGGGAUGUCCAUCACAUUCCUGGAUUUUCUGACAAAUUUAUCAGACAUCAGUUAACCACUAAUGAGGGGCUCUUGUUGCCCAUUGCCGCAGCAUGGAAUCUGCACCGCUGCUUUACCUUACUGAAGCUGCAAUUCAAGGUUUGCCGUGCCGCCUUUUGGGAUAAACUCUGGCAAGUAUAUGCACAAGAAAAGCUUAUAAGGAAGUGAUCAAAUAACUUGAAUGUAGUUUUCCGUUUCUGAACGCUUGAACUGUAGUGAAUUAUUUUAUUAUCCUUCCUGUUUUCUCGUGUGUCUUGCAUUCUCGUUUAUCCUUCCGGCAGACGUCGAUCCAACACCUCAAACACGGCACGAUAUCAAUCAAUUUCAUCCAAUAUUUGUUUCCAAAAUCAACUUUCGGUGCAUUCAAGCUUGGGGAGCAUUCAUGGGAGCGCUUAAGCUCUCUGCUACUUUUCUUGCUCUGCUGUUGCUUGGCAAUCGGCUUAUGCCACAUGGCUCUGCUCUCCAUCCGAAGCAUUCCCAACAAUUAUUUGCAGCUCAUCGCACAGUCGAUCACACUUGACUCCCCUCCUGUCCCAGUUUGCUGUUUCUCUCUCUUUAUCCCUGUCUGCACCAACGCCUCUGACUGUUCCUCCCCCCUUUCUGCUGCUGCUGCUGCUGCUUGUUUCCGUUCCCAUUUUGCGAUGCUUUGGAUUUUCUCGCUGGCUUUUCUUGCCAGUUUCUAAGCUUUCGCAAUUCACUGAGCAAGAACUGUUAGGGCCACGCCCAUUAGCAUUGUCGCCCAUGAGUUGCAUUACAAUUUUAAUGAUGUGCAACGCUACCAGAAGCAUAAACAUGUCGAAGGGGGAGGCAGGAUGAAGGUGCAGCCGGAUAAGACUAAAGCUGCAGAAGCAAUGGCUGUGCCAGGGCUGUGGUGCAAGUCACUCAAGCUGCAAGUUUCCAAAGUUCUCUGAAGGGAAGAACGAAGGACAGGAGGGGACAUUCCCAUGCGUGCCACCCCCAUGGUGUUCCCCGUAGUUCUCGCUCUCUCAAGCUUCAGCACACAUUAAGAUGGUGGAGGCAGCCCAAUGGCACGCAAUUAAAACGGAGUCGGAAGAAGGCAGGAGCUGGCUGCAGUUUAUGUCUGAAAAUUAAAAACUAUAAAACCAAAAAACAAACUUAUUAGCUGCAAAUUGUUGGGAUGCAGAUGAAAAUUUCUCAAGGGACUUCAUGGUGAUAGAUUUACUGCCUGGUUACUGUACUCCGUUCAAUUUCGAGUAGAAAAAAGGACACGGAAAAAGGAUUACUUCAGUCAUCAGUUGCAGGCGACCCCAAGCGAAGGCUGAACUGAUUUCGCAAUUAGCAUAAGUAACAAGUAACCCAGGGAUCUUGAGUAAAUGUUCUAGGGAUUAAACCACCCCCAACACGCCUCACUGUUGCCCCAAUGCCCCAGCCAACCCCCUAACCGAUGUUCCACCCCUGACAGACUUCAUGCUGCUGCGAGCCCUAAGCUCAUUUAUUAAUUGCCAGCCGCAGAAGUAGGUUCAGAGCAAAAAAAAAAGGCAAGGAAAGGCAAGGAAAAAGUCGACAUGAAAACUCAUUGCCCUUAAAAAUGAAAAUUAUUAUUUAUGACAAAACGGAGGGGAAUGUGGACUGGGGCAGUGCAACUGAACACAGAUUUACUUUUCAGCUGGCAAUUUAGAGCCUGGCUAAUGCUGAUACGACUGCCUCCUGCCGCCUGGCUCUAACUCCCAGUGCCGCUGCUCGGCAUUUAAUUUAUUUGUGCGCAAAAAAAAAAACCGUAAAAAAGAAAGGGAAGCUGGAAAAAGAGCCCACCCAAAAAGAAAAGCACAGAAAAACGAAGUAAAACCUGGGUGCGGUUAUUGAUUUUUCCGUUUGCUGAUGAGUCGGAAUCAGCCGGAUCUGAUGGAGCGAGCAGCAGUAGCUCCUGAUUACGCUGGGAUUUGGAGUGGGAAUGGGGAUGUACAUAGAUAUGGAUGUAGAUGGCAAUAAGGAUGCGAAUGAGGGCGAUGAUGAUGUUGGCUAUAACGUUGCGGUGGCCAAGGAGAACCCAACGCUUCGUUGCGUUUUGUUGCGUUUGCAAAUUUGUGUUCUGUUUUCCUUUUUUUUUCUUUGCUGUUUCUCUUUGGGAAAUUGAAUGAGAGAUGAUGGAAAUGGGAUUAGAAGGCAGAGAGAGAGAGAGAGGGAGAAGAAGGAAAUGCUCUGGUUGCGAAAAUUGUGUCAAUUGAACAUGAAAAAAUCAUUAAAGCGAUGCUCGCAAAGGGAAUUUAGUGCAAGAAAUAAACUUUAGUGUGGAUAUAAACAACGAAAAGGGAUCCACUUCGAUUCGGGAGUAUGUACCAUUGAAGGAUGUCCUUUGAAAGAUGUAAAAGUAUUUAUGGGAAUAAUAUAGAGCCGUGCAAUUGGAAUACUUGUUCUCUUUUAAUACAUUUUGCCUCGUCUUGACACGUUAUGGCUCUGCAUUACGAUUCAUAGCUGAAUUCUGAUCCCAGUAGCCGUCUCUCCUGUUGCCGUUGUUAACGAUAAAGUCCGAUAAGAUAUCCCAUGAAUUAAAGCAAAAGACAAACGCUGACAGGCAAGAGCUUGAUAAAUGGUGUCAGCUCGUGGCUGACGGACAGGAGGCGCUGCAAUGCAGCUGCCAAUUAAGUGCCACAUUAUGCCACACUGCUGCCGCAGGCGAUGGCAGGCAACAGAAACAGUAACAGAAACAACAGUGCCCAGUGUCAGGGGCAGGGCGCAGAACAAUAUGCAACAGCGUUUGGGCAACAAAAGAGUUAUUCGGGCUGCAGAUGAAAAGCAGAGAAAAGAAAACGGGGAAAAGAAAAAGAACAAACGUGAAAAAUAAAGGGAAAACUAAGCAAUUGUUGUGCUGCUGCUGCUGCUGCUGCAAGGCCACGACACAGUUUUCCCCUUUGCAUCUAUCUCUGCUUGUGUGUGUGUGUGUGUGUGUUUAUGUGAGUGAAAGUUUCGCAACUCUUGAGGAUGCAUUCAGCGGGAAAAAAACAUCCACUUGGUGGUGUUUUUUCGAAGAACUUUUUCAAUUUGCUGCUGCUCAUUUGUUGCAUUUAAAAUGCAAUUAUUUCGUGAAACGAAAAGCUCCAUGUGGAGCAUAAGCCCCCAAAAGUGCAAUGAGUAUUGCAUGCGGCACGAACAGAGACACCUCUCUGUAUAUGGAUGAGUGUAUGUGUGUCUGUUUUUGGUUAUUUCCAGGCAUUUUUCAUCUGCUCUUCUCAUUUGAUUACACUUUGCUCCAAUCUAAAUGUAAAUGGACAAUUGGAAAAUAAUAAGUUCUGCAGGAAAAUGAUGUCCUUACCAGCUCAAAAGUUGUUCAUCUCUUUUUCGAUGGAAAGCACAGCCACACUGAGAGAGAGGAGAGAGCGAGAGCAAACAACAAGCGAAGCGAAUUUUCAAUUUCAUUGUUUAAAUAAAGCCGUAAGAUAUCUUCCAGCCGGAAAAUUGAGUUUUCCUGUAGUUCGUUUUAAGUUUCUCUGCAUCUGCCUCUGCCUCUGCCUCCACCUAAACUCUGUCUCUCAUUCGAUCUGUUUCACUCGUUCUCGUUCCUUCUGUGGAAACCAAAGUUGCAAGUUGCAUGUAAAUAAAUUAGAACCGCCUCCCUCCAGAGGCAACUCCAAGCAAUUAUUGAGGCAUGCCGAUUCCAAAGGCAGGAAAAACAAAGCUUCUCCCUCUCUCUGGCCAUCAAUUUUGCCGAGGAUUGUGGUUACGUUACCCCCAGACCCCUCAUCGCUUUCACCUCGGUCUUUCCGUCUCUCGGUGUGCUCGGUGUGUGUGUGUGUGUGUGGUAGAAAAACUUUGGCCAUUUCCCCUGCAAACGGAAGUGUAUGCCAAAAAUACCCGAAUGCACAUGUUUAGCAGGCCACUUGGGUAGUUUGGAUCCUAUUGGAUUUCGGACCAAAUGCUACAUUCACAAUGCAAAAAUCCCAAUGAACGUCAGUGAAUAGAAGAGGAGGAAUACGUAAAGGGGGGUCAACUCUGCCCAAAAAGCCCUGGCCAAGCCGACUUUUCCCAGUUGCCAUUUUGUGCGGUGAGGGGCGGGGCCCUGGAAAAACUCGGUCAACUCUCGAGUCACGCACUUUGGGAACAUUGUCAAAUCGACAAUUUACUCGUUAGGACAACUUUUGUCGAGAGAAAAACUUUUGGAAAACAUUUUGUGAUGCUGCAAAGUGAAAGCUUCAUGUAGUCGGGAUUUUAGUCUGCACCGCCGAUUGUCGAUGCUCGACAACAGGAUAGUCAGGCGGGGCAUUCCGUGUGGUUGUUACACUUGUUGUUGUUGUGUUUUGUCUUUGGUUGAGAGUCUGUUUUAUGAUGGCAAUACACUCGCAAAUGUAAUUCCUGUCAUUAAUUAUGCUUAAAGUAGGAAAAGAGAAGUGUGGGGAGUGGGGAAACAAAGGCUAUGAGUUGGAAAAGAACUUUUCUCCUUUUCGGCCAUGAUAACUUUUUGCCCGACAUUUGAGGGGAAAUGUGAAGUCGAGAAAGUGCACGGCAUCAGAGCCAACCCUCAGCCUCAGAGUCUUGUUGUUUAUGCAUGAAACGUGCCUGCCAGCCUUUGUUGUUAUUGCAGCAUGCAGCACCCUGUGGCAAAACCCUCUCUGCUCCGACUGCUCCGACUGCCACCCUGCCCCCUGCCUUGUUGCAGUUGAACGCACUGACUGACACAAUUUGCGCUCAUUAUGGAAGCUCCGAAGGUUGCCGCUGCCUUUGUUCCAUCUCUCGCGUCGUUGGCUUCUCUCAUUCGGGUUUCCGUCAUACCCAAGGGUUUUCCCCUCGAGUUUUCGUGCCAGCAACUAGUUUUCUUCCCUCUUUUUUCCGCUCUUUCCUUAUCCUUCCUGCGCUCCGCAUGUCAGCUGGAACUUUUUGAAGUUCUUAAACGUUUUAUUGAAACAAUUUCCGCCUUAUGGAAAUUUUGCGCCGGCACAGCGAAACUUAUUCGUAUUUCAUUUUCGUUGCCAUAUAUCAGAAUGGUGUCAAGCAUACGCCGCGUUGGCCAGCCCGAAACUGUCAAGAGGAGAGCGGGGUGGUGGUCGUGGUGGUGGUUGUGGUUGUGGGAGGCAGCUGCCAGCAAAUGCAAAUUUAAUGCGACACAAGCGGGAGAAAGACAGUCGAGCCACGUAUUCCUUUCCUUUCCAUUCCAUUGCAGAGCGCGGAGCAGCGGCAUCGCCUGGGCUGGGCAGCAGGUGGCCAAAAUAGUGGACGAAAUGACAUAAUUUAAAUUCAUGCAUGACCCAUAUUGCAGCACUCUUCUCCCCAGCGGUGGGUUGCAGCGCACCCGCUGCUCCUUGGCAUUCGCCUCGUCCUCUCAACCACUCGUCCCCGCAGCUCGUAUUUUAUUAACAAAGCAAUUUAUUGCAUAAAUUCAAAUUGCACUCUGCAGGCCACAGUUGCCGCCGCAGCCUCACUACCCCUACCCCUACCCCUACCACUCCCUGCACCAUUGAUCUUUGUCGGAGCAGAAGAAGGGAGAAACUUUGCGACUUCGGGGAGCUGCCAGAGGCUGCCCGUAAACGAGGCAAGCACAGCGCAACGUGGCGGCUAUGAAAGUGCAAUUUUCGGGGCAAGUUGUUGCCUCUCUCGAAAUGAGUUCAUUUAGCGGCGAAAACUAACAGCUAAGUAGAGAACAUGAAGCAAAUGCUCUGGGCAAGAGGCUGCUUAGUCAUGCGGCAAAGCUGCCACUCAGCACUCAGCCACACGCCGCUUGCUGCUCGCUGCUUGCUGCCCCUUUUCCGCUUGCUGCUUGCCCCAUUUUGCGACUGCUAAUUGCGGCAUAAAUCAAGCGGCAAAACAGCGAAAGGGAUAGAGGAGCACGCUCUAAAUAAACUCGGCCAGAACGAAAGUGUUGCAGCCAUCCUUCUAUAUCCUCUCACAUCCUCGAACAUUCUCCCCCUAGUGGCAUGCAGGAGGACAAACAUUUUUUUUGUUGCCACAUGCUUUAUGGCCACUUCUGGGGCGUCUCCUAUGCUGCAACCAUUCUCCAUGUGCAUGGUGUCCCUGGUGGAUAUUUAUGAGUACUUUGGUCAAGCGUUUGCCUAGUGGAUUCCAUUUCUGUGAAAGAAAAGUGCCGCCUGCUCUCCGAAACAUGAUAAAUGUGGAGGGGUUCGGCGUGCACAACUCAUCGUAUACGCAAUACGCAAAAUAUUUUAAUUAAAUUUCAAACGAAGCAAAACAAAAGCAAACAACAGCAGCAAAAAAAACCAAAAAUAUCUCGACGAAAAUAAACGGAACGAGUAUUUGCGAGGAUAAUGUUUGCUUUUGCUUUAUUUUUGGCAUACCCUGCAGCAGGAGAAUCAGUUGGGGUUUAUGUGAAAGUGAGAAGAGCGAACCAGAGCAGCUGGAACUUUCUUUCUGGCCCCUUCUCUUGGGUUCGAUAUGAGAAUUCUACAGAAUCUUGUACAAUAUAUUUCGAAUAUGUUCCUCAGCUCAGCAGGUAUCUCUAUAGUCCCAACACUCGCUCCCUUUCAUCAUAUUCGAUUCCCUUUCAGCACACAAGUACUUUAUUUGUCGUGGAAAACCGCAGCCCCGCGGCACUGCGGCUCGUGUGCUUAAAAUUUUCGGUUAUGAGCGGGUUUCGACCGGUGGAAAAGGGACGCACAGCGGGUUGGAGUCUGUUAAUCCUCUUCAAAAUGAGGGUCCGUUUCGUUCGCACACGAAAAUGGAAAUAAAUACAAGAGGAUAAAGAGCUCUGCUGGAAAAUCUAAUUUGAAUUACGGUUUUAUAUGCCAAGCAGGAGAGAAAUUGAAAUUGAAUUGCUCUCACUCUUCAAAUCACUUAAUUUUUUCUUAGCUCGUUCUCAUUAUGAGUACUCAUGGUCCGCUCUCCCGCCUCCUUCUCUCUCUCUCUCUCACACUGUUAGUCCCUUUUUUUCUGUGGGGCGGGUCAACAAGUGUCGUUAGCUCUGGCCAAAUGCCAAGACAAACCCAUCGUUUUGUAGGGCAUUUCAUAAGGCGUGGAGAAAUUCAAUUAAGUUUGUGUCCUUUGGCCCCGAUUUUCCCCUCUAUUUUUGGGCCACUGUUUUUAUGGCCAGAACAAGCGGCAAACGAAAUUAAAGUCAAUAAACAAGCCCUGGAGGCUGCGGCUGGGGGCUGGGGGCUGGGGAUGGUGCUGCUGCUGCUGCUGCUGCUGCUGCUGCUGCGGCGGAGGAUUGUCAGUCGACUGUCCCCCGACAAUUGGCUCUGGUCACAGUUGCUAUGGCACUUUGGUCGUUUCCCCUCUGUCUCUCUAUCUCUGUGGUCUUGGGGCUCGUUUCGGGGCACAAAUAAACCGCAAAAACCCGUCACAGUCACAUAACCGCAGCCAGACAAUGGCCCAUGUGAGUGGCCCAGCCCCCAAACGCACAAAAGGAGAACCAACCCACUGGCAGUGCGGACAUUCAAGGACAUGCUAGUAUUAUUCUCCAUGGAAAUGGCUGCCAUUUGUUGCGCACAAAUAAUUUUACAAGCACUUGGGAAUCGCAUCCGUCCCCUGAAGAAAAGUUUUCAAAGCCCUAAACUAAUUCCCCCAUUCCAUUGUGUCUGCUUUGUGAUUACAGAUACACGACGAUCUAGAGAAGGAUCCGGACUAUUCUGGCUCUGGCUUUGGACCGGAUGACGAGGACGCCGAGCCGGAUCAUCACUCGCAGCACGGUUCGCACAACACGCGCAUCUCGCAGACCGGCGGCUCCAGCAUAAACAGUAAGCAUAAUUCGAACGACAACAGCCACAACGACGACCUCGACCACAUAUCGAGUAGAUUCAACAACAACAACAACAACCUGAACCAAAUCGACAACAACAACAGCCAGAAUAUUAAUUACAAUAAUAAUUAUAAUAAUAAUAAUAAUCCCAACCUUAAUAACAAUCACCAUCCAGCGAAUAGUGGCACAAUCAUUGGUAGUAGCACCACAGCGAACCAUAACAGUAAUCAGAAUCACAUCGGCGGCCAGAGCGGUGGCAUCAUCAGUGGCAGUGGUGGUGAGAUCGGUGGUCAUAGUGGCACUGGCAUUAACACAAUCGGUAAAGAUCAAGCUAGUUUUGUAGCUACUCUAAGCGAGACAUUCUAUCUUCUACUACUUCCACUACUUCAACUUCAACUCCUCCCUCUUCUACCCACCACCACCACACCACAGUACACCACAUUUUAGUUAUUACAAAUCCAACAAUUACACCAUCAACAGAUACAGAGCCGAAAACAACAACAACAACAGCAGCAACAGAUACAGUUACAGUUACAACAGUCAUUGCCAGCUUAGAUUAUAGUUAUGUUAGAUCUAGAGACAACAACACUAACAAUCAAUCAUUCACAACAUCUACAAGAACACCAACACCAACAACCCCAUCUCUAUAUCCAGCAGCUCAUACACCAACACAAACCUCAUCCACAACCUCAACAACAACAAGCAGUUCACCAACAACGACAAGCAGCAGCAGCAGCACCACCACCACCAGCACCAGUACGACAACUGCGGCCACAACCACAUCAACCACAGCUGCCUCGAAUCGCACCCAAACCACGCCUAAGCCCCUUGUUGUCGAUUCCACCACAGCGAGCCGUCCCUUACCCCACUUCCCAGCCUUCGAUGAGGAGCUCGAUGUGGAUGAGGAUGCCAGUGGCGAUGGCAUCGAUGUGGAAGGUGGCGGCGAGGAUGAUGACGAGGGUGACGAUGACGACAUCAUCAUUGAUCAUCCCGAUUCCGGGAAGCCAAAGUUUGCAGUGCCCGUUCCCGAUGGUAGCGAUAACAUCGAUCAUGAUUCUGAUCAUGAUAUCGAUAGCGAUACCGAUGAUGGCGAUGGUGAUAAUGAUGACACCGACGAUGAUGAUAGCAUCAUCGAUGUGGAUGGCGGCAAUGAGGAUGGCACUACCAACGGGAAUGGAAAUGGAAAUGGAAUCCGUGGCAACGAUGGAGACCUCAACACAGAGCGCGGACGUCAGUGGUUUUUAUUUUUACUCCUCUUUUUUAUACUUUCCUUUUGAUUAUUUGCUUUUUUUUGUUUGUCUAUCCGUUUUGCCUUUGCUUUUUAUGUUGUGUUUUUUGUAUUUUGUGUUUCAUUGUUGCUUCUUGUUUUGUCCUCCUCCCACCCACAAUGCGAUUCCUUUUUGUGUUAUGUCUCUGCCCCCAGCUUAUGUUUUGGAGAGACACCAAUUGUGGUAUCUCCGGCACUGCAUUCCUUUUAUCGUAUUUUAUUUAACAUUAUAUUUAUUUUAUUUGUAUCUUCUAAAGCACUUUUUUCAACAGCAAACAAAGUUUUCUCGCUUGCAUUGUAGUUGAUUUCUUGGGUAUUUGCUUUGGUUUCUGUUACGUUACGUUAUGUUACGUAGUUUGAUUGGUGCACACAUUCAAGUAUAUAGAAUAUUCCUUACAAUUACUUACAUAUAUAUAUUUGUUAAGUUUUACCUUAGUUUUUCUCUACUGCGCGCUCUGGCAACGAACAAUGCUGCGGGGUUUCCUUUUGUGUGGACUUUUACAUGGAAUUCCUCCCCGCACACCCCGGCUAUACAAUGGCCAAUACACCAUAAUUCCCACACUUUCAUUCUGUGACCAAUUUUCAUCCAUUGACCAUACCAUUCCAUUCGAUUCAUUCAUUCAUUCAUUCAGUCUGCUUUUGGCAUUUAUUCAUUCAUUUGUUCGAUUGGAAAAACUCCCGCAGAGCCAACACAAUUCCAUUGGCUCGAACCUCAACCUCAACCUCACGCUCAUUCUCAUUCACAUUCUCAUAGACUUUAGUGUUAACCCUAGGAUAAAGCUAUUCUAAGUCACAUAAUUUAAGGAUAGCUUAAGUGUGUUUUAUGUACGCAUCAAAUGAGAACGGUAGACGGGGCAUCCACCAUCCAUCGAUUCAUCGAUUGAGAUGCACCCGCACACGCCCUCCAUCAAGGUUCUGCAUAUAGAGAGUCCUGCCCUAGGCCCAAAGUUCCAUCAACACUGUCGCGGCUCCCCCCUGAAGAACCGCCCUGGAAUCACACUAAGCCGCACAGUGAUUUUGUGCUUUGUUGCUCUUCGAGUGGAAAGCACUUGGAAAGCGCUCCUCACUGCGCUCCACUUGAAAUGAAAAAUCACCAAGUCCCUGGCAAUGGCAGUGGCAAGGAGCGCCUCCAAAUCCACUCCACACAAAACUCCCAACGACUUGGGGGCAUUGUUGCUCUUACCCCGAAACCCAUUCAUCCUUUGUGUAUGUGGCAAACACUAUUUAUGAAGCGAGUGGGGAGGGAGGGAGAGCACAAACAAAGUCUAAUGGGAACCCAGGAGUGGAUCUGAUAGGUGUAUGGGCACUGUGUGUGUGUGCGUGCGUGGGCUGCGAAUAUAUGGCCAGCUUUGAUGUUUGUGCCAGUGCCAGUGCCACGCCCAGUAUAAACACGAAGCACAAACCAUGUGGCAUAUGGCAGGCGUCUAGCACACAGCAGGACCACAAUUUCGGCCAUAAUUGCGUCCACAGCUGUCCAUAUGCUUUAUACUGAGCAUUAAAUCCUGCAGUUCCUAGUGCCAGCAAGUCCAGCAUUAAGUGCAUUUCUCCCCGUCCCACAUCCAAUCGGAGAUACACGGAUGGAUACACCUUUAUUGGCUUCGUGCAAGCAGACAGACAGACAGACAGACAGACACACAAUCAGUUUGAUGGAUACACAUAGACAGGAAUGCUCUAUCACAGGAUGAAGUUAUCUCAAAAUCAGAAGAUGGCAGAUGAGAAAAUGGCAUUAAAAGGCAAAUAUUUCAUUUAUAGCUUCACCGUGGAUGGAGUUCUCGUCGGGUCAGACGCGACUUUGAGAUGUGUGCUUCGAUUCGAUCAUUUUCCAAUGAUUUGCUUGAGUUUCAAUUCGAUUACGAGUGUGUGUCUGGCGGCAAUUCAAUAAGCCUUUUGGCCAUUACCUAAUUAGCAUGCCACUCUCCCAAUCUCACUUACUCCGCACCAAUCUACUCCCCCAAGGAGGGGUGGAGCAUAAGCCACACACAUGUGUGUGGGUAUGUUUCAUGGGGCAAAGUACAUGGGCUAAACAAGCAAAUUGUUUGUCUUAAGCAUAGGGAGGCCAAAGCGGAUUGGGAUCCAGAUGGAAAGAUGAAAACAGACUAGGGGUCAUGGGGUUAAACAAUGGCUCAACAAAGCACAAAGAACACACACGUAAUAAGUGAAGUGGAGGGAGGGAUGUGGGUGUGGGUGUGGGUGUGGGUGUGGCUGUCAAUUAAAUUAAUUUAAAUUUACUUUCUUUGACAGCCAAAUUGUCAUUCAAAUUGCUCUUCUCUUUCAACAUGUCGCUCUCGUGUCAGAUCCGUGAAUACUUUUGAGGUAGGUGUCCAUGGAUUCACCAUCUAUCAUCUCGAAACUGCUCUCGCCUUACGCUGAAGCCUACUGAGAUUUCCCCCAUGCAAAUUUGUCACAAUUUGCAUUACUCCGCCUCUCGGCUGCUAACUUUUUUCAUUUGGCCAUAACUUUUCCGUAUUGCUCAUUAGCGUGAAAUGAGCUCAAAAGUUGGGCUCGUGCGGGUGGGCAAACAAUCAGACAGACAGUCAGUCGGAUGGAUGGGUGGUAGGAGCCGCCGGCAGUACGUAGUCUAGUUUUAUAAGACUUGAAGUUCGGCAUAAGGUAUCCUUUCUACUUGUAAACGUAGUCCCGAAUCACAACUCUACUAACCGUAAGCCUUGUAUAUAUCGCAUAAAAUAUCAUUAACACACGUAACAUAACCACCCUGAAACAGAUAUAGACACUCGAUCCGAUCGGAUAUCGGAGUACUCACCCGCAACAACAGAUCUAUGUCUCUCACUCACAUAAACACACACACACACACACACACACACACACACACACACAUAAACACACACACUAUCUGUUUUUGUAUUAUUUUGCUUGCACGUCAUGGGCAUUCUCGUAAAUGGAUAAUUUUAAUCCCCAGCUAUGACACUCAAUCUCAUCUCUGACUUUAUGCUCUAUUUUCUUGGCACAGCGGGAGGUGGCAGCAGCGUGCACGAGUUGGACCCGAAUACGAACGUAAACAGCCAGCCCUCCGACACAAAGCCCGUCGACCACAGGCCCAACGGCAACGAGGUGGUCAUCAUGAGCGAGGACGAUCGUACGUCGAGCUUCUUCUCGCAGCCAGGAAUACUGGCAGGUAAGAGGCCAUUCCCUCCUUGUUCACCCGACAAUCUCUGACCAUACAUUUUUUCUCAUCCCUGCACCUUUAGCUGUCAUUGGCGGUGCCGUGGUUGGCCUGCUUUGCGCCAUUCUUGUGGUGAUGUUCAUCGUGUACCGCAUGCGGAAAAAGGACGAGGGCUCCUACGCCCUGGAUGAGCCGAAGCGCUCCCCGGCCAACAAUUCCUAUGCGAAAAAUGCGAAUAAUCGCGAGUUCUACGCCUGAGAUAAUGGCACAUCGCGCAGGUAUUAAGUGAGCCAUGAGUGAGGAUCCACCCGUAUGGAGAUCCAUCUCGAACGGGAUACGGAUCUUAGCGGAGGAGGAGAUGACGGCUCAUCUCGAUACACUGUGCGGAGUGCGAAGCGCGGAAGGAGCAGCGCCAUCAGCAGCCAUCUGCCACAAUGAGUAAUCAUCAGCAACAGCAACAGCAAACAGCAAAAGCAAAAGCAACAAAACUAACACAAAUUCAAUGAAAAUCGAAGGCAUCUUCGGAUCACAUACAAUUUUUCGUUGGGGGGGUAAACUAAACGCAUUAAACCAUGAACAACCAAGUAAAAGCGUGCAGAGAUUCGAGAGGAACACAUAAACAAAAACAAUUCAAAACUUACCUGUAAGCUAAUGCCGGACGGUUGACGGAGGAGGGCGACUUUUCUAAUUAAGUAAAUUUUAAGCGACGAAAACAAAAGGAAAACCAAUAUCAAAUAUGAAUGGAAGCGCACGCAAAUCGUGCGAAAUCUAAUAUAUAAUUAAUAUAUAUUAUAUUCAUAGUGAAACCAAUAUAAGGGCGGGCAAAAUUAAGCGAAUUAAUUAUGAAUUACGAGUAUGUAGAGCAAAGGCAGGAGGAGAGCGAGAAAUAAUACCUAUAAUAAUACCACAAAACACGACGCAGCGCCUACAUGGACGAUGUGGAUGGAGGCAGCGACAGACGCAUAUUGAAUACACAAUUAUGAAUAUACGAGUAUAUGUUAGCUGAAUAAUGGAAGCGAAUUGGAUAUAUCAUGAUUAUACACCCGCUCUCGAAAGACCCCUUUAAAUCCAAUGGUCAGUCACUUCCGCCAUCCAUUUCACACCACGGAAAAAAGAGAAUAAAAGUUAAUCCGUUGGGAAUACCAAUAAUUAUUGUGAAUUGCGAAUUGUGCGACACAUAACAAGCGGAAAUUGAUUCAUAAAUUAAUGUUUUUAGGUUAAACAUAAGCAAAACUAUGUAAUUAUUAGUGUAAUUCCUAAAACAAAAACAAGAAGAACCACACAAAUGGAAAAAUACAAAAAAAAAACUUUAAGAGAAAAACGAAAAAUACUAAAUGAAGCAAAAAAACAGAAUACGAACACUCUCUGAACCUUCCUGGCAACUAAACAAACUAAAAAGGAAUUAGUAAUGAAAUGAAGAGAACUAUUUCUACUUUUUUCUAAAUAAAAAAAACACACACAAAAACUUGAAUAUUUAUUGAAAUUGAGAUUGAAAAUAAUAAUGAAAAACGAAAUCGAAAAGUAUAUAAGGACAUAAAACGUCCAGAAAGCGAUUGUACAUUAAUUUAGUAUUCCAUAUGGGUUUUAAAAUUAAUCGGCCAGUCUCCCACGCUCGACUCCACUGCUUCUUCCAUGGCUAAGAAUCAAAAUCGGAUUACGCAUUGAUUAUUGUGCAUUUAUUUAGUUUUUACGUUCGCUGUCAGUGACAAUUGUUUAUUUUUGCAAGCAAAAUACAAGUCCGAAGAACGAAGAACACAAAACAACACGAGCCAACCCAAUCCAAUCCAAUCCAAUCAAAUAAAAUCAAAUCCAAUCCAUUACCACAUGCAAUAGUAAAAAUUACUUGUUAAGUUUACAAUUGAAAUGAAACGCAAACCAGCAGGAAAUGUUAAUGACUCAGCCCUCAAAUUAGCUGCAAUACUUGUUUAAUUGUUAGUCAACCCAUAUUCUCUCCAGCUCUAAUGCCAUAUUUUCAUUACGAAAAGAAGUUAUAAGAACGAAAAAUACUAAUACAUAAUACAUUUAUAUACAAGUAUAUAUAAUUAGCAACAUAAAUCAAUUGUGUGUGUAAAUGUGUGUAAUGCAUAAAUAAUUAAUUAAACAUACAUAUACAUACAUACUACUACUGCGACAACAGAGCGUGCACCAAAGGGGGAAGGAAGCUCUCGGAGAACAUCAUCAUCGAUACAUACUCGUACUUCCCCCAAAUCUAAACCUAAAACCAACCCAAACUCACACAAACAAACAAAAAAGAGAACAACAGCCACAGACACAGCCACAGCCACAUCAGCAAGAGCGACAACAAGAACUAAACAUUUUUCUGAAUACAACUUUUUCUACACUGUAAAAAACGCAACUGCAACUCUUUUGAUAUGUACGAGUACUAUGUUUUGUCCUACUCUCGACCCAUAGUACCUAUUUGUCCAAUUUUACAUACACUUUUUUUGCUAAUUUGUAAGCUUAGUUUGUUAGUUUUUUAAAUGCGCUGAAUGUACUGAGAAAUUGGUUUUGAUUUGCUAAAUAAACUGGUAUAAAACUAAUUUAAACAAAACGAAAUAUAGUUUACUUUAAACUUAAACAGAAAACUCGUCCCUUAUCCUCUUCUAUACUACAUAAAUAAAAUAAAAAAAAUUUUGACAGCCCUUCACAACUUUGCCUAGAAAUAUCAAACAAUAAUUUCAACAUAGAACUCCUGAUCAUUAUGAACGUUCAGGAAUAUGGAAUACAUUUCAUUGUUCAUCUGACCUUAGCCGUAGAUACUCAAAAAAAUAGAGAGCUCUAAAAAUUUGUUUAUAUUUCAAACAAAAUCAAAUUUUCAAGUUAAAUUUUAGUUUUGUUUUUCCUGACAAAGAACUCCUUUUUUCUUCUAUCAUUUUUAAAAUUCAAAUUUCCAUUUUAAAAUGUGCUUGUGUUGCGAUUGUCCAUCAUUCGAUUGUUGGCCUGAUAAGACAUGGUCUUUAUUCUUUGGAAUAUGGAACGGACUCAUUGGCUUCAUCGGCAUGGUAUCAUCAAGCAUCAUUUUAGACAAAGAAUUAUCCAAACCAAAAUCAAGAAUUGAUUUGGCUAUCUUUGGUGGUGAGUACUGGCCAAAGACAAUGCAGUUUGCGAAUGGAACAAAGUGAUAGCGGAUUUGUGUAUUUCACUUUCAAUUUCAGCUGUAAUUUCAGACAAAUCAAAGGGUGAUUCUAGAAACGAUCUUAAAGUUUGGAUCGAGGUUAUAGUACUUAUAUGUUUUAUAGUACACUUAUUGUCCGGGAUAUUUAUACUUUUGGGAUUGUUUUUGGUGAGUAGAAGCACACAGAUUUAUCUCAUUCCACUUAAUUUAUCAAUGGCUUUACCUCGCAGAAUAUGAAAGGUUUAUUCUUUUUCGGCAAAGCCAUGAGCCAUGUUUUGCCAUGGGUUGGAGUUUGCUCGAUAAUCUUACCAAGUGAGUGUCAACAUUUGGUAUUGGAUCUGGUGACUUUAUAUUGAUAUAUUGUUUCCGUUUGUUUCAGUUGUGCAACUCAUAUGUUUAUUUAGAGUGUGCAGGUAUUAUAAAAACAUGUGAUGGCAGUGCACGGCUAUGCGGUAAUUCCCACACCAAAAAAAAGGAGAAUUGUUCAAACUUUUGGCUAUUUUCUGGUUCCCUAUCCUCGCCCUGACAAAAGUGGCUUGCUGAUGUAUGACAAAAUUGAAGUAUUGAAAAUUUCCUCCGUGUGCAAUGCAGAUCCAAUGAUCAAUUAAACUUUAAAUCAUUGCCUUA
rnacentral:lncRNA from 1 species